rnacentral:lncRNA from 1 species
CAAUGGUGACUGCACAAUAGUAACGUUGAUUUGACUGCACAACAAUAAAAGCAGCUGAAUUCAAAUACCAGAAUAACUUCAGAAAGCUUCCAUAAUUCAUUGACGAAACAAACAAAAGCAUAAAUAAAAUGUCUUAUAAUGAGUUACCUGUCUAUGAAUCAAAUCACCACGCAAAGAGUAAACCAAGAUGAACCCUCGAGAGGUCCCAACUGCAAUCACUUUAAUCUCAUCAAAAACCAGCCACUCUAUGGCCGUGAUGUGCUGGGCCUCGAUAGGUGACAGUUCGGACGGAUCUGGACCCGAGGCUCAUCCGGGUCGGACCAUCCGAGGAUGAGAAUAAGUGAUCGGUUAGCAAUGGCGAGAGAAUGGGCGUCGAGAGCACAGAGGAGAGUGGUGCUGGCGUCAGGGGCUAGCCAUCCUUCCUUGCCAACGCCAAACUCGGACAAGUCUUCGCUGGCGAUGCAGCCGAGAACCGUCAAGUGUGAAGAAAAUUCAGAAAAUCAAUUAAAAAAAUUAAAAUUAAUGUUAAAGCAUUGGAACAUUUUUAAUUAAAAUCUUUUAAGUUACAACAUUUUUCGAUACAAACUUUAGAUAAAAGGGAUGAAAGCUGAACAUGAAAACCAAAUUAUCCACUACAACACCCAGAAUUGUUUAAACCGCUGUCAUGAGAAAUGAUUGAGCCAGAUGUUAGAGAAGCAGGCUGCAUUCGAUUCAGUUCCAAAGUCACCCUGACAAGUACAGAAAAAUAAAGGAAGAAUCAAUUGUUUAAAUCUAUGUGCUGGAGGUAUGGAAGGCAAAAAACUUCACUUGGAAAUUCCCCAUGUAGUUGACAAUCUCUGAGACUCAAACGUUCCAGAGAUGAAGUCAAGUUCAGAAAGGAAGGAAGUGCAACAUCAGACAUAUCUGCAAAGUUAAAGGUAAGGUUUCUUAAAUUGGUUAAGUUUUGUGCAAGCAUGUUAAAACCUUGGCUAUCAAAUCUCAAGCUGGAAAUAUAAGCAGUCGUGGAAAGAUCGAGUGAAACCAAUUUUGAUAGGAGACUAAUUUCAUAGGGGAUUAAGCCAGAGAAUGAAUUAGAAGAGAGAUUAAGAUGAGUCAAACUCACUAACUGAUUAAAUAACUUCGAUGAGAUAGAGCCAUUGAAAUUGUUGUGAGCAAGGUUGAGUCGUUGGAGUCCCUGAAGGUGGAAGAGGCUGCUGUUUUCAAGAAGAAAGCCAUCAAGUUUGUUGAAAUUGAGGUCGAGUCGUUGGAGUCCUUGAAGGAAGAAGAGACUACUAUUACCAUGGAGAGUGCCAUAAAGGCAGCUGGCACUGAAGUUGAUGCCAAUGACAUGACCAGUCACCACGUGGUCAAUGAAGCUGAAUCAAGAAAAGAGGAAGGGGUACUCAAUGAAAAAGAGACCUGAAAAUGCAAGAGAAGGAUUUGGAAUAACAACCUAAAUACCCUUCCCAUAUUUUCUCGAGAAAAAGAAAGUAUGAAACAAGGGUCGUCGAAAAGGGGCAAGAAAGGGAGGAGAACUUAAAAAUGAAUUGUUGUUGAGGCUGAGGGACAUGAGAAGUGAACUACGUAUUGGAGAAGUGGGGACAUGAAAGUGUUAGAAUGAAAAGCAUAAUCUUAUCCCAUUAGAGACUUUAGUAGGAUUUGCAUACUUUUCUUGCAUUCUCAUUCGAUAUGUUUAUUUUAGACUUAUUGGGAUAUGCUAAUUAGACCCAAAUUUCAUUAUUGGGAUAAGCUUAGAAUUGCAACUCAUUACAGCCUGCGUUAUUGUUUAUGUCAGCGUGAUUUUCGAUCUUCAAGUUUCAUUUUGUUCAGAAAAUUAAUCCAAAACUUUCUGUUCAAUUUUCCUAGAAGAGAAUGCAGCCUCAAAACUAAAAAAUAAAUAUAUGAAGUUUUUGUUGUAGGUUGCAACAAAGUCAGGUCAUCAGCAAAGCAAGUUUAAGAAAUUGGAAUGACUUUUACAAUUAAAGUCACCAUCUGAGAGAAAUUAAGCUCAAAAGUAAGAAAUUCAUGUCACAUGAAGCAUGUUGACUGUUGUGGUUUUUAUUUGAGGGCAUACAUUCAAAUUCAACCCUCGCAGACAGUCUUCACUCAACAAACUUAAAUUAAUUGUUACAUGGACCCUUAUUUCACGUUAAUCCCUUUUUUUACCUAUGAAAAAAAUAUAUAAUUUUUAAAUAUUUAGUUCAAUAAUAAAUAUAUAAAACGUAUAUAUAUGUCAUUUAUAAAUUUAAUACAUUAUGAUGCAACAUGUAAGUAAAAAUUAUUAUGAAUUCACUAUAUAAAAUAUGAACUCAUGCAUGCUCACAUGACAACUUUUGAUUACUUAUUACAGCAAGCUGAUGCAUGUGAUUAGAACAACCUAUUCAAUAAUUUUGGAUGCUUAUUGAUGAAUGACUCAUGGUGAUGCAAUUAUUAAGCAUUGAAACCAAGAGGAAGAAAUGAAAAGGGCAAUAGUGACAGAAGAUGAAGAGCGGCAAUUCAUAAAGGAAUAUCAAACAAGAUGGGCAAAGUGCCCUGUUAGAAAGGAAAGGCAUGAAGAGUGUUGACUUUGUCUGCUUACAUGUUAAAAUCGUACCAUAAAUUCUUUGUCUGCAUUGACCCUUGACAACCUGAGCAAAGAGUCAUUGAAAAACUUUCGAGAUGGACGAGUGAAGACUACGCCCACUCUUUUGAGAAAAAACUGUCAUUGGAUGACUUUUAAUAGGCCAUUCAAUGUGUGCCCUUCAAUGUAUUUGAGUAUUUAAUUUAAUAAUAAUUAUAUAAACAAGAAACACAGUAAAGAGAGAAAUGUACAGAGCCUAGCGGUGUAAGCAUGAGGUUACUGCAUCAAAUUGAAAAUGGAUGGCCAAGUAUAACACUGUUUGUAUAGGAGUAAAAAAUGUCAACCCCAGCCCCACCCAUUAAAAGUGAGUUAGAAUAACGUUGAUGCUAAUACACCCAAUACUACAUAUACUUUCAUUUAUAAAGUGUAAAAUAUAUAAAUACAACAUUUUGUUAAUAUAAUACAGGCACAAUUAUUUAUUUUUGGAUAAUGGAUGUUGACGUAGAAUAUGAUUUUGAAUUUAAUUCAUAUCUAGAUUUUGAUGGAUUAUUUGAAGAAUAAAAUAAAAUAAAUUGAGAAGCCAUUGAGACUGAAUAUGAUUUGAAUUAUACCUCAACAGUUAUGUCGAAAUGAUUGUGAUUAGUUUUUUCAUUGUUUUUGAGAGAAAGAAAGUUGUUGAAGCAAAGGGAGGUAAGGAGAAUCUCACACAUUUUACUUGGGUGUUUUUGUUUUGAAGGGUGCACACUUUACUUGUUUUGAAACUAUCUUAUAUGUAUGUUUCAUUAAGUGAAUUAAAUGUUUUGUUCUAUUAUUUUUUGUGUAAGAAAAUAGAGUUAAGCAUAUGAUUAUUUUUUAUUUUGAUUUAUUCAUGUGACUAAUAUUGAUUAAUAAUGAGGUAUGAAAUCUUUUGUUAUGUUGUAAAGCGUUAAGAGCUAUGAAUUAAUUCUUAAGAAGUAGGAUAAUCAAUAUUAAAAUUAAUUUUAGGAUCUUGUUAAUGGAUUAUAAUAGUUAACAUACGACCUAAAAACAGAAAAUACGACCUAAAAAUAGUUAAGGCAGCUUUCACUGAGGUCGAUGCCAAUGACAUGACCGGUCACGUUGUGGCAACAGACUCCAUCCCACGACUCCAUCCCAUGAACAACAAUCCGUGCUUUCGUUCCAAGAAUUUAUCCUGGGGUAUGAAGAAAAUGUCUGACAAUCACCUAAAGAAAUGGUGUUUUUGAAUUCCAGCAAGGCACUUCUCUGUUCUGGGAGGCAUAAAUGAGCUGAAUGAAGGGGAAAGUGGAAGGGAAACUCAAUGAACAAUAGACCAGGAAAUGCAAGAACGAUAAAAGCAGGAAAAGGACUCGAUACAACAUCCUAACUACCCUUCCCAUAUUUUCUCAAGAAAGAGAAAGUUAUGUAACAAGGGUCGUCCAAAAGGGGAUAUUUAGAUGAGUUAUGGCUGAGGCCAAGGGACAUAUAAAUAUAACUACUGGACAAGUGGAGACAUCUCUUUUUUCAAGUCAACCAACAAGUUUUUCCAAAAUCUUUUUAGUUGUGUCCCAUUAAUUAAGGCAUUUAAAGUCAAGUCUUCUCAACUUACAUAUUUAUUCAUUGUGUUGAGAAGUUUGAACAGCGAUAGUGUUUGAGCCUGGAAUCAAAACUAAAUUAAUGGUAUAGAAAGAAAAAGUGUUGGUGGCGUGAUAGAAUGGAAGCAUGAAUUGAACCUGCAGAUUGUCAUGAAUUCUCGUUGUAUGUCUACUUUUAUUUUAUCGUUCACUGGAAAGUCUUACUGGGAUCUGCUAAUUAGACUCAAAUUUCAUUGCAAUUCAUUACAGCCAGUUCUUUUAUUUUUCCUUAUAAUUUUACUUUUACUGUUUAACUCAUCUGACGUAGUAUUAUAAUAAACAAAAAGUUAUUGAUUAAGAAAUUCUUUAUGUAGAUUAAAGCUAAUUCAGGCCACCAUCAAAGCAACUUUAAGAAAAUACAAAAUUCGGUUCAUCACCAGAAAGAUAGCUUCUUUUUUCAAUAAAAAAAAACAAUAUUAAAUUACGUUUAUAAGCAUGUUUUUAUCAUCCUUCAAUUACUUUUUCACGUUAAAAGCACCUACUAAAAAUUAGAGUAAUGUUAUUUUUCUUUAUAUUUUUGUUUUUACUAAAAUGAUUAAAAAAUUAAAAUUUUAUUACAUAAUUUAAAAAUAAGAUUUAUUAAUUUAUGAUAAGUCAAUUUAUUCAUAAAUACAAUGUUCAAAAUUAAAUCAAUUUAUAAUAUGUCAAUUGACUAUAUGAAACAAAUGAAAGUAAGAAUUAUACAAAAACAAAAUUGAAUAUUGUUUUGAAAGUAACUCAAAAAUUCAUUUAUGAGGCUGCGAAAAUGGAUCCUCCGCUUUGAAGCGCUGAAGAAAUAUAUAAACAGGAAACACAGUAAAGAGAGAAAUACACAGAGCCUAGUGGUGUAAGUAUGAGAGUAUUGCAUCAAAUUGAAAAUGGAAGGCCAAGUAUAACAGUGUCUGUAUAGGAGUAGAAAAUGUCAACCCCAGCCGCGACCCAUCAAAAGUGAGUUAGAAUAAGGUUGAUGCUAGUACACCCCAAUACAACAUGUACUUUCAUUUAUAAAGCAUAUACUUUCAUUUAUAAAGUGUAAAAUAUAUAAAUACAACAUUUUCUUAAUAUAAAACAAGCACAAUUAUUUAUUUUUUGAUAAUGAAUGUUGACGUAGAACAUGAUUUUGAAUUUAAUUCAUAUUUGGAUUUUUGAUGAAUUAUUUUUAAAAAAUAAAAUAAAAUAAAUUGAGAAGUCGUUAAGACUCAAUGUGGUUUGAAUUAUACCUCAACAGUUAUGUUGAAAUGACUGUGAUCAGUUUUUCUUUUUUUUUUUUGAGAGAAAAAAAGAAGUUGUUGAAACAACGGGAGGUAAGUAGAAUCUCACACCCUUUACUUCCUUUUUUUGGUUUAAAGGCGCACACUUUACUUGUUUUCAAACUAUCUUACAUAUAUGUAUGUUUUUUUUUUCUUUUAUUUGGCUACCCAUCCGUGGAGGAUGGGAGUUUAUAUAUAUGUAUGUUUCAUUAAGUGAAUUAAAAGUUUUUGUUUCAUUAUUUUUUGCAUAAAAAAAAUAGGGUUAAGCAUAUGAUUGUUUUUUUAUUUUGAUUUAUUCAUGUGAUUGAAUAUUGAUUCAUAAUGAGAUAUGAAAUAUUUUGUUAGGUUGUAAAGUUUUAAGAGCUACAUUAAGUCUUGAGAAGUAGGAUAAUCAACACUAAAACUAAUUCUACAACCUUUGUUAAUGGGUUAUAAUAGUUAGCAUAUGACCCAAUAACAGAAUAUAAUAAGCUAGCAAACAAUCCCCCUAGCGGAUUAUAAUAGUUAGCAUAUGAAAUAGAACAUGAUUUUGAAUUUAAUUCCUAUUUGGAUUUUAAUGGAUUAUUUGAAAAAUAAAAUAAAACAAAUUGAGAAGCCAUUAAGACUGUGAGUGCAUACACUUUAUAUAUUAAUCAAAUACUCAAGUGCAAUGUUUAGGAUUUAAAUAAAAAUCUUGCAAAUUACAACAUCUUCAAUACAAAUUCUAAAUUCAUAAAAAAAAAAAAAAACCUUCUUCAAAACAUGUGUUUUCCGAGCCCCAAAAGCUACAGAUAAAAGCUGGUGCUCACAAAUUUGAAAAUGAUCAAAGCUGAACAAGAAAAGCAAAUUUUCCACUAAAAACACCAAGAAUCAUAUUACCCAUUCAGAUACUCAAUGAACACCCGAAUUCUUCAAACCACUGCCAUGGGAAAUGAUUGAGCCAGAUGCUACAGAAGCAGGGUCCAUCGGAUUCGGUUCAAAAGCCACCUUGACAAUUUGGAAAAAAAAAACAAAGGAAAAAUCAAUCGUAGAUUACAAAAGCAAUGAGAAAUUCGCUGUAAUUCUACUUUGGCAAAAAAACUGACCUAUGCAUGAUCUGGAUGUAGUGCUAGUUUCUUCUUCCUCUGUUUCUGCGAAUCCACUUUGUAACAUUGUUUUGCCAAUCUCUCUCAACCAUUCUGAUAAACCACCAUGGUCUUCCUGUUGUGAAUACAAUGUAUCCCAUGCUCAAUCCUAACACCACUCCACAUCCAUAGCCCAUCAUUACAACUUUCCAAAUAAAGGCUAUAUCAGAACCUUCAUCUUCCUUAACCAUUGGUACCAGUGGUUUUGGUUCAGGGUCACCGCAUUGUUUUGACAGUGGGAGGCCACACAAUCCCAAGUUACCACCAUAAGAAUCAUUCUCAAAAGUAUCAAAUUGCUUCCCAUGGGGAAUUGGUCCCACAAGAUCAUUUUGUGAAAGAUUUAAUACUUCGAGGAAUGUCAGAUUCGUCAAUUGAGAAGGAAUUCUGCCACCAAGCCUGUUUGACGAGAGAUCUAAUGAUUAAGUGCUAUCAUAUUUCCAAUAGUUGGUGAGAUAAGACCAGUCAAGUUGUUGUGAGACAAAUUGAGUCCUUGAAGCGAAAUAAGUUCUCCGAAUUCUUCAGGAAUUUGUCCACAGAAUAGAUUAUUCGAAAAGUCCAUAAAUGUGUAAAUGGCAAAGGUUUUCACCAACUCAAUCUCCAAUCUUUUCGUUGUUACAUUCACUGAGUAAUAGUCAUUAAAAGAUAAAGCUACAUCUCUACUUAUGAAUCUCGUGAAUUCCCAAGGUCUCUCUUCAGGUAUAUCUUUCAUUGCUCUCAAAUUUUGGAAGAAUUUUGUUGGCAAGGGACCGUUGAGCUCAUUAUGAGACAGAUCAAUUAUUUGCAGUGCAGAGAAGUUAGAUGAAGCUAUGGAAUUGGGCAUGGGACCAUGCAAUCUAUUAUUUCGUAAAAGAAGAACUUGCAGAUUUGGAAGUGAAGCAAACCAAUGGGGAAAGGUAUCAGUGAACUUGUUGUUCCUUAAAUUCGAAAGUUUCAAGGAACUACAAUUAGCCAAAGACCGUGACAAUAAUCCUUCCAAUUUAUUGUCAUUGAGGAGAAGAAUUUCCAAGUUAUUACCUCUAAAAGAAUCAGGCAUUUUACCGUGAAAAUUAUUCAUCUCCAAAUUCAUUACCAUGAGAGAAGAGCUGAGAUUUCCAAAACAUUCUGGAAUAGUUCCGCUCAAGUUAUUUCUAGACAAGUCAAGAAUCAAAAGUGAACUCCAAUUGCAAAUCAAAAGAGGGAUAUUUCCGGUUAAUUUAUUCUUUGAAACGUAGAAUGCAAUCAAAGAUUGUGGUGGAUUUGGACUUUGAUUAUUCAAGCAAGUUGAUAGAAUUGGACCUUGAAGCAAGUUGGAUCGAAGGUCAAGAACGUCAAGAUUUUUUCCUGGAAAAUGCCCUAAAGUGGUCAAAAAGUUGUAAGAAAGGUUCAAAGAUUUCAAAUUGUCCCACCCUUCUGCUUCCCAUUUGGAAAUUCCACCAUGAAUCUUGUUACUGGAAAGAUCUAAAAUCUUCAAAUUUGAUGUUCGAAAGAAACUUGGGAAUUGUCUUAUGCUACAAGAAGAGAAUGACACUUUAACAAGCUGAGGGAAGGAAUAGUUAAUAUCAUUUUCGCUUGCGCUUAAUGAUAGUAAACUAUUAUUUGAAAGAUCAAGAUCCCUAAGAUAUUUGAGUUUUGCAAGCAUAUUUGACUUGAUGACACCACUCAAGUUGUUUGAGGAAAGAUCAAGCGUUUCAAGGCUCACAAGAUCAAAAAAAGAAUUCGGUAUUGAUCCAUGAAUGUCAUUGGAACUCAAAUCAAUAUAUUCCAGAGAAUUAGGCUUCUGAAUUUGGUCAAUUUGACCGGCAAGUUUGUUAUAGCUAAGAUCUAAAGUUUGCAAAGAUGGUAAAGUAAACAACCAAGAUGGUAGUCCACCACUUACAAGGUUACUAGAUAACCAAAAUGUUUCUAGCAAUUGAAGCUCACUAACAUGAUUUGGUAGGGGACCUUCUAAUCGAUUAAAUGACAAAUCUAGAUGGGUAAGUUGCGUGAGGUUGAACAUGGUUGUUGGAAGUUGACCACUAAAAUUACAGGAAGAAAAUGACAAAAAAGUCAAUUUAUUAAGAUUUUCAAAAAUAUCUGGAAUAUGUCCUCCAAAAUCAUUUUCAGAAAAAUCUAAGUGGAUGAUUUGACUGAGAUUUCCAAUUGAUGCAGGAAUUGACCCUCUAAAACUGCAAAAGGAAAGGUCCAACAACUUAAGGCCACUACUCAAGUUUGACUUGGGGAAAUAACCUGUGACAUUUUCAUUACUACCUAAAUCUAUGUGUUGGAGGUAUGGAAGGGAAAAAACUUCACUUGGAAGUUCUCCAUCUAGUUGACAAUCAUGAAGACUCAAACGUUCUAGAGAUGAAGUCAAGUUCAUAAAGGAGGGAAGUGCAACAUCAGACAUCUCUACAAAGUCAAGGAUAAGGUUUCUUAAUUCAGUUAAGUUGCGUGCAAGCAUGUCAAAACCUUGGCUAUCAAAUCUGAAGUAGCUAUAGAUAUAAUAAGCAUUAUUGGAAAGAUCGAGUGAAACCAAUUUUGAUAGGAGACUUAUUUCAUAUGGGAUUAAGUCAGAGAAUGAAUUAUGGGAGAGAUUAAGAUGGGUCAAACUCACUAACUGAUUAAAUAACUCCGAUGAGAUAGAGCCAUUGAAAUCGUUGUGAGCAAGGUUGAGUCGUUGGAGUUCUUGAAGGUGGGAGAGGCUACUGUUUGCAGGGAGGGUGCCAUAAAGGCAGCUUUCACUAAGGUCGAUGCUAAUGACAUGACCCGUCACCACGUGGCAACUAACUCCACCCCAUGAACAGCAAUCCGUGCUUUCAUUCCAAGAAUUCCUCCAUAGGUAAUAACCACAAUCAUCAUACACAGAAAUAGUGUUUUUGAAUUCAAGCAAGGCAGCUCUCUGUGCUGGGAGGCAUAAGUGAGCUGAAGGAAGAAAAGAGGAUUUGGUACAACAUCCUAAUUACCUUUCCCAUAUUUUCUCGAGACAAAAGGAAAGUAUGAAACAAGGGUCGUCGAAAAAGGGCAAGUUAUGGAGGUGUACUUAAAAAUGAGUUGUGGCUGAGGCAGGCGGAGGGACAUGAAAAUAGAAGAAGCGGUGGACAAGUGGAGACAUCUGUUUUUCAAGUCAAUCAACAAGUCUUUCUCAAAAUAUUUUAAGCUGUUUUCCAUUAAUGCAAUUUGACGUCAAGUCUUCUCAAGUAGAAAAAAUUUAUUGAUUGUGUUGAGAAAUUUCAACAGCCCAAGGGUUAGGGCGUGGAAUCAAAACUAAAUUAAUGGAAUAAAAACGAAAAAGUGUUGGUGCCAUGCUAGCAUGAAUUGAGCGCCGCUGAAUCCUAUCCCAUUUGAUGUCUAUUUUUAUUUUAAGGUCUAAUGCCGUGUUUAUUGAAAGAAAAAGUGUUGACUGGUUCCUAUUGGAGGGCACACUUUGAAACUCAAUCCCCUUCAUAGACUUGUUUUUUCUAAAGAUUGGGCGUAGUCUUUACUCAGUAAAGUUAAUUAAUUAUUACAUGAACCCUUAGCCCACUUUAAUUCCUUUUCUUACGUAUGAAAUAUAUAUAUAUAUAUAUAUAUAAUCUUUGAUUAUCUAAUUCAAUAAUAAAUAUAAAAAAUGUAAAAAAGUACUACUUUGGGAUCAAUCCCAACCAGAGAACAUUAUUCUUCUCUCCCUCGGGGGUCGAUCUGACAAUGCAAUAAAACAUCAUUAUUUUAUCGAAUUAUUUCAAAACAUAGCAUUAUUCAACUAUUCAAUUUUAAUCCAUUUAUUUAUUAUUCUAUUUCUCAACAAACCAUAAUUGUCCAUUUUUAUUCAAUUUUUUCAUAGGGAUUAAAUCACCUAUAAUUAUUUUUACUUAGAUACUAUAGUAUUUAAUAUAAUACCAAAUAAUUAAGAUCCAUUAAAAAAUAUAUAUAUAUAAAAUAAGAAAUAAAUUUUUCACAUAUGAAAAUUUCUCCCUUCUUUUAAUUUUCACUUAACAAACUAAUCAAUAAAACAAUAUGAUAAGAAAUGUGCUCGGAUUCGACCUCAUGCUCAAAUAUGAAAAUAAUUAAUAAAUUAAAAUUAUAACGCAAUGGAAUAAUAAAUUAGUAUUUAAUCAGAAAAACAGUUGAAUCCUACAUGAUUAAUGUUUGUGAUUUUCAUGUAAUUUUCAAAUUAAAUAUAAACAUUUAUAAGUUUAAGAGUUACAUACAUUGCUCUAGAUAUUGUAAUCAAGAGUCAAUUAAAUCAAAGUCUUUGCUUAUUCACUUUUAGGAUUUAUCAAAUCUUUAGCCACUCUAGUGUUUGGCCUCUAAUAGUAAUCCAUACAAUGACCAAAUAAGACCUUCUCAAAGGUAAGAUUUUUACUUGUGCUAGCAAGUUUUGGUUCUAAAACAAAGAGACCAAAAUUCUUGCCGAAUCUUAUUUUUUUNNNNNNNNNNNNNNNNNNNNNNNNNNNNNNNNNNNNNNNNNNNNNNNNNNNNNNNNNNNNNNNNNNNNNNNNNNNNNNNNNNNNNNNNNNNNNNNNNNNNNNNNNNNNNNNNNNNNNNNNNNNNNNNNNNNNNNNNNNNNNNNNNNNNNNNNNNNNNNNNNNNNNNNNNNNNNNNNNNNNNNNNNNNNNNNNNNNNNNNNNNNNNNNNNNNNNNNNNNNNNNNNNNNNNNNNNNNNNNNNNNNNNNNNNNNNNNNNNNNNNNNNNNNNNNNNNNNNNNNNNNNNNNNNNNNNNNNNNNNNNNNNNNNNNNNNNNNNNNNNNNNNNNNNNNNNNNNNNNNNNNNNNNNNNNNNNNNNNNNNNNNNNNNNNNNNNNNNNNNNNNNNNNNNNNNNNNNNNNNNNNNNNNNNNNNNNNNNNNNNNNNNNNNNNNNNNNNNNNNNNNNNNNNNNNNNNNNNNNNNNNNNNNNNNNNNNNNNNNNNNNNNNNNNNNNNNNNNNNNNNNNNNNNNNNNNNNNNNNNNNNNNNNNNNNNNNNNNNNNNNNNNNNNNNNNNNNNNNNNNNNNNNNNNNNNNNNNNNNNNNNNNNNNNNNNNNNNNNNNNNNNNNNNNNNNNNNNNNNNNNNNNNNNNNNNNNNNNNNNNNNNNNNNNNNNNNNNNNNNNNNNNNNNNNNNNNNNNNNNNNNNNNNNNNNNNNNNNNNNNNNNNNNNNNNNNNNNNNNNNNNNNNNNNNNNNNNNNNNNNNNNNNNNNNNNNNNNNNNNNNNNNNNNNNNNNNNNNNNNNNNNNNNNNNNNNNNNNNNNNNNNNNNNNNNNNNNNNNNNNGAUGCACAGUGAUCUCAUAAUUGUAACAACUUUACAAUUCUCUUGCAAGGCUUUUAUGUUCCAUGGGCUUCUUCCAAUUAGUACUUAAUAACUCAUUUUUUUUGCACUAACAUGAAGGAAAACGUCUAUCACAUAUAGUUAUGCGUUUAAGUAUGCAUUAAAUGACAAUGUAUAUUCUUUGACCAAUCCAAUUGACUCAAGGGUAUAUACCAACAAAAUGAAUAAAUAAAAAGAGUUAAUUUUUAUGGUGUUGUGGUUAAAAAUUAUGAAGAUGGAAAACCUUUUGAAGAUGGUGCUGAUGAAAAAUAUUUUUUACUAUAUGAUCUAAACAAUAUAAAAUAUUUUUGGCAGUUUAUCUUUGAUUUGACAAUUUUAGACACAACACAAGAAGACAUGGAGUUAAUCAUAUUUGAGUUUAGUUUUAUCGUGUUUCUUGUCGUAAUCUUGUCAAAUAUAAUUAAAACGUUUAAACUCAUUUAAUUAAUUGUAUUAAUCAUGUUAUUAUGUCUAACCUUUAUAAGUGGACAUGUUUAUCAACCUACUUAAUUUAGUAGUAAGAAACUAUUUUAUUAGGAUAAUGGAUUUUAUGGAUUGUAUUUAUGUAGAAUUUCAUUAUAUUUGAUGAUAUUAUUAUCUUAUUAUAAUUUUUUAUGAUUAUUGAUUUUAAAUAUAAAUAAUAAAUUUAUAUUUAAAUUAUAGGUCUUUAAUUUAAUCGUAUAUUAAUCUUGUUACGUGUUAAAAAUUGAAUCGUAUUAAUUAUUUUAUAGUGUUUUUAAUUAUGUUGUGUCAUAUAAAACUUAAAACUCGACACGUUUAAUAAACGUGUUAACCGUACCGAGUCAUGUUAUAUGUUUAUUAUAUGUAUCUGUAUAUGUGUUUCAAAUCCUAACACUGAUUAGUUAAUCAUAUUGUAUUCAUAUUUACGCAAAAAAUUGUUAAUAUUCUAUAUUUACACAAUACAAUUAAAAUACAGAAAUAUGAAUUAUCAAGUCCAAUAUAUCUAAACAAAUUAUUUUUUAAUCAUGUCAUGACGUAUAAAACUUAAAACUUGACACGUUUAGUAAAUUUGCUAAUUAUGUCGAGUCAUAGUACACGAUUAUUAUACGUAUUCGUAUAUGUGUUUUAGAUACUAAUAACGAUUAGUUAAUCGUGUCGUAUUCGUAUUUACUUAUAAAAUUGUUAAUAUUCUACAAUAUAAUUAAGAUACAGAGACACGAAUUGUCAAAUCGAAUUUAUCUAAAAAAAUUAUUUUUCGAUUACCAAAUGAACUUUAAUUACUUGCCACAUGAAACUGACAUAUAUGCUAAGAAAAACCAAUCUAAUGAUUUAUAGAUUGUUAUUGAUAUGUGACUCAUGCUAAUAGUAAUUUUUGAGCAUUCAAACCAAGAGGAAGAAAUGAAGAUAGUGACAGAAGAUGAGGAGGGGGAAUUCAGAAAGGAAAUUAAACAAGAAGGGCAAAUUACCUUGUUAGAAAGAAAAGGCAUGAAGCGUUGUAUGCAUACAUGUUAAAAUCGUACCAUAUAGACUUGUCUGCAUAGACUCUUAACCUGAGCUAGUUAAGGGUCAUUGUAUAGCUUUUGGGAGUGAAGAGUGAAGACUACGCCAACUCUUUACUUUUCUUGAAUGACGUAUAAUUAAGGGUUCAAUGUGUGCCCUUAAAUGCUGACUGUAAAUAAAAAUGUAAUUAAGUAUUUAAUUCAAUGAUAGAUAUAUAAACAGUAAACACAGUAAAGAGAGAAAUGCACAGAGCCUAUUGGUGUAAGUAUGAGAUUAAUGCAUCAAAUUGAAAACGAAAAGCCAAGUAUAACAGCGUUUGCAUAGGAGUAGAAAAUGUCAACCACUGCCCGACCCCUCAAAAGUGAGUUGGAAUGAGGUUGAUGCUAAUAGUGUCCAAUACAACAUAUACUUUCAUUUAUAAAGUGUAAAAUAUAUAAAUACAACAUUUUCUUAAUAGAAAACAAGCACAAUUAUUUAUUUUGUGAUGAUGGAUGUUGAUGUAGAACAUUAUUUUACACAACCUGAAGAACAUAAAAAUGAGGAACAUAAGGAGAGUCCAAUGAUGAUCCAAACCUGUAAGUUGGCUGAGGGACAAGUGAGGGAGUUGAACUUAAAAAUCAGUUGUGGUUGAGGCUGAGGGACAUGAGAAGUGAACUACGUAUUGGAGAAGUGGGGACAUGAAAGUGUUAGAAUGGAAAGCAUGAAGGUCGUUGAAUCCUAUCCCAUUAGAGACGUUAGUAGGAUUUGCAUAUUUUUCUUGAAUUCUCAUUUGAUGUUACUUGGAUAAUGUUCAAGCAAGAACAUGAGUGCAAGGGAUGUCAUUAUGCAAGAAUAUAUAUAAACUUUACUUUUAUCAAUUGAUUGAAGUAAUUUUUUAAGUAAGGAAAUAUAUGCACUUAAUUAUAUUGAGCCAAAUACUCAAUAUGCAAUUUUUUUUCAAUCUAGACACUAUGUUCUUAUUUUGACAAUCUGUUAAAGUGGACUUUGAGACAAAGAGAUGAUAAUUGAAGUAAGCAUUUAAUUUUCGUUCCUUUUUAUUAACAAAAAAUUAAAGUAAACUUCAUAUUUUAGUUAUAUAAUUUUUUAAAAAAUUAAAAAAUAAAAAUCAGAUAAUUUAACUGAAAUUCUCCCUAAAAGGCCCCUAUUUUUUGAAGUUUUUCAGUUUUACAUCUAAAAUUAAUCCAAAAUUUUAUGUUCAAUUUUCCUAGCAUAAAAACGCAGGCUCAAAAUCAUUUUCGUAUGUACUAUUUAACUCACAUGAGGUGAUAAAAAAAAUAAAAAAUUCAUUGAAGAAUUCAAGAUUGGAAUCUAUAUAAUUGGGUCAAGCCAGUGGGCCACCCGACCCAUGGAUAAGUCUAAUGCCCUGUUUAUAAAGAGGAAAAACAUGAAUCGUAUAGACCGUUGUGGUUCCUAUUUGAAGACACAUUCAAAUUCAAUCCCUUUCAUACAGUUGUUUCUCAAUAGAUUGGACGUAGUCUUCACUCAACAAAGUUAAUUAAUUGUCAUAUGAACCCUUAGCUCACGUUAAUCCCUUUUCUUACGUAUGAAAAAAUAUAUAUAUAUAUAUAUAUAGAUAUAUAUGUAAUUUUUGAAUAAUUAAUUCAACAAUAAGGAUCAAAUCUAUACUUCAACCCUUUUAUCCUUAUUCUUUCCGUGCAUAACAAAAAAUUAUUAAAGAGACCAUUUUUAUUAUGCCAUCCAUAAAUUUGAUAAAAUCUAACACAAAAUAUGGAUUCAUGCAUGCUCACACGACAACUUUUGAUUACUUAUUGCAUCAAGCUGAAAUAUGAGAUUAGAAGAACCUAUCUAAAAAUUUAAUUUAAUGAUGCUUAUUGAUGUAUGACUGAUGCUCAUGUAAUUUUUAAGCAUUGAAAUCAAGAGGAAGAAAUGAAAAGGGAAAUAGUGACAGAAGAUGAAGAGAGGCAAUUCAUAAAGGAAUAUCAAACAAGAUGGGCAAAUGCCGUGUUACAAAGGAAAGGCUUGAAGCGCCUUGACUGUUGUCUGCAUGCAUGUUAAAAUCAUACCAUAAAUACUUUUGUCUCCAUUGACCCUUAACAACUUGAGCAAAGGGUCAUUGUAUAGCUUUCGAGAGUGAAGACUACGCCCAGUCUUUUGAGAAAAAAAAAAACUGUCCUUGAAUGACUUUUAAAUAGGUGAUUCAAUGUGUGCCCUCAAAUGUAUUUAAGUAUUUAAUUUAAUAAUAAUUAUAUAAACAAGAAACGCAGUAAAGAGAGAAAUGCACAAAGCCUAGUGGUGUAAGUAUGAGAUUACUGCAUCAACUUGAAAAUGGAAAGCCAAGUAUAACAGUGUUUGUAUAGGAGUAGAAAAUGUCAACCCCUGCCCGACCCAUCAAAAAUGAGUUAGAAUAAGGUUGAUGCUAAUACAGUACCCAAUAAUUUAAUAAUUUAAUAAUUUAAUUGUUUUGAAAACAUGAGUUAUUGAAAUAUUAUUGAAUGAUUUAUAUAAACAUAUUAAAAUCAAUGCUUGAUGCAGUAUACGUACCCAUACUUAUUAACAUUCCAUAACUGGUAACAUACAGGGGCAACCCAAUAAGCUCAAAAGUUUAAAGCGAAAUAUUCAAAUGGGGCUUUUGUUAAUUGAAAUUAAAAAAAUUAUUAAAAUUUUAUUCUUCUAGCUUUUUUGAGAUGCAAAAUUUUUAAUUAAACUUUUAUAAUGAAAUUUUUUUAAUAUUUUUUUUUCAAUUAAUAAUAUAACCAAUCCAUUUAAUCUUUCUUGAGAUAUUAUUGAUCUUAAAUAAGAUUUUAUUAAUUUUAGUUUUGAAAAACUUUUUUCUCCUGAAGCAACACUUACUGAAAUUGUUAACAUUAUUCUAAAAGCAAUAUAUACAUUUAGAAAAGAAUCGAGUCUUCUUAUAUGAUUAAGUAUGUCAAUUAGAUUGUUUUCUUCCUGUAUAAUUUCUUUUAAAAUUUUUAAUUCUGAAAAUAAAUCUAAACUAUCAAUAUCAUAAUAGUUAUUAUAUUUUAAGGAACAUUCAAGAUUAAGGCAAUAUUAUUUCAAACUAUUAUCAUAUAAUGAUUUCAACUUUUUACCUCUAUAUAGAAAACAAAAAAAAUUGGUUUUAUAUAUAGAAAAAAAAUAACUGUUGAAAAUAAUUAAAUGAGUUGAUUGAAAAUAAGAGAAAUAAGUAAGAAAAAAUUAAUUGUUGGAGAUGAUUAAAUACAUAUGACCGUUAGUUGAUUGAAAAUAAGAAAAUAAGAAAAUAUAAUUGAGAAUUAAUAGCAUUUUAGAAAUAAGGAAGUGAUAGAAAAUUAAAAUUUAUUAGGCACAUAAUUAGAAAAAUGAGAGAACAAAUCAUUUUAUUAAUUAUUUUUACUUUUAUAUAUUUUAAUUUUUAUAUAUUUUUAAUUUAUUAAUUUCUAAUAUAUAUAUAUAUAUAAAAUCAUAAAUUUUUUAAAAAAUUGAGACCCCCUAAAUUGGGGGCCUAAAGCCCUUGCUUGGGUGGCUUCACCCAAAGGCCAGCCUUGGUAACAUAUCCAAAAUAUACAUAAAUCUAAUGCUUUACUUCUCCAUUACAUAAACAAGCAAGGUUCUUGCCAUGUUCCAGAACAACUAUUACACAUUUAAUCAAAGACUCACCUAAAUAUCAGACCCAUCAAAAGGAGUAAUUACAUCAGGUAUGACAACACAGUUUUCCUUUGAGCCUAUAUCUUGUGUCACAUUUUUCUUAACUUUAUGAUGCAAUCCUAGAUAUUAAACAAAUGAGUUCAUUUUCAACCGUGAUUUAAUUCUAACUGAUAUCAACCUAAUAACUUUAGAUCCAACUCAUGUUAACAUAAGAAGACUUCAUUCGACUCAUCAGUUAAAAAGGCACAUUCAAUACAAAACACACCAAUUUUGUUCAUUUCACUUUGCACUUUCUACAAUUGUAUCAUUCAUUGAAGAUAAAAUUAAAAAACUAAACACAUAAAUAAAUCCAACAAUAUUCAAUAAAUUGAAAUUCAUCAAGCUACAAUUUUUAUUGUUGCUUCUACUACUUGCUUCUAGAAGCUAAACACGCAAAAAGCAAUAAUUUUUUGAAGAAUUAAAACUAAAAAUGUAACUUAUUUAGAUAAGGAAAUGCAUAAUUAUACUUUUUGUAGACACCCAUUGAAAAUUAACCAAAAAAAAUAAAAAAUAAUAUAAUAUAAUAAAAAAAAAAGGGCUGAAGCACGCUGUAGUACCCUGUAUUUUGAUAUGGUGGCUAAUAAAGUUUACAGAUGCCAAUUGAGGUUGAUUACUAAGUUAAAAGGGUAAUUCAGAAGUGAACCUGUGAAAUCUCGACCUCUAUAAACUUAACUAGAAGUAGACGCGAUAAUGAGGACCAGGGGUAAUUUCGUAAUUUCUGUUGGUAGGCUCCUAUGAGUGGGUUUUUUUUAUGCUAUUAAGGUCUACAUAGGCCUAAGGAAUGAAUAAAUUAUGUUUAUGAUGGUAAAUAAAUGAGGAAAAUAAAAAUAAUCAUAAUUUCCACGGUAGGGGCAAAAUGGUCAUUUUGCACAUCGACUCAAAAUUUUAAGUUUUCUUAAACCCGAGUAGUUUAGAUCAUUAUGGACCUUGUCCCAGUGUCAAAAGAAUAAAAAUAUUGCACAAAGGAUAGGAAGAAGACAAAAUGACCUUGUUAAAGGCAUUUUGGUAAUUACAUGAUAAAAUGGAUAAACAUAAGGCAUAAAUAUCUAAGUUUCUAGCAAGUUCUUCAAAUUUCCAACAACUUUUUCUUCUUCUUCUUCCUUUCUCAUGUUUUCUUACCUUCCAUGGGAGCUUGCUUUGAAAUCUCCAUAGAUUUUCUCACGUUAACCCUAAUUUUCAUGCUUUUGUGCACCUUUUCGCAAAGUCCUUUGUGCUCUCUUACUCUUUUACCUUAAAACCCUCAAAAGCCUUUCCUUAAUACUUUCUCUCACUAGUUGGACAUUUUAGAGAGAGAAAGAGAGAGAUUUUUCAUAAGAAUUCAAAAGCUUUUGAAAAGGAAUUCAAUUACAAAGCUACCAAGGUGAGUAAUGAAACUAAGUUGAUUUUUUUUUUAGUUGUUGAGAAUGGCUAGUGGAUAGAAUUGUGAGUGUUUUGUAGUUGAUGUGGUCUAUUCAUUUUAGUGUGACUAGAAUGGUGAAAAUAGAUAGUCACUUACUGGUAGUUGGAAGCUAGCUAGGAAUAACUAGUAGAACAUAAUUUAGGAGAUAGCUUUUAGAAAUAUGGUUAUGUGGAUUGAGUUGAUUUGUGAUGCUAUUGUGUGUGUAUAGGUUCCAACAAGGCCUCACAUGUCCAUUUGGAGUGUUAGUUGAGGUUAGAGUCAAGCAAAAGAAACAACAAGACCGGUGAGUGAACUUGCAUUUCAAAGUAUUUUUGGGAAUGUGAAUGUGUUUGCACAAGACAUUAAAUGAUUUUAUCAAACUUUUCUUUAAAAUGGGUGCCUUGGGAACAAGCCCUUGAUAAUUAUCUUUGUGUUGUGAUAUGUGGCUAUUAUGGAUUCAUAUACUGCUAUAUUAUGUUGAUAUAUAUAUACACGUAUGAAUAUAUUAUUGUGUAAUGAUAUUGACUCGGCUAUGUGCGAGUAGGGAGUGCGCAUAAGCCGAUGAUGACACGGUGAUAUGCGAGUAGGGAGUACGCAUAACCCGGUGAUGACCCAGCCAUGUGCGAGUAGGGAGUGUGCAUGAGCUGAUAAUGAUGGGAUGGUGUGCAUGAUGAUGUUGGGUAUAUAUAAAUAUACAUAUGUAAAUAUGUGUGUUAUAGGAAGUUUAUGAGUAAAGGUAUAUGGUUUUGCAUAUGUGAAUCUUGCAUGUUGAACUUUGAAAGUUGUUGAGUAUUGUCAAAUUGGUGUUCAUUGCAACAAGGAAUUUGGCUGUAGUGAAAUGGAUUCUCGUUGCCGCUAAAAAUUCUCAGUGGUGGUGCAGUGCUGUCAUUUUGACAGCAAUUUUGACCACCUUUUGAUCAGAACUGGGCAAAGUGGUAAACACUAAAGUCGUAGCCCUACCUCUUAGCUUUCUAAUGACCUAACAAGCAUGUCAAUUGGACCUAUGUAGUGGAAGAUAUGCUUUAAAAACUGAACCAUAUGCAAACUAAGAAUGCCUUUUACUGCAGUGAGAAACGUGCUGUCACGUUGUUACCUUGCUCGGGUUCUGAUAUAAUUUCCUUCACUCUCUUAUCUUCAUGAUUGAGCAUGGGUCUUUGCAAUACUAAAAUUCCACUGAUCAAUGUCCAAAACAAGGGGAUUUAAGAAAGAAAUUAAACCAAAUUGCAUUGUUUUCAAAACAAGUGCAUCAUGAUUUCCAAAUUCUUCCUAUUGAUUGCUUGUUCUCUUAUUAUGUUCACUCACUAAGCUUUAUGCUCACAUUUUUAAAAUUCAUGUUUUCAAAUUUGGAGGUAGUUGGAACCUAGUUUGAGUUGCACACAUAUGUUUGUCUUCUUGGUAAGUACUAUGGCAUCUCAGUAGCUGCACCUUCACUAUGGUCACUCCGCUGGAAGUCUAGAGUCCUUUUCGUUGAACAUAUAUACCUUGAUGUAAAUUGUUAAGAUAUAUAUAUCUUAAGCACUAGACGUUUAUGUUGAUUAAUGUUGCCACUACGAGAUGGCACGAAUGACAUUAUUUGAAUCAUAAAUGUGAACAUAUGGUUUUGAUGGAAAAGUAUUGAAAUACUUGUUGAUAAAAAUUAUGGAAUACGGUUGUAAGAACGAGUGAUAAAAUCGAUGAAUAGAGUCACAUAAAUAGGCUUGCUUAGGCUUAGUGGGCUAUGCCCAUUGGGCCCAUGCGCCAGUCAUGGCUCUAAAAUUUGGGCUGUGACACACGCUUGGUCUCCGUUUUCAACAAAAUACAGAGCAUUAAAUGCUCAUCCGGCGGUCGAGAUUUGAAGAUCAUUUCCAGCGGAUUUGCUGUUGACUUGAAGGCCACCCAUCCGAGAUUCAUGUUGAAUGGAGCAUGAUUACCUCCUUUGGUUGUCCAAAAAUUUGGACAACCAAGUUCUAUAAGAACCCUAAAAUUCUGAGGCUGGAGAAAUCUUGAAGGCUAGAAAACGUAGCAAAAAAAAAAUCAGAGAGAAAACGAUCCAAAAAACCCAAUUUUUCAAAACAAAAAAAAAAACACAAAAACCACCACAAAUCCUAAACCUCUAGCAGUUGGAACCACAACCCACAACAAUACAAAAAAUCAAAAAUCAAAAAAAUAAAUACAAAAAAACACAAAAAAAGAAAAAAAAAUGAGAGGGGUAGUGGGUAGUGAGGGAUUGGCGUUUUUGGGCUUUCUAGGGACAGUCUGGAUCUUUAGAGCGCCGACUAAAGGAGAGUGGAAGCCAAGAUUUUCCGGUUUGGUAUAUCGGUCAUCGGCAAAGGGGGUAAGAGGUCCGGUCUAGGCAGAGAAAGGGAGGUUUUGGGGUCUAGGUCCGUCGAUCUGUGGUGGUAGGGAGAGUAUAGGAGAGGGUGCAGCUGUCGGAGUAAAGGAAAAGAGGGAAUCUUUGGGUGCGGUACUAGUAGGAAAAGAGGAGGUUCUUGGGUGCGUCGCCGGUAAGAGAGGAAAGAGGGGUUACCGCCAGUCAGUUAGAUAGGCAAAAGAGGAAGGUUUUGAGUGAGGAAAGAGAGCUGGUGAAAGAGAAGAGGAAAAUAGUUAGAUAAAAAAGGAGAGUUGCUGCUGGAGCUCCAGAUUGGAGUGUUUUAGGAAGCACGGUGGGCUGAGGACACGGGCUUGGGUGCUUCCAAACAAAUCAAUUAUUUUGGGUUAUUGUCCAAGCCCAAACAAGGUAAGAUCUUUUCUUUUAUUGUUUACAUGGACAUAUUAACUGACCCAAUAUUGAGUUGGGAAGUAUUGGAAGUUGAAAAUAAUUUAUAAAUAGGAUGAUUUUUGCUAAAUAGAGUAUACAUAAAUAAAAAGUAAAUCUAUAAAUCAAAAUACCUUGUGAGGAUAUAUUUAGUUAAGGUAAGAAUAUAUAUAAUAAAUAGAUAAAUAUAAUAGAUAAAAAUUAGAUACAUGAUAAAAAUUAUAAAAAAAAUGAAAUGAUUAUUUUGAGUUAUCCAAUAAUAGAAUUUCACCUUAAAAAAAGGCAAAGAGUUGCCUCUUUAGGGUGGAUUUCUUGGGUGCGGAGUUCGAGAUGAAUUUUCACCGAAGCGUCGGGAUAAAUUCGGAUUCUAUACUCCAAAACCUAUUAACUCAAAUAAUCGUUGUUAAAAAAUAAUAUAUAUUAAAAAAUAAAUUUACAUAAAGUUCGAGACAAAUUCUCACCGAAGCAUCAGAAUGAAUCCGAAUUCUAUACUCUAAUACCCAUUAACUCAAAUAAUCAUUGUAAAAAAAUAAUAUACAUUAAAAAAUAUAUAUAUAAUAAUAAACAAUAGUAAAUAUAUGAACAAGGUAAUAAAUCAUCUUAAGCUAUUAAACAUAUAAUUGAAUGAAUUAUGAACCAACUAAACUAAUAAAUGCGUUCAUGUAGAUAUCAUCAUUUUAUCUUGUCAUAAGCAUGCCACAUCUAUCUUAUCAAUGGGGUGGGAAUUACGAUGAUGAGAUUUUCUCGGAGAACUCGUAGAGACGAGUUCUUCUCGAAGAUAUAUCUAGGUGAGAAAAACUUCGAGAUUUCACCAAAGCGUUGGGAUAGUCUAUGAAUGAUUUUUCAAUAAAAUAUUACUGACCCCAUCAUUUAAAAUUGAACAAGUCAUAACAUAAUUUUAUGAUUGCAUCAUGCGCACCCACGAAACCGAAUAAAAGACUCAAUCAGCUAAUAAGCAAAGAUUAAGGAAACAUAGGAAUAAAAUCAAUGUGGGCUACAAUAGGAUAACUUAAGAUUAAAUGGUACCGUUCGUGGAAUGGGAGCCACGGAGGUGCUAACUCUUCUCUGUGUAUAACCGCACUCUCGAACCCAUCUCUAAAAAUCGUAGAUUAGUUCUCGUUCUUUCGACGAAUAUAAAAUUAAUUUAAGAUUUCGUCUAUUAGAACCGAGUUACUAGGUGACCAAUCGCACCUAGAAAAGACGAUUUGUGGCAACUCCUAAUUAUUUUAUUUUCGCCUACGUCUAGCAGUCGGGUUCCUAGACCCGGCAUGUUACGACACUUUUAUAUGAAGUAAUUAACAUUAUAUUCCAGUCAAUGUUCAUUUAAUCAAUUACAUAAUUUUGCUAUAAAGCAACCUCCAAAGCAAAUAGCAAUAACAACCAAACCAAGAUGAAUCAAAAAAGACAUAAAAGAAAAGGAAAAAUUACCUGUCUAUGAAUCAAAUCACCACGCAAAGAGUAAACCAACACGAACCCUCAAGAGGUCCCAACUGCAAUCACUUUAAUCUCAUCGAAAAGUCUUCGCAGACGAUGCAGCCAACAUCCGUCAAAGUGAUGGUGGCUCUGCUUCGACAUUGGCACCAGGCUUUCGGCUCUUGUCUCUUGGCAACUGAGAUUACGGAUCGGAAAGGAAAGUUGGUGACUUAUUGUGGGGUCCAUGUGUAAAGUAGCAAACAAAAUUCAAAAAAUUAAUUAAAAAAAGAGUAAAAAAAGCAUUGGAACAUUUUUAUUUAGUCUUGCAUAUUACAACAUUUUCAAUACAAAUCCUAAAUUCAGAAAAAAAAUUCUUCAAAACUAGUCUUUUCCAUAUAAAACUUCAGAUAAAAGCUGCUGAACAUGAAACGCAAAUUAUCCACUAAGAACAUGUAGAAUUGUUCAAAUCACUGCCAUGGAAAAGCCAGAUGGUAGAGAAGCAGGGUGCAUUAGAUUCAGUACGAAGGCCACCCUGACAAGUAGAAAAAAAGAAAGGAAAAAUCAAUUGUAGAUUACAAAAGCAAUAAGAACUUUGUUGUAAUUCUACUUUGGCAAAAAAAACUCACCUAUGCAUGAUGUGGAUGUAGUGCUAGUUUCGUCUUCCUCUGUUUCUGCGAAUCCACUUAGUAACAAUGUUUUGCCAAUCUGUCUCAACCAUUCUGAUAACCACCAUGGUCUUCCUGUUGUGAACACAAUGUAUCCCAUGCUCAAUCCUAACACCACUCCACAUCCAUAGCCCAUCAUUACAACUUUCCAAAUAAAGGCUAUUUCAAAACCUUCAUCUUCCUUAGGCAUUGGUACCGGCAGUUUUGGCUCCUCAUCGUUGCCACAUUGCUUUGACAGUGGGAGGCCACACAAUCUCAAGUUUCUGCUAUAAGAAUCAUUCUCAAAAGUAUCAAAUUGCUUCCCAUGGGGAAUUGGUCCCACAAGAGCAUUUUGUGAAAGAUUUGACACUGCAAGGAAUGUCAGAUUCGUCAAUUGGGAAGGAAUUCUACCACCAAGCUUGUUUGACGAGAGAUCUAAUGAUUCAAGUGCAAUCGUGUUUCCGAAAGAUGGUGGGAUAGGACCAGUCAAGUUGUUGUUAGACAAGUUGAGUGCUUGGAGCGAAAUAAGUUCCCGAGUUCCUUAGGAAUUUGUCCACUGAAUAAAUUGUUCGAAAAGUCUAGGGAUGUAAAAAUGAUUAAGGUUUUCACCAACUCAAUCUCCAUUCUUUUUGUUGUUAUAUUUACAGCAGUUUGGUGAUAGUCAUAAGCAUACAUAAUUUGAGCAUUCGGAUUCUUGUACAAGAAUGACUCCGAAGAUCUGUCUUUAGGUACAUCUUUCAUUGCUCUCAAAUUGUGAAAGAAUUUUGCUGGCAAGGGGCCAAAGAGCUCAUUGUGUGAGAGAUCAAUUAUUUGCAAUGCAGAAAAGUUAGAAGAAGCUAUAGAAUUGGGCAUCGGACCAUGCAAUCUAUUGGAUCGCAAAAUAAGAACUCGCAACCUUGGCAGUGAACUUAACCAAUAGGGAAAGGUAUCAGUUAACUUGUUCCUUAAAUUCAAAACUUCUAAAGAACUACAAUUUGCCAAGGAUCGCGGUAGUAAUCCUUCCAAUUGGUUGUCAUUGAGGAGAAGAUUUCUUAACAAAUUAUUUGCAAAAGAAUCAGGGACUUUGCCAUAAAAAUUAUUCAUCUCCAAAUUCAUGAUCGUGAGAGCAUAGCUGAAAUUUCCAAGACAAUCUGGAAUAGUUCCAAUCGAGUUAUUUCUAGAUUAAUCAAGAACCAUAAGCGAACUCCAAUUGCAAAUCAAUUGAGGGAUAUUUUCGGUCAUUUUAUUCUUCGAAAUUAAGAAUACAACCAAAACUUGUGUUAGAUUUGGAUUUUGAAGAUUCAAGCACGUUGAGAGAAUCGGCCCUUGAAGCAUGUUGGACUGAAGGUCAAGAACUUGAAUAUUCUUUCCGGCUGGAAAUUGCUCCAAGGUGGUCAGAAAGUUGUAAGAAAGGUUCAACACACUCAAUCGUUCCCACCCUUCUGCUUCCCAUUUGGAAAUUCUACCAUGAAUCUUGUUAUUGGAAAGAUCUAAAAGCUCCAAAGUUGAUGUUCGAAAGAAACUUGGGAACUGUCUUAUGCUACAAGAAGAGAAUGACACUUUAACAAGUUGAGGGAAGGAAUAGUUAACAUCAUUGCCGCUUGUGCUUAAAGAUAGUAAACUAUUAUUUGAAAGAUGAAGAUCCGUACGAUUUUUGAGUUUUGCAAGCAUAUUUGACCUGAUGACACCACUCAAGUUGUUUGAGGAAAGAUCAAGCGUUUCAAGGCUCACAAGAUCAAAAAAGGAAUUUGGUAUUGAUCCAUGAAUGUCAUUAGAACUCAAAUCAAUAUAUUCAAGAGAAUUAGGCUUCUGAAUUUGGUCAAUUGGACCAGUGAGCUUGUUAUAGCUGAGAUCUAACCUUCUCAAAGAUAGCAAAGUAAACAGCCAAGAUGGUACUCCACCACUUAUAAGGUUAUUGUUAAUGCUAAUAUCUUCUAGCAAUUGAAGCUCACUAACAUGAUUUGGUAGGGAACCUUCUAAUCGAUUAUGUGACAAAUCCAGGUGGGUAAGUUCUGUGAGGUUGAACAUAGUUGUUGGAAGUUGACCACAAAAAUUGCAGAAAGAAAAUGACAAAAAAGUCAAUUUAUUAAGGUUUCCAAAAGUAUCAGGAAUCUGUCCUCCAAAAUCAUUUCUUGAAAAAUCUAGAAAGAUGAUUUGAGUGAGAUUUCCAAAUGAUGCGGGAAUUGACCCUCUAAAACGGCAAAAGGAAAGGUCCAACAACUUAAUGGCAUUACUCAAGUCUGUCUUAGGGAGAUAACCUGUGAGAUUUUGAUUCCAACCUAAAUCUAUGUGCUGGAGGUAUGGAAGGCUAAACACUUCACUUGAAAGUUCUCCAUCUAGUUGACAAUCAGUAAGACUCAAGCUUUCCAGAGAUGGAGUCAAGUUCAUAAAGGAAGGAAUUGCAGCAUCAGACAUAUCUACAGAGUCAAUGAUAAAGUUUCUUAAUUCAGUUAAGUUGCGUGCAAGCAUGUCAAAACCUUGACUAUCAAAUCUCAAGUUGAGAUAACCAUUCCUUGAAAGAUCGAGUGAAACCAAUUUUGACAGGAGACUGAUUUCAUAUGGGAUUAAGUCACAUAAUGAAUUAGAAGAGAGAUUAAGAUGGGUCAAACUCACAGAUUGAUGAAAUAACUCCGAAGAGAUAGAGCCAUUGAAAUUGUUGUGAGCAAGGUUGAGUCGUUAGAGUUCUUGAAGGUGGAAGAGGCUGCUGUUUUCAAGAAGAGAGCCAUGAAGGUUGUUGGAACUAAGAUCGAGCCAUUGAAGUCUUUGAAGGUGGAAGAGGCUGCUGUUCACAGGGAGAGUGCCGUUAAGGCAACUGUUACUAAGGUCGAUGCCAAUGACAUGACCCGUCCCCAUGUUGCAACUGACUCCAUCCCAUGAACAACAAUCCGUGCUUUCAUUCCAAGAAUUUGUCCUUGGGUAAUCAUCACAAUAAUCAUCCAGAGAAGUGGUGUUUUUGAAUUCAAGCAAGGCAGCUCUCUGUUCUUGGAGGCAGAAAUGAGCUGAAUGAAGAGAAGAGGAAGGGAAACUCAAUGAACAAUGGAGCUGGAAAUACAAGAGCGCUAAAAGCGGGCAAAGGAUUUGGAACAACAACCUAAAUACCCUUCCCAUAUUUUCUCGAGAAAAAGGAAAGUAUGAAACAAGGGUUGUCGGAAAGGGGCAAUGUUAGGGAGGUGAAGUUGAACAUGAGCUGCGGCUGAGGCCGAGGGACAUAAAAACACAAGUAGUGGACAUCUCUUUUUCAAGUCAAAUCAACAAAUCUUUUGAGUUGUUUUCCAUUAAUGCAUCUAAAGUCAAGUCUUCUCAAAUUUAUUGAUUGUGUUGAGAAAUUUGAACAGCACAAGUGUUAAUGCGUGGAAUCAAAACUACAUUAAUGGAAUAAAAGAAAAAGUGUUGGUCCCGUGUUAGAAUGAAAAGCAAGAAUCCUAUCCCAUUUUCUUAUUGGGAAAUGCUUAUCAGACCCGAAUUUCAUGAUCGAAAUCGAAGUGCAGUAAGAAAGUUUUUUUCCUUCUUGUUUACCAAGAAAAAAGCUCAAAAGUAAGAAAUUCAUGUCACAUGCAAGCUGUGUGCGUGACAGAAUUAAAAGAAAAGCUUCAAUAUCAUAUAAAGGGUAGGAUUUUGAAAUAGAUGGAAAAUUUUGUGAGCAUAUUUUUCUCAUCCUUCCGUCGCAUUUUCACAUUAAAAGUUAGAGUAGUAUUAUUUUUCCCAACAAAAAAUAAUUGACUAUUUUUAUUCAACUAUUUCAUAGGCAUCAUAUCACCUAUAAUUAUUGCUAUUAAAAUACUAUAAUAUUUAAUAUAAUACCAACUAAUUCAGAUCAAUUGAAGAAAAAAAAAUUAUAUAAAAUAAGACAUAAAUUUGUCUCCCAUGAAAAUUUCUCUUUUUUUUUUUUUAAUUUCCAAUUUAUGAUUUAUUCACUUAACAAACUAACCAAUAUAACAAUAUGAUAAGAAAUGAAUAAAUAAAUAAGGUUAAAUAUUAUUUAUUAGAAUAUUUUUAAUAUUGAAAAGAAAUGUUUUGAAUGCAUCACAUAAUUGAUAAAAUGUCUAUAUUUUUAUGGUGUUAUGUAUGCAAAGAAUUAUCAAAGAUGGAAAAACUUUUGAAGAUAUAUAUGCCAGUGACGACUACUUGGUUUAAACCUGAAAAUUUGUUGAACUAGUGCUUGGACUUGAGUGAUUGCAAAAUUCUUACAGAUUAGAUAAAUUUUAGUAAUAUUAAUAAUAGAAAUAUUUAAAAUAUAAUAAACAAAUAUAAUUAUUUAAGUAAAAUACUCUCACCUUUUAAGUUUUAAUCAAAAUUACAAACAGGUCCAUUAAUUUUUGAAAUGGACAUUUCACCCUAAAAGUGCGAACACCGUUAAUAGAGAUUAUGAAAAAACUUAAUUGCCCUUCCUUUUUUUUAUUAAUUUAAAAAUUAUUAUUAUGUUUUUUAUAAAAAAAAAAUAGCCCCAAGAAAGGGGAGCAUCGGCCAAGGGAGGGGAGUUUUGGUGCUCCCAGGAUGGGAGCCUUUUUUUAAUUAAUAAAAAAAUUAGAAAAACGUAAUAAAAUUAUAUAAUAGUAAUUUUUAAAAUUAAUAAAAUAUAAAAUUAUCUUUUUAAUAUUGUCACGUCAUCAAAUUGAUAAAAAUACUAAUGGCUAGACUUAUGUAUCCAGGGAAAAAUAUUUUUUUGGAACGGAGUGUCCGUUUUGAAAACUAAUGGACCUUCGUGUAACUUCGAUCAAAACUUAGAGGGUGAGGGUAUUUUACCCUAAUUAUUUUCAUGGAUAAAGAAGUUUUUCUAACAGUCUUACUUAUAUAUAAUUAUAUAUACCUACCGGCCAACUACAAAUUACUAAACUUAAGCAAUGUUAUUUGCUCAAAAUAAAAACAUUGCCUUGUAUGUGUGUAUAUAUACAUGCACACAUAGAUAUACAAACAUGUCCAUAUACAUACAUCUUACACACAUAAAUACAUCCAUUAGAAUAAGGUUAGAACUAAAUAUUGUCAUUCAUUGACAAAAAAGCAAGUCAUGUUUCUUUAUCAAAUUAAGCCAUUUAUUCCUACAACUUACAUUUAAUGGCACUUUAAUUUACGGUCACAAGGAAACAAAUAGAGAUGUGCAUUAUUGAAAUGUGGAUUAUUGCAGGCCUUUAUUUAUGUCAUUUUCCAAUCUACUUUAAGUCUUUCCUAAGUCCUUUAAAAUUCUAUAAAUUUCAUAUGUGGAAGAUGAGAUUUUUGUCUUAAUUGGCAUAUAAACACUGAAUUUUAAUAAUCUUGUAAUACAAUCUAAUGAAAAAUACUAGAAAAUAUGAGUUUUUUUUAAUAAGAAAAUAUGAUUUUUUCUUGAUCAUAUAUUCCUAAAAAAUUAUUAACUGCCAAAAAAAAAGCAUAUUGAAAGAAUGAAAUUUGAAAAGCAAAAAAAUAAAAAUAAAAAUAAGCAUUAUAGGCUCAAUAUAUUUGUUAUCCUUAAUAAAGGCUUAAGGGUAAUAAAAUAAAGAAGAGAGGGUAGAUUUAAAAUUUAUUUUGAUACACAUCUUCAAUGAAAUUUUUAAAAUCUAAAAACAGAAUUAGAAAAUUAUCAUGUAUCCCAUUUAAAUAUAUUAAAUUAAUUAAUAAAUAAAUAAAAACAUAUGAAAAUAUUCUAACUUUUUUCUUGUUAAAUUUAAGAACUCAAUAGGCGAUUGUAUAAAAUCCAAAAGAUAGCCAUUGUUUACAUUUUCAUGCUUUAAGCACGGUUAGUCUUCGGCAAAAUUUCCCAGCAAUUACUGAUUCAUUGAUAUUAUGACUUGUGCAUCAUCAAGACCUAUGUGAUCUCCUCAUGAAAAUCCUUACAAUUGAUAUUAUAGCAGCAUAACUAGCAUAGAAAUACAAAUGGGAGUACCAGGCGUUCAGGAGAAAAGGUACAAACUCAGGGAUUGAAUGAAGAAUGCUUCAAGAAAUUUGGUUUUUCCUGAGAAUGGAUUUUAUCAAAGUGUUCAGAUAGAUUUUCUCAUUCAUUAUAUUUCAAUUCUUUGUCAAAAUGUAACAUCAGCAUCAGUCUUAACAACAAGUACUAAUUAAACACUUAAGUUCUGCUUAAAAAAAACAACAGUAAAUAAUUUUAUCAUUCAUAACAAGGUUGUUAAAUGCCUUUUGAUUAAGUUUGAAGUUACUUUUUACGCAUUCAUACAUUUAAUUCAUUGAUUGCCAUAAUUAAAUUAAAAUUUUCUUUUUUUAAAUAAAAAAUGUAAAAUAGACAAAGUAGUGUUUUGCUAGAUAGAAAAACAUCAACCGUACUGUCUAGUUCACAUUUUAGAAAACCAUUUUUGUGGGAGGUGGGUGUGAAACUUGAACUGUUCUUUUCAAAAAAGCACAAGAUAUGAACUAGUAAUUACACAGCUUCUUAACGUUCCAUAACUGCUAUUCUAUUUUCUUUAUUCUUCUGGAUAUUCCAAAACGGAAUCUGUUGCUUGAAAUUACUGUUGAAGCACACUGUUACCGUAGGAUACCAGCUGAUGUAAAAAUUAGUCAGAAGUUGAUUUUGCAAUACUUUGCAAUUGCUCCUGCAUCAUAUCAUAGGUAACACCACCUUGAUUCGUGUCUCGUUCCAACUACAAUAGUAAGUACCUUAUUGCUUCAUGUGAAAGAGAGAAACUUUUGAAGAAAACACGAUACAAAUCAUUUUUAGUCAUCGUGAUUCUGCUCUUUUAACUUUUCAAGUCUUUUGUUUAGCACAAUAUCUUUUAAGCAAUAUUAAGCCAAAUCUUUUUUAAGUAUUGUUAUUGGCAAAGAAGUUAAACAAGUUUUUAACCGUCAUAAUUGAAAGGUCGAUGGGAUAUUUUAACAAUUAAAACUUGAGAUAUAUGAAAGGUCUAUUAUUUUUCAAUAGAUUUAUCAUCAUCUUUUACAUGAAUAAUAUUCGAUUAUGAAUUAUGAAUAGUUAAAGUAUCCAAAUAGUCUCUGUACCUAUGUAUUUUUGUCAAUUUAGUCUAUUUUACUUAAAAUCGAAGUAAUUUAGUCUUUUGAUUUUAGGAAUUGAAGCAAUUUAAUUCCUUUUUUAAUGGUGUCUAAUUUUACCGUUACAAUGAUGACAUCAACACUGACGUAAUACCGACAUGAUGACUUGGUAUGGCAGAUUAAGAAAAAAAAUUUCGAAAAAAAUCUGUGCAGCGUCAUUUCGAUUAAAAUAAACAAAAAAUAUAUAAUAAAGAGAUUAAAUUGAACAAAAUUAAGGUGUUUAGAGACUAAAUUAAAAAAAAUAUUUGAAAAAUACAAAUUUUUGUAUAGAUGAUACCUUAUUAAUAAGUCAAAUAUUUAAAUGUAAAAGAUUAUAGUGUUAAUAAAUAUAUAUAAAUAUUUUCUUACUUUUUUAAUUGAUUGAAUAAUAAAUAUAUUAAUUUAUCUUCUUUGCAAAAAUUAAAUUUGAAUUCCUUUUCUAUAAAAAAAAUUUUCAAUAUUUGCAAAAAAAUUCAUAUCUAAAGUCAUAUUUAGAUGAAUAACUAACAUUAUGUUAAAACAAAAUAAUAUAAAAAACUAAAAAAAAUCAUGUCAUUAUGUCGACGUCACAUGGCAUGACAGGUCAAUGUUGACAUUAUCACCAUAGCAGUAAAAUUGAACAUCGUUAGGAACGAACUCAAUCGCUCAAAUUCUUAAAAUCAAUGAAUUAAAUUGCUUCGAUUUUUAAUAUAGUAACUAAAUUAAUAAAAAUGCAUGGGUACAGAAACUAUUUUAAUACUUUGACCAAUUAUGAAUCUUGCAUAUGUAUGAGUUGAGAUCUAUGAACAUUAAUGGACCAAAUAAUUAAUUAAAUUUUUUUUAGUUCUUUCAUCAUUAUUUAUUUUGAAUAGUGGUUCUUUUAUAAUUAGUAAUAUUUACUGUCACAUGUACUGUCCGUAAAUACUUAUUUUCAAAUUUAUUUUUAAAUAAUAAUUAUAUGUAAAAUAAAAAUAUUUCUAAAAUAUAAAUUUAAUUAUCUAUAAUAAAAGAUAAUUAACGUUUUAUUUACAUAUAAUUGAUAUUUUUAAUAUUAACCAUUAAAGUAUUCAAAACUGUUAAGAUUAAUCAAAAUAUUUUUCAAUGAAAAUCUUACUUUAACAAAUGGGAUAAAAAUUAUUAUAUUUAUAAUAAAAAAUAAUUUUAAUCCAAGUUAUUCGAUGUGAUUAAAUUCUUCAAGAUUAGAUAAAUCUCAGUAAUAUUAAUAAUAAAAAUAUUUAAAAAAUAAAUUUAAAAUAUAAUAAACAAACAAGAUUAAGUUUUUCUAACAUUCAUUCUUGUAUAUAAUUUUGCAUACCUACCAGCCAACAACAAAUUACACGACUUUAGCGAUGUUAUUGGCUCAAAAUUAAAUCAUUGCCUUGUAUGCAUGCAUAUAUACAUGCACUGAGACAUACAUACAUGUCUAUAUGCAUACAUCUUACACACAUAAAUUCAUCCAUUAGAGCAAGGUUAGACCUAAAAAUUAUCAUUCAUCGACAAAAAAAACAAGUCAAGUUUCUUUAUCAAAUUAAGCCAUUUUUUUCCAAUUUACUUACAUAAAGGAGGCAUGAUUAGUACCAUCAUUCUUUCUACAAACUUACAUUUCAUGGCACCUUAAUUUGCAGUCACAGAGGAAACAAACAGAGAUGGAGGCGAAGAAAUGAAAUAUGGAACAAAGAAUGAACUUUCUAUGCAAAAUUAUAUUCAAUUAAGAAAGCGAUUCAACACUGACAGUUGACCAGAGUCUCCGUUUAACAAAACAACUUCCAGAGGAACAUAAGGAGAGUCCAAUGAUGAUCCAAAUCGGGAAGUUGGCUGUAAUAAUCUGCAACCUUUAGCACACUGGAUGCUUAGGAGACGUGGUCUGGUUCACAUCUGCCAGACCUGUGCAUGAUGUGGUCAAGCAAACAUUGGCUGGAAUAUAACGCUAAACGUUUGCUCUACUAAAUGAAGUUCUAAGAGAUGCAUAAAGAAUACCAUCUAGGAAAGUAGUAUAGCUUCCACUCUCCAAUGACACAACUCAAUCUAGAACAGCAAAGCCAGAAAUCUGUCAAAUGUAUCUCUGAUAGAGAAAAAUUAGUUACAUUGAAACCACUCAUGAAAGGAUCAAUGAAGAUGUUUUCGUUAUGGAGUGAACAUAGUUUCGAGUAAUCUGUCAAUCUGUUUGCAUAAUUAUUUCCACACAAUUAGAGUAAUACAUCAAUUCAUUUCCACAAUUAUUUCACUAUAAUUCCGUACUAUUCAAUCCCAACUGGCUAUAGUAUAAGGGUCCACUGGUAUGUAGCCUAUGCACCCCAUAAGCAUCGAUGGCUAGAUGAUAUGGACCACUGCUAAAAGUUAAUGCAUUGUUAUCAUUGUGAUGAUAAAUGCUACUGACUAUUCCUGCUCUUACCAUCAUGGCCAUAAUAUAAAAAUAGAUUUUCAAAGUCCUAACAACAAGCACAACAAUCAAGAAAUAAUAAGAAACACUUUAAAGAAACAUGAACACACCUCAACAAUUCCUUUUCGACGUGCAUGAAUGGCUAAACAGAGGCAGUAGUCACUCUUUCCUGGUUCAUAGUAAGAGCAACCUGACCCUAUAGCCUCCUUAUUGACUAACAUUUCCAUGAAGAAGCAGCUUGCAUCACAAUAUCCCUGAAGAGUGUAUUAGGAAAACUGCUUACCGAAAACGAAAAAGGAGCUAUCGCUUUUCAAGAAAUUGAAAACCAUAGAUGCAGAAGAAACCUUCCAUAGUCGCACUACUACAAGUGUCUGAGUAUCUAAGAGCAAUAUACGACCAAGUGAAUCUGUAAUAGCAGCCAAAGUGCCACUGGGUGAUAAGGUGAGCUUUUCCCCUUUUCUUGGGUGAUCCUUCAAACAUGUCAAAGGAGAAGCUGGCAAAAGAUCAUGACAUCAAUAACAUAUUCAACAGGUUUUGGAAAAGCCUUAAUAAAGAGAACUAAGAAAGUGGCUAAGGUUUGUAUGCUAACUAAGCGUGUUAACAUUCAGAACACAUCAAAAGACACAAUGAACUUGUAACAUUCUUUGUGUCAGAAUAUGACAGAAACAGAAAAGUUCUUUCUUAAAUAAUUAAUACUCUCUCUAUCCACUCAAAUAUUUAAUUGCACAUCAGAACACGCUAAGAUGAACUCUUUUGGUCUAAGCCCAUAGUUGAACAGCAAAAAUAAGCAUUUGGCAAGGAAGACAAUAAAAAAUUAUAAAAAGGCUUACUAAAUACAAUAAUCACAGAAACAUGCAAGCAGAGGUUACAUGCUUAACAAUGAGAUUGUUGCCACAAAUCUUGUGAUAGUACCAAAGGAAAAAUGAGAACUAAAGAUCAGUUAAAUGAUCUCAGCAACAGCAAACACUCCUGACCAAUGUAAAUCAGCUUCAAUCACCUAAAAAUUUGAAUCUAAGAAAAUAUUUCUUUUAGAAUAAUUAUAAGUAUACAUGAAUUUUGAAACAACCACAUAUUUUUAGAGAUUCACACUACAUAAUUUGAGUACCAUGGAGAAGAUAAUAGCAGAACCAAAUGAGGAAUAAUAUACAAGUUUAACAAACUUCACCUCGAGCAAAUGAUUGAGGCUUCUCUUCUGACUUCCUCUUUGGCAUUUGUUCACUCCGCCAUAUCAUUUUAGAAAAAGAAGCAAUUGUGGAAAAUGUUGCAGGCACAACUUUUGACAAAAUAACUCCUAUCAAGGAACAGGUCCUAUCUUCUGAAAGUCUUCAACAUAAUCAAACAAAAGUUUAUCAAUAAAGCACCAAAAGAAAAGAAAAAAUGAAACUACAAAUGAAAGAAUCCCUUCUUUUAAUGAAAGAUAAAUCAUAUGAUAUUUCAAAAUGCGAAGAAACUAACCUGAAAGCUGAGAUCACAGCAUCAUCUCCAAUGGUGACUGCACAAUAGUAACGUUGACUUGACUGCGCAACAAUAAAAGCAGCAGAAUUCAAAUACCAGAAUAACUUCAGAAAACUUCCAUAAUUCAUUGGCAAAACCAACAAAAGCAUAAAUAAAAUGUACUAUAAGGAGAAAAAUAUUGAACCAGUAAAACCAUUUUUUCAAACGCACAUUUUGAAGAUCAAAUGGCCAUUAAGUAAGAAUUGAAAAAUAAAUUAUUCAACUAUUAGCAUGAGCUAGUGAAGAUAAAGCAACAUUAGAAAUCACUUGGAGUUCCAUUAGAAGGAGUGGCAUUAUGCCAGUGAUUGCUGCAUCAACACAUGUCCCAUACUUAUUAACAUUCCAUAACUGGUAAGGUAAUCUCCCAUAAGAGUUUCCUAUAUCCUCUGAAUCUUUCUUUGGUUUCUGAUCCCAAAAAAGAGAAUGUGUUUCUUGAAACCACCUUUGAAGCAUACUCUACAUUACCAGAGGGGAGUCAUCUAAGUUAAUAAAUCUAAUGCUUUGCAGCUGCAUCAGAUAAACAGGUAAGGUUCUUGCCAUGUUCCUGAAUAAUUAUUACACAUUUAAGCAGGGAUUCACCUGAAUAUCAGAUCCAUCAAAACGAGCAAUUACACCAGGUAUGACAACACAGACCUCCUCUGAAGAUAUAUCUUGUGUUAGAUCUUUCUUAGUUCCACGGACUCUUAACUUUACGAUGCGUCCUGGAUAUACCAUCUAAAAUCAAAUAUUAAACAAAUGAGUUCACCAUUCCAACAUUGAUAUAUCUCUAACUGAUCUCAACCUGAUAGCUUUAGAUCUAAUUGAUGUUUUCACAAGACUUCAUCCCACUCAUCAGUUAAAGAACACAUAUAACCUAUAAGUGUACACGAAAAUCUACAAAACACACCAUUUAUGUUCAUUUCACUUUUUCUACAACUGUAUCAAGUUAAAAUGUUAAAUUGAAGAUAAAAUUAAAAAACUAAACACAUAAAUAAAUCCAGCAUUCAAUAAAUUGAAUGUAAAUUAUUUUCAUUGUGCUUCUACUGCAUGCUUCUGGAAGCAAAACGCAAAAAAGCAAUCAUUUUUGAAGAAUUAAAAAUAAAAAUGUAAAUAAUUACUUUUAUAUGAAGUAAUUAACAUUAUAUUCAUUUAAUCAAUUACAUAAUUUUGCUAUAAAGCAACCUUUCAAGCAAAUAGCAAUAACAACCAAACGAAGCUCAAAAAAGACAGAAACGAAAAAAGAAUAAUUACUUGUCUAUGAAUCAAAUCAGCUCGCAAAGUGUAAACCAUGAUAAACCCUCGAAAGGUCCCAACUGCAAUCGCUUUAAUCUCAUAGAAAACCAGCCACUCUACGGCCGUGAUGUGCUCGGCCUCUAUAGGUGACAGAUCGGGUCGGAUCUUGGCACGAAACUCAUCCGGGUCGGACCAUCCGAUGAUGAGAAUAAGAGAUCGGUUAGCGAUGGCGAGAGAAUGGGCGUCGAGAGCACAUAGAAGAGUGGUGCUGGCGUCAGGGGCUAGCCAUCCUUCCUUGGCAGCGCCGAACUCGGACAAGUCUUCGCCGGCGAUGCACCGAGAUCCGUCAAGUGAUGGUGGCUCCGCUUCGACAUUGGCAAUUGAGAUUACAUAUUGCAAUUUGGAAAGGAAAGAAUUUUGUAUGGGAAAGUAAAACACGAGACUUGUUGUGGAGUCCACGUGUAGAGUUGUGAAGAUAAUUAAGAAAAUUAAAUAAAAAAUCUAUAACAUACUUAAAAGGUUUAACCACGUGGAGGGCAUAGAAAAAAAAAGAAGAGAUAAAAAGAGAAAGAAAAAACCAGAUAGAGAGUGGUCCGUGUGCAACACACGGGCAAUAGUCUGAUUAAAAUUAAGAGUAAAGCAUUUUUAAUUAAAGUGUUUUAAAUUACAACAUUUUUGGAUACAAACUUCAAAUAAAAGCUGCUGCUCACAAAUUUAAAAAUGAUAAAAUGCUGCUGCUCACUAAGAACACCCAGAAGCUGCUGUUGCAUUAGAUUCAGUUCGAAAGCCACCCUGACAAGUAGAAAAAAGAAAAGGAACAAUCACCUCUGCACGAUCUGGUUGUAGUGCUAGUUUCUUCUUCUUCUGCUGCUUCUGCGAAUCCACUUUGUAACAGUGUUUUGCCAAUCUCUCUCAACCAUUCUGACAAACCACCAUGGUCUUCCUGUUGUGAAUACAAUGUAUCCUAUGCUCAAUCCUAACACCACUCCACAUCCAUAGCCCAUCAUUACAACUUUCCAAAUAAAGGCUAUUUCAGAACCUUCAUCUUCCUUACGCGUUGGUACCCGUGGUUUUGGUUCCUCAUUAUUGCCGCAUUGCUUUGACAGUGGGAAGCCACACAAUCCCAAGUUAUUGCUAUAAGAAUCGUUCUCAAAAGUACCAAAUUGAUUCCCAUGGGGAAUUGGUCCCACAAGAUCAUUUUGUGAAAGAUUUAACACUUCAAGGAAUGUCAGAUUCGUCAAUUGGGAAGGAAUUCUGCCACCAAGCUUGUUUGACGAGAGAUCUAACGAUUCAAGUGCCAUCAUAUUUCCGAAAGAUGGUGGGAUAGGACCAGUCAAGUUGUUGUUAGACAAGUUGAGCGUUUGGAGCGAAAUAAGUUCUCCGACUUCCUUAGGAAUUUGUCCACAAAAUAGAUUGCUCGAAAAGUCUAUGGAUGUAAAAAUGGUUAAGGUUUCUGCCAACUCCAUCUCCAUUUUUUUUGUUGUUACAUUCACAGAAGCUUUCUUAGAAUCAACCAUAGAAGAUGUGCAGUCGCGAUUAUAAACUGAACAUCGACUAUCCAGCAGUGGGCGUUGAUCACCAUAUUUCUCUAGAUCUUUCAUUGCUCUCAAAUUUUGGAAGAAUUUUGUUGGCAAGGGACCGGUGAGCACAUUAUGAGAGAGAUCAAUUAUUUGCAAUGCCGAGAAGUUAGAUGAAGCUAUGGAAUGGGGCAUGGGACCAUACAAUCUAUUCUUUCGCAAAAUAAGAACUUGUAGGUCAGGAAGUGAAGCUAACCAAUGGGGAAAGGUAUCAGCGAACUUGUUGUUCCUUAAAUUCAAAAUUCUCAGGGAACUACAAUUAGCCAAAGAUCGUGGCAGUAAUCCUUCCAAUUGGUUGUGAUUAAGGAAAAGAUAUCUCAACUGACCAUUUGUAAAAGAAUCAGGGACUUUGCCAUAAAAAUUAUUCAUCUCCAAAUUCGUGAACUCGAGACGAAAGCUGAAAUUUCCAAGAUAAUUUGGAAUGGUUCCAGUCAAGUAAUUUCUAGACAAGUCAAGAAACACAAGCGAACUUUGAUUGCUAAUUACAGGAUUUGAAAGAAUUGGCCCUUGAAGCAAGUUAGAUCGAAGGUCAAGAAUAUGUAGAUUCUUUCCUGGGAAUUGCUCCAAAGUGGUCAGAAAAUUGUAAGAAAGGUACAACUCCUGCAAGCUUUCCCACCCUUCUGCUUCCCAUUUGGAAAUUCCACCAUAAAUCUUAUUAUUGGAAAGAUCUAAAAUCUCCAAAUUUGAUGUUCGAAAGAAACUUGGGAAUUGUGUUAUGCUACAAGAAGAGAAUGACACAUUAAAAAGCUGAGGGAAGGAAUAGUUAACAUCAUUUUCGCUUGGGCUUAAUGAUAGUAAACUAUUAUUUGAAAGAACAAGAUGGGUAAGAUUUUUGAGUUUUGCAAGCAUAUUUGACUUGAUGACACCACUCAAGUUGUUUGAGGAAAGAUCAAGCGUUUUAAGGCUCACAAGAUCAAAAAAAGAAUUCGGUAUUGAUCCAUGAAUGUCAUUAGAACUCAAAUCAAUAUUUUCAAGAGAAUUAGGCUUCUGAAUUUGGUCAAUCGGACCAAUGACUUUGUUAUCGCUGAGAUCUAACCGUCUCAAAGAUGGCAAAGUAAACAGCCAAGAUGGUAGUCCACCACUUAUAAGGUUACCGGAUAAGUGAAUUUCUUCUAGCAAUCGAAGCUCACUAACAUGAUUUGGUAGGGGACCUUCUAAUCGAUUAUAUGACAAAUCUAGUUGGGUAAGUUGUGUGAGGUUGAACAUAGUUGUUGGAAGCUGACCACAAAAAUUGCAGGAAGAAAGUGACAAAAAAGCCAAUUUAUUAAGGUUUCCAAAAGCAUCUGGAAUCUGUCCUCCAAAAUCAUUUUCAGAAAAAUCUAGGAGGAUGAUUUGAGAGAGAUUUCCAAUUGAUGCAGGAAUUGACCCUCUAAAACUGCAAAAGGAAAGGUCCAACAACUUAAGGCCACUACUCAAGUUUGACUUAGGGAAACCACCUGUGAGAUUUUCAUAAUUCCUACUUAAAUCUAUGUGCUGGAGGUGUGGAAGCCGAAAAGUUUCACUUGGAAAUUCCCCAUGCAGUUCACAAUCACUGAGACUCAAACGUUCCAGAGAUGAAGUCAAGUUCAAAAAGGAAGGAAGUGCAACAUCAGACAUACCUACAGAGUCAAGGAUAAGGCUUCUUAAUUCAGUCAAGUUGCGUGCAAGCAUGUCAAAACCUUGACUAUCAAAUCUCAAACCAUUAUUGGAAAGAUCGAGUGAAACCAAUUUUGACAGGAGACUGAUUUCAUAUGGGAUUAAGUCAGAGAAUGAAUUAUAGGAGAGAUUAAGAUGGGUCAAACUCACUAAUUGAUUAAAUAACUCUGAUGAGAUAGAGCCAUUGAAAUCGUUGAAAGCAAGGUUGAGUUGUUGGAGUCCUUGACGGUGGAAGAGGCUGCUGUUUUCAAGAAAAGAGCCAUGAAGAUUGUUGGAACUAAGAUCGAGCCAUUGAAGUCUUUGAAGGUGGAAGAGGCUGCUGUUUGCAGGGAGAGUACCGUAAAGGCAGCUGUUACUGAGGUCAAUGCCAAUGACAUGACCCGUCACCGUGUGGCAACUGACUCCAUCCCAUGAACAGCAAUCCGUGCUUUCAUUCCAAGAACUUGUCCUUGGGUAAUUAGAAUAAACUGGCCCACAAUAAUCAUCUAGAGAAAUGGCGUUUUUGAAUUCGAGCAAGGCAGCUCUCUGUUCUGGGAGGCAUAAAUGAGCUGAAUGAAGAAAAGAGGAAGGGGAACUCAAUGAACAAUGGACCUGGAAAUGCAAGAAUGCUAAAAGCAGGCAAAGGAUUCGAUACAACAUGCUAACUACCUUUCCCAUAUUUUCUCGAGAAAAAGGAAGUUAUGAAACAAGGGUAGUCGAAAAAGGGCAAGCUAGGGAGGUGAAACUGAAAAUGAGUUGGGGUUGAGGUCGAGGGACAUUAUAAAUGAAGUACCUGAGAAGUGGAGACAUUACCUUUUCAAGUCAACCAACAAGUCUUUGCAAAAUCUCUUAAAUUAAUGGAAAAAAAAAGGAAAAGUGUAUGUGCCGUGUUAGACUGAAAAGCAUUAAGGCCACUGUAUCCAAUCCCAUCUGAAACGUUAGUAGGAUUUGCAUAUUUUUCUUGAUUUCUCAUUUGAUGUCUACUUUUAUUUUUAGGCUUAUUGGAUCCAAAUCUGAGUAGAGACACAAAACUAAUUCAUAGAAUUGCAACUCAUCACUGUUUAACCCAGUUGAUGUGGUAAUAAAAAUAAAAAAUUAUUAAAUAAAAGAAUUCUUUAUUGUAGAUUAUAACUAACUCAAGUCUUCGUAAAAGUAACUUUAAAAAAUGAUAAAGAUUUUCACAUUUUGGGACCAUCAUUAGAAAUUAAAGAUAACUUUUUCUUUGUAUUUUUUUUCAAAGAGAAGAGAGAUAGGUCAAAAGUAAAAAUUCAUGUCAAAAGCACGCCGUGUGUGAUGAUAUGACACUUGACAAUGUUAAAGGAAAAACUUCAAGAUGAUAGAAGGAGAGGAAUCAGGAAAUUACUGAAAAAAUGUAUAAGCAUGUUUUUCCCAUCCUUCCAUUGCAUUUUCAAGUUAAAAGCACUUACUAAAAGUUAGAGUAGCAUUAUUUUUCCUUAUAUUUUUGUUUUUACGUAUUUAACUCACUUGAUAAAAAAUUAAAUAAUUUAAAAAUAAAUUUUAUCAAUUUAUGAUAAAUCAAUUGAUUCAUAAAUACAAUGUUCAAAAUUGAAUCAAUUUACGAUACUUCGAUCAAUGGUAUAAAACAAACGAAAAGUAAGAAUUACACAAAAACAAAAUUGAAUAUUAUAUUGAAAACAAUCCAAAAGAUCGUAAUGUGAACUUAUUAUUUUUAUAUACAUCGUCAAUGAAAUUUUAAAACUCUUCAAUCAAAGUUAGAAAGUUGCCAUGUAUCACAUUAAGUAUAUGAAUUUAAUUAAUGAAUUAAUAUAAUAAAUAAAAACAACAUAUGAAAAUAUUUUAACUUUUUUUUUAAUUUAAGAAUUCAACUGGGAGAUAAUAUAUAGUUCAAAAGAUCGUCUUUGUUUACAUUUUCAUGCUUUGUACAUAGUUAGUCUUCAGCAACUUUCCCAGCAAUUAUUGAUUACCUCAAUCAUGGGAUAUCCUUUUGCUUUUUGUUCUUUAGUAAUUUCUUUGAUAAUUAUAAGUAUCUUUUUGCUUUUCUUUGGUUUUAAUUAAUUAAUUUACUUGGAAUUCCCAUUACAUGCUUCAGCUUUUCUUUGAUCUUUUCAGUAAUUUUAUCUUAUGAUAAGGUUGCUAAAUGUAUCUUUUAUCAAAUCUAAAGUUACUUUUAAAAGGAAAUGUAAAAUGGGCAAAGUAAUGUAUUGUCAGAUAGGAAAGCAUCAACCAUGUUGUCUAGUUCACAUCUCAGAAUAGUCAAUUUUUUUUUUCUGGGUGCAACAAUUGUUCCUUUCAAGGACAAGAUAUGAACGACAUACUGUCCCAUAACUGGUAUUCUAUUUUUUUUUUUUCUCUCAGCUGUUCCAAAAAGGUACCUAUUGCUUGGAGUUACGGUCUAAGCAUACUUUAGAAUACCAGUUGUGGGAAAAAGUAGUUAGAACUUCAUUUUGCAAUUGCUCCUGCAUCAUAUAGUUAACACCAUCUUGAUUCGUGUCUCGUUCCAGCUACAAUAUUAAGUAGCUUAUUUUCAUGAGAUAAAUAUUAUUAUAUGUAUAAUAAAAAUAUUUUUAAUUAAAGUUAUUCGAUAUAAUUAAAUUUGUCAUACCUUAUUUUAUAUUCGAUGUAAAUGUGAUUGUUAAGACUUUUAUAAUGAUAUAAAUCAAUUACUACUAAUAACUUAAACUUAAGUUUUUAAGAACCAUGCGAUUUAAAUAUGAAAAAUUACUCAAUCAAUGCUUGGACUUAGACUGCUACAAAUAGUAUCAAAUCAUGUGUAUCAAAUCAUGUGUCAACAGUUUGAUAUAGGUUUUUAUAUUGCAUUAGUGAAAUCUUGAUACUAUGAUAUGAAUAAUGAUUGUGAUUGUAAUGUGUGUUACAUUUGAUGUGGAUGUGAUUCUUAAUUAUUAAAACUUAUAUAACAAUACAAAUCAAUCAUUAUUAACAACUUAGACUUAUCCUUUUGAGAAUCACGUGAUUUAAACCUAAAAUCCACUAAUAACUUGAGAUUUAAGUUUUUGAAAGUCAUAUGGUUUAAACUUAAAAAGUUAUUGAACCCACAUCUAAUUUAGAUUUGAAAACUAAUAACAACUAGAGUUUUCAGUUUUUAAAGAUCACGUAAUUUAAAUAUAAAAUAAUAUUAAAUUCAUAUCUAAUGUAAAUAUGAGAGAUUUAUAUAAUGAUCCAAAUCAACCGCUACUAACUUGAGCUUACUUGAAAAGUUGCUGAACUGCCGCUCAUACAUCCAUUAGAACAAAGUUAUAUCUAAAAAUUAUCAUUCAUGGACGGAAAAAAAACAAGUCAUGUUCCUUUAUCAAAUUAAGCUGUUUUCUUUUCCAAUUUACUGUCUGUGUGAAAAUAAAAAGAGGCAUGAUUAGUGCCAUCAUUCUUUCUACAACUUACAUUUCAUGACCCCUUAAUUUGCAGUCACAGAGGAAACAAACAGAGAUGGAGGAGAAGAAAUGAUAAAAUCGAACAAAGAAAGAACUUUCUGUGUAAAAUUAUAUUCAAUUAAGAAAGCGAUUCAACACUGAUAGUUGACCAGAGUCUCCGUUUAACAAAAAAACUUCCAGAGGAACAUAAGGAGAGUCCAAUGAUGAUCCAAACCGGUAAGUUGGCUGUAACAAUCUGCAACCUUUAGCACACUGGAUGGUUAGAAGACGUGGUCCGGUUCUCAUCUGCCAGACCUGUGCAUGAUGUGGUCAAGUAAACAUUGACUGGGAUAUAAUGCUAAACGUUUUCUCUACUAAAUGAAGUUCUAAGAGCAGCAUAAAGAAAACCAUCUAGGAAAGUAGUAUAGUUUCCACUCUCCAUGACACAACUCAAUCUAGAACAGCAAAGCCAGAAAUCUGUCAAAUAUAUCUCUGAUAGAGGAAAAAUUAGUUACAUUGAAACCACUCAUGAAAGGAUCAACGAAGAUGUUUUCGUUAUGGAGUGAACAUAGUUUAGAGUAAUCUGUCAAUCUCUUUGCACAAUUAUUUCCACACAAUUAGAGUAAUACAUCAAUUCAUUUCCACAAUUAUUUCACUAUAAUUCCAUACUAUUCAAUCCCUACAGUCUAUAGUGUAAGGGUCCACUUGUAUGUAGCCUAUGCACCCCAUAAGCAUAGAUGGCUAGAUGAUAUGGACCCACUGCUAAAUGGUAAUGCAUUGUUAUCAUUGUGAUGAUAAAUGCUACUGACUAUUCCUGCUCUUACCAUCGAGGCCAUAAUAUAAAAAUAGAUUUUCAAAGUCCUAACAACAAGCACAACAAUCAAGAAAUAAUAAGAAACACUUUAAAGAAACAUGAACACACCUCAACAAUUCCUUUUCGAGGUGCAUGAAUGGCUAAACAGAGGCAGUAGUCACUCUUUCCUGGUUCAUAGUAAGAGGAACCUGACCCUAUAGCCUCCUUAUUGACUAACAUUUCCAUGAAGAAGCAGCUUGCAUCACGAUAUCCCUGAAGAGUUUAUUAGGAAAACUGCUUACAGAAAAGGAAAAAGGAGCUGUUGCCUUUCAAGAAAUUGAAAAACAUAGAUGCAGAAGAAACCUUCCAUAGUCGCACUACUACAAGUGCCUGAGUAUCUAAGAGCAAUAUACGACCAAGUGAAUCUGUAAUAGCAGCCAAAGUGCCACUGGGUGAUAAGGUGAGCUUUUCCCCUUUUCUUGGGUGAUCCUUCAAACAUGUCAAAGGAGAAGCUGGCAAAAGAUCAUGACAUCAAUAACAUUUUCAACAGGUUUUGGAAAAGCCUUAAUAAAGAGAACUAAGAAAGUGGCUUAGGUUUGUAUGCUAACUAAGCGUGUUAACAUUCAGAACACAUCAAAAGACACAAUGGACUUGUAACAUUCUUCGUCUCAGAAUAUGAUAGAAACAGAAAAGUUCUUUCUUUAAUAACUAAUACUCUCUCUAUCCACUUAAAUAUUUAAUUGCACAACAGAACACGCUAAGAUGAGCUCUUUUGGUGUAAGCCCAUAGUUGAACAGAAAUUAUAAGCAUGUGGCAAGGAUGACAAUAAAAAAUUAUAAAAAGGCUUACUAAAUACAAUAAUCAGAGAAACACGAAAGCAGAGGUUACAUGCUUAAUAAUGAGAUUGUUGCCACAAAUCUUGUGAUAGAACCAAAUGAAAAAUGAGAACUAAAGAUCUGUUAAAUGAUCUCAGCAACAGCAAACACUCCUGACCAAUGUAAAUCAGCUUCAAUCACCUAAAAAUUUGAAUCUAAGAAAAUAUUUCUUUUAGAAUAAUUAUAAGUAUACAUGAAUUUUGAAACAAGCACAUAUUUUUAGAGAUUUACACUAUAUAAUUUUAAGUACCAUGGAGAAGAUAAUAGCAGAACCAAAUGAGGAAUAAUAUACAAGUUUAACAAACUUCACCUCGAGCAAACGAUUGAGGCUUCUCUUCUGACUUCCUCUUUGGUGUUUGUUCACUCCGCCAUAUCAUUUUAGAAAAAGAAGCAAUUGUGGAAAAUGUUGCAGGCACAACUUUUGACAAAAUAGCUCCUACCAAAGAACGGUUCCUAUCUUCUGAAAGUCUUCAACAUAAUUAAACAAAAGUUUAUCAAUAAAGCACCAAAAGAAAAGAAAAAGAGAAACUACCCAUGAAAGAAUCCCUUCUUGUAAUGAAAGAUAAAUCAUACUAUAAUUCAAAAUGCGAAGAAACUAACCUGAAAGCUGAGAUCACAGCAUCAUCUCCAAUAGUGACUGCACAAUAGUAACGUUGAUUUGACUGCCCAACAAUAAAAGCAGCUGAAUUCAAAUACCAGAAUAACUUCAGAAACCUUCCAUAAUUCAUUAACGAAAUGAACAUAAGCAUAAAUAAAAGGUACUAUAACGAGCAAAAUAUUGAAACAGUAAAACCAGUCUUUCAUAUUCAACUGUUAGCACGAGCUAAUACGAUUAAGCAACAUUAAAAAUCACCUGGAGUUCCAUGAGAGGGGGUGGCAUUAUGCCAGUGAUUGCUGCAUCAACACAUGUCCCAUACUUAUUAACAUUCCAUAACUGGUAAGGUAAUCUCCCAUAAGAGUUUCCAAUAUCCUCUGAAUCUUUCUUUGGUUUCUGAUCCCAAAAACGGGAAUGUGUUUCUUGAAACCACCUUUGAAGCAUACUCUACAUAACCAGAGGGGAGUCAUCUAAGUUGGCCAAACAAGUUCAAAAUAUACAUAAAUCGAAUGCUUUGCUUCUGCAUCAGAUAAACAGGCAAGGUUCUUGCCAUGUUCCUGAAUAACUAUUACACAUUUAAGCAGGGACUCACCUUUAUAUCAGACCCAUCAAAACGAGCAAUUACACCAGGUAUGACAACACAAACUUCCUCUGAAGAUAUAUCUUGUGUCAGAUCUUUCUUAGUUCCACGGACUCUUAACUUUACAAUGCGUCCUGGAUAUACCAUCUAAAAUCAAAUAUUAAACAAAUGAGUUCACCAUUCCAACAAUGAUUUAUCUCUAACUGAUCUCAACCUAAUAACGUUUAGAGCUAAUUGAUUUUAACACAAGAAGACUUCAUCCGACUCAUCAGUUAAAGAACUAUAAGUGUACAUGAAAAUCUACAAAACACACCAUUUAUGUUCAUCUACAAAACACAACUGUAUCAUCCAUUGAAGUUAAAAUAGUAAAUUGAAGGUAAAACUUAUAAACUAGACACAUAAAUAAAUCCAGCAUUCAAUAAGUUGAAAUACAUCAAGCUACUGUUUUUAUUGUGCUUCUGGAAGCAAAACGCAAAAAAGCAAUCAUUUUUGAAGAAUUAAAAAUGAAAAUGUAAAUUAUUUAGAUAUUCGAAAUGCAUAAUUAUACUUUUAUAUUCAUUUAAUCAAUUACAUAAUUUUGCUUUAAAGCAACCUUUCAAGCAAAUAGCAAUAACAACCAAACCAAGCUGAAAAAAGAAAAAAAAUUAAAAAGAAAUGUUACCUGUCUAUGAAUCAAAUCACCACGCACAGAGUAAACCAAGAUGAACCCUCGAGAGGUCCCAACCGCAAUCACUUUAAUCUCAUCGAAAACCAGCCACUCUAUGGCCGUGAUGUGCUCGGCCUCGAUAGGUGACAGUUCGGGACGGAUCUGGACCCGAGGCUCAUCCGUGUCGGACCAUCCGAGGAUGAGAAUAAGUGAUCGGUUAGCGAUGGCGAGAGAAUGGGCGUCGAGAGCACAGAGGUGAGUGGGGCUGGCGUCAGGGGCUAGCCAUCCUUCCUUGCCAGCGCCAAACUCGGACAAGUCUUCACCGGCGAUGCAGCCGAGAUCCGUCAAGGGAUGGUAGCUCCGCUUCGACAUUGGCGCCGGGCUUUUGGUUUUUUGUGUCUUGUCUCUCGGUAACUGAGGUUACGGGUUGGGAAGGAAAGAAUUUUGUACAGGCAAAGGAAUGCAGGUGACUUUGUGUGGGGUCCACGUGUAGAAGUGUGAAGAAAAUUCAGAAAAUAAAUUAAAAAAAUUAAAAUUAAUAUUAAAGCAUUGGAACAUUUUUAAUUAAAAUCUUUUAAAUUACAACAUUUUUCGAUACAAAUUUCAGAUAAAAGGGAUGAAAGCUGAACAUGAAAACCAAAUUAUCCACUACAACACCCAGAAUUGUUUAAACCACUGUCAUGGGAAAUGAUUGAGCCAGAUGUUAGAGAAGCAGGCUGCAUUCGAUUCAGUUCCAAAGUCACCCUGACAAGUAGAAAAAAAUAAAGGAAGAAUCAAUUGUAGAUUACAAAAGCAAUGAGAGCUUUGCUGUAAUCCUACUUUGCCCAAAAACUCACCUAUGCAUGAUCUGGAUGUAGUGCUAGUUUCUUCUUCCUCUGUUUCUGCGAAUCCUCUUUGUAAAGUUCUUUUGCCAAUUUCUCUCAACCAUCCUGACAAACCACCAUGGUCUUCCAGUUGAGAAUACAAUGAAUCCCAUAUAUAUUCCAAAAUCUCUCUUCGGUUCCAUCUUUCAUUGCUCUCAAAUUUUGGAAGAAUUUUGUUGGCAAGGGACAGGUGAGCUCAUUAUGAGAGAGAUCAAGUACUCGCAAUGUGGAGAAGUUUGAUGAAACUAUGGAAUUGGACAUGGGACCAUGCAAGCUAUUAUUUCGUAGAAGGAGAACUUGCAGCAUUGGAAGUGAAGCUAACCAAUAGGAAAAGGUAUCAUUGAGCUUGUUGUUCCUUACAUUCAAAAGUACCAAGAAACUACAAUUAGCCAAAGACCGCGGUAAUCCUUCCAAUUGAUUGUCAUUGAGAAGCAGAUAACCUAUUAUCUGUAAAAGAAUCAGGGAUUUUGUCAUAAAACUUAUUCAUCUCCAAAUUCAUAUACUGGAGAUAGUUGAAAUUUUCAAGACAUUCUGGAAUCGUUCCAUCCAAGUUAUUUCUUGACAAGUCAAGUUUUGUGAGCAAACUUCAAUUACAAAUCAAAGGAGAGAUAUUUCCAGGCAAGUUAUUUUUUGAAAUUAAGAAUUCAGUAAAAGACGGUGGUGGAUUUGGAUUUUGAAGAUUCAAUCAAGUUGACAGAAUUGGCCCUUGAAGCAAGUUGGACUGAAGGUCAAGGACUUGAAGAUUCUUUCCGGGAAAUUGUUCCAAAGUGGUCAGAAAGUUGUAAGAAAGGUUCAAUUUGAUCAAUCGUUCCCACCCUUCUGCUUCCCAUUGGGAAAUUCCACCACGAAUCUUGUUAUUGGAAAGAUCUAAAUCCUUCAAGUUUGAUGUUCGAAAGAAACUUGGGAAUUGUCUUAUGCUACCAGAAGAGAAUGACACUCUAACAAGCUGAGGGAAGGAGUAGUUCUCACCAUCGCCGCUUGAGCUUAACGAUAGUAAAAUAUUAUUUGAAAGAUCCAUGUACGCAAGAUUUCUGAGUUUUGCAAGCAUGUUUGACUUGAUGACACCAAUCAAGUUGUUUGAUGAAAGAUCAAGCUCUUCAAGGUUCACAAGAUCAAAAAAAGAACUGGGUAUUGGACCAUGAAUGUUUUUAAAACUCAAAUCGAUAUAGUGGACAGAAUUAGGCGUCUGAAUUUGGUCAAUUGGACCGAUGAGUUUGUUAUAGCUGAGACGUAAAUCUUGCAAAGAUGGCAAAGUAAACGGCCAAGAUGGUACUCCACCACUUAUAAGGUUAUUAGAUAGCCACAUUUCUUCUAGCAAUAGAAGCUCACUUACAUGAUUUGGCAGGGGACCUUCUAAUCGAUUAUAUGAUAAAUCUAGGAUGGUAAGUUGUGUGAGGUUGAACAUAGUUGUUGGAAGUUGACCACUAAAACUACAAGAAGAAAAUAACAAAAAAGUCAAUUUAUUAAGGUUUCAAAAAGUAUCUGGAAUUUGUCCUCCAAAAUCAUUAUAAGAAAAAUCUAAGAAGAGGAGUUGAGUGAGAUUCCAAAAUGAUGCAGGAAUUGGCCCUUUAAAACGGCAAGAGGAGGUCCAACAACUUAAGGCCACUACUCAAGUUUGUCUUUGGGCGAUAACCUGUGACAUUUUGAUUCGAAGCUAAAUCUAUGUGCUGGAGGUAUGGAAGGCAAAAAACUUCACUUGGAAAUUCCCCAUGUAGUUGACAAUCUCUGAGACUCAAACGUUCCAGAGAUGAAGUCAAGUUCAGAAAGGAAGGAAGUGCAACAUCAGACAUAUCUACAAAGUUAAGCGUCAGGUUUCUUAAAUUGGUUAAGUUUUGUGCAAGCAUGUUGAAACCUUGGCUAUCAAAUCUCAAGCUGGAAGAAUAAGCAUUCGUGGAAAGAUCGAGUGAAACCAAUUUUAAUAGAAGACUAAUUUCGUAGGGGAUUAAGCCAGAGAAUGAAUUAGAAGAGAGAUUAAGAUGAGUCAAACUCAGUAACUGAUUAAAUAACUUCGAUGAGAUAGAGCCAUUGAAAUUGUUGUGAGCAAGGUUGAGUCGUUGGAGUCCUUGAAGGUGGAAGAGGCUGCUGUUUUCAAGAAGAGAGCCAUCAAGUUUGUUGAAAUUGAGGUCGAGUCGUUGGAGUCCUUGAAGGUGGAAGAGACUACUGUUAUCAUGGAGAGUGCCAUAAAGGCAGCUGGCACUGAGGUCGAUGCCAAUGACAUGACCAGUCACCACGUGGCAACUGACUCCAUCCCAUGAGCAGCAAUCCGUGCUUUCAUUCCAAGAAUUUGUUCUUGGGUAAUCAUCACAAUAAUCAUCCAGAGAAAUGGUGUUUUUGAAUUCGAGUAAGACAGCUCUCUGUUCUGGGAGGCAUAAAUGAGCUGAAUCAAGAAAAGAGGAAGGGGUACUCAAUGGCCGAUAGACCUGAAAAUGCAAGAGAAGGAUUUGGAAUAACAACCCAAAUACCCUUCCCAUAUUUUCUCGAGAAAAAGAAAGUAUGAAACAAGGGUUGUCGAAAAGGGGCAAGUGAGGGAGGAGAACUUAAAAAUGAGUUGUUGUUGAGGCUGAGGGACAUGAGAAGUGAACUACGUAUUGGAGAAGUGGGGACAUGAAAGUGUUAGAAUGAAAAGCAUAAUCUUAUCCCAUUAGGGACUUUAGUAGGAUUUGCAUAUUUUUCUUGCAGUCUCAUUCGAUAUGUUUAUUUUAGACUAAUUGGGAUAUGCUAAUUAGACCCAAAGUUCAUUAUUGGGAUAGGCUUAGAAUUGCAACUCAUUACAGCCAGCGUUAUUGUUUUUGUUAGCAUGAUUUUCGAUCUUCCAAGUUUCAUUUUGUUCAGAAAAUUAAUCCAAAACUUUCUGUUCAAUUUUCCUAGAAGAGAAUGCAGCCUCAAAAUUGAGAAAAUAAAUAUAUGAAGUAAAUAAAUAUAUGAAGUUUUUGUUGUAGAUUGCAACAAAGUCAGGUCAUCAGCAAAGCAAUUUUAAGAAAUUGGAAUUGAUUUUACAAUUACAGUCACCAUUAGAGAGAAAUUAAGCUCAAAAGUUAGAAAUUCACAUCAUAUGAAGCAUGUUGACUGUUUGUGGUUCUUAUUUGAGGGCAUACAUUCAAAUUCAACCCUCGCAGACAGUUUUCACUCAACAAACUUAAAUUAAUUGUUACAUGGACCCUUACUUCAUGUUAAUCCCUUUUUUUACCUAUGAAAAAAAUAUAUAUAAUUUUUAAAUAUUUAACUCAAUAAUAAAUAUAUAAAACGUAAAUAUAUAUAUAUGUCAUUUAUAAAUUUAAUGCAUGAUGAUGCAACAUGUAAGUAAAAAUUAUUAUGAAUUCAGUAUAUAAAAUAUGAAUUCAUGCAUGCUCACAUGACAACUUUUGAUUACUUAUUGCAGCAAGCUGAAACAUGUGAUUAGAACGACCUAUCCAAUAAAUUUGGAUGCUUAUUGGUGUAUGACUCAUGGUGAUGUAAUUAUUAAGCAUUGAAACCAAGAGGAAGAAAUGAAGAGGGAAAUAGUGACAGAAGAUGAAGAGGGGCAAUUCAUAAAGGAAUAUCAAACAAGAUGGGCAAAGUGCCGUGUUAGAAAGGAAAGGCAUGAAGAGUGUUGACUUUGUCUGCAUACAUGUUAAAAUCGUACCAUAAAUUCUUUGUCUGCAUUGACCCUUAACAACUUGAGCAAAGAGUCAUUGAAUAACUUUCGAGAGUGAAGAGUGAAGACUACGCCCACUCUUUUGAGAAAAAAACUGUCAUUGAAUGACUUUUAAUAGGUCAUUCAAUGUGUGCCCUUCAAUGUAUUUAAGUAUUUAAUUUAAUAAUAAUUAUAUAAACAAGAAACACAGUAAAGAGAGAAAUGCACAAAGCCUAGUGGUGUAAGCAUGAGGUUACUGCAUCAAAUUGAAGAUGGAAGGCCAAGUAUAACACAGUCUGUAUAGGAGUAGAAAAUGUCAACCCCAGCCCCACCCAUCAAAAGUGAGUUAGAAUAAGGUUGAUGCUAAUACACCCAAUACUACAUAUUCUUUCAUUUAUAAAGUGUCAAAAUAUAUAAAUACAACGUUUUCUUAAUAUAAUACAAGCACAAUUAUUUAUUUUUAGAUAAUGGAAGUUGACGUAGAAUAUGAUUUUGAACUUAAUUCAUAUUUGGAUUUUGAUGGAUUAUUUGAAGAAUAAAAUAAAAUAAAUUGAGAAGCCAUUAAGACUCAAUAUUGUUUGAAUUAUACCUCAACAGAUAUGUCGAAAUGAUUGUGAUUAGUUUUUUCAUUGUUUUUGAGAGAAAGAAAGUUGUUGUUGAAGCAAAGGGAGGUAAGUAGAAUCUCACACAUUUUACUUGUGUGUUUUUGUUUUGAAGGGUGCACAUUUUACUUGUUUUGAAACUAUCUUAUAUGUAUGUUUCAUUAAGUGAAUUAAAUAUUUUGUUUCAUUAUUUCUUGCGUAUGAAAAUAGGAUUAAGCAUAUGAUUAUUUUUUAUUUUGAUUUAUUCAUGUGAUGAAUAUUGAUUAAUAAUGAGGUAUGAAAUCUUUUGUUAUGUUGUAAGGUUUUAAGAGUUAUGAAUUAAUUCUUGAGAAAUAGGAUAAUCAACAUUAAAAUUAAUUCUACAAUCUUGUUAAUGGGUUAUAAUAGUUAGCAUACGACCUAAAAACAAAAAAUACAGACCUAAAAAUGAGUUGUGGCAGAGGCCGAGGGACAUAUAAAUAGAACUACUGGACAAGUGGAGGCAUCUUUUUUUCCAAGUCAACCAACAAGUGUUUCCAAAAUCCUUUUAGUUGUUUCCGAUCAAUGCAUUUAAAGUCAAGUCUUCUCAACUUACAUAUUUAUUCAUUGUGUUGAGAAAUUUGAACAGCGAUUGUGUUUGAGCCUGGAAUCAAAACUAAAUUAAUGGUAGAGAAGGAAAAAGUGUUGGUGCCGUGUUAGAAUGGGAAGCAUGAAUUGAAGCUGCAGAUAUUCUUGAAUUCUCACUGUCUGUCUACUUUUAUUUUGUUGUUCACCGGAAAGUCUUAUUGGGAUCUGCUAAUUAGACCCAAAUUUCAUUGCAACUCAUUACAACCAGUUCUAUUAUUUUUAUUUUUAAUUUUAGCGUUUAACUCACCUGACGUAAUAAUAAAACAAAAAUUUAUUGAAUAAAGAAAUUCUUUGUGUAGAUUACAGCUAAUUCAGGGCACCAUCAAAGCAACUUCAAGAAAUUACAAAAUUAUUCGGAUCAUCACCAGAAAGACUCAAUUGAUGAAUUAUUUUGAAUUUAAGUCAUAUUUGGAUUUUGAUGAAUUAUUUAAAAAAUAAAAUAAAGUAAAUUGAGAAGUCAUUAAGACUCAAUAUGGUUUGAAUUAUACUUCAACAGUUACGUGGAAAUGACUGAUUAAUUUUUUUUAUUCUUUUCAAGAGAAAGAAAGUUGUUGUUGAAACAUCGGAGGUAAGUAGAAUCUCACACCCUUUAGUAGUUGUUUUUUUUUUUUUUAAAGUUGCACACUUCACUUGUUUUCAAACUAUCUUAUAUGUAUGUUUCAUUAAGUGUAUUAAAUGUUUUUGUUUCAUUAUUUUUUGCAUAAAAAAUAGAGAUAAGCAUAUGAUUUUUUUUAUUUUGAUUUAUUCAUGUGAUCAAAUAUUGAUUCAUAAUGAGAUAUGAAAUAUUUUGUUAUGUUGUAAAGUUUUAAGAGCUACAUUAAUUCUUGAGAAGUACAAUAAUCAACACUAGAAGUAAUUUUACGAUCUUGUUAAUGAGUUAUAAUAAUUAGCAUAUGACCCAAUAACAGAAUAUAAUAAGCUAGCAAACAAUCCCACUAGUGAGUUAUAAUAGUUAACAUAUGACAUAGAACAUGAUUUUGAAUUUAAUUCAUAUUUGAAUUUUGAUGGAUUAUUUGAAAAAUAAAAUAAAAUAAAAUAAAUUGAGAAGCCAUUAAGACUGUGAGUACAUACACUUUAUAUAUUAAUCAAAUACUCAAGUGCAAUGUUUAGGAUUUAAAUUAAAGUCUAGCAAAUUACAACAUCUUCAAUGCAAAUUCUAAAUUCAGAAAAAAAAGAAGAAGAAAAAACCCUUCUUCAAAACAUGUGUUUUCCAAGCCCCAAAAGCUACAGAUAAAAGCUGGUGCUCACAAAUUUGAAAAUGAUCAAAGCUGAACAAGAAAAGCGAAUUUUCCACUAAAAACACCCGAAUUCUUCAAACCACUGCCAUGGGAAAUGAUUGAGCCAGAUGCUAGAGAAGCAGGGUCCAUUGGAUUCGGUUCGAAAGCCACCUUGACAAAUACAAAAAAAAAAAGAAAAAGAAAAAAUCAAUUGUAGAUUACAAAAGCAAUGAGAACUUUGUUGUAAUUCUACUUUGGCAAAAAACUCACCUAUGCAUGAUCUGGAUGUACUGCUAGUUUCUUCUUCCUCUGUUUCUGCGAAUCCACUUUGUAACAUUGUUUUGCCAAUCUCUCUCAACCAUUCUGAUAAACCACCAUGGUCUUCCUGUUGUGAAUACAAUGUAUCCCAUGCUCAAUCCUAGCACCACUCCACAUCCAUAGCCCAUCAUUACAACUUUCCAAAUAAAGGCUAUUUCAGAACCUUCUUCUUCCUUAACCAUUGGUACCGGUGGUUUUGGUUCAGGGUCGCCGCAUUGCUUUGACAGUGGGAGGCCACACAAUCCCAAGUUAUCACUAUAAGAAUCAUUCUCAAAAGUAUCAAAUUGCUUCCCAUGGGGAAUUGGUCCCACAAGAUCAUUUUGUGAAAGAUUUAACACUUCAAGGAAUGUCAGAUUCGUCAAUUGGGAAGGAAUUCUACCACCAAGCUUGUUUGAUGAGAGAUCUAACGAUUCAAGUGCUAUCAUAUUUCCGAUAGACGGUGAGAUAGGACCAGUCAAGUUGUUGUGAGACAAAUUGAGUCCUUGAAGCGAAAUAAGUUCUCCGAGUUCUUCAGGAAUUUGUCCACAGAAUAGAUUAUUGGAAAAGUCCAUAAAUGUGUAAAUGGCAAAGGUUUUCACCAACUCAAUCUCCAAUCUUUUCGUUGUUACAUUCACUGAGAAAUAGUCAUAAAAAGAUAAAGGUAUACCUCUUCUAUUCCAUCUCAUGAAUACUGAAGGUCUCUCUUCAGGUAUAUCUUUCAUUGCUCUCAAAUUUUGGAAGAAUUUUGUUGGCAAGGGACCGUUGAGCUCAUUAUGAGACAAAUCAAUUAUUUGCAAUGCAGAGAAGUUAGAUGAAGCUAUGGAAUUGGGCAUGGGACCAUGCAAUCUAUUAUUUCGUAAAAGAAGAACUUGCAGAUUUGGAAGUGAAGCUAACCAAUGGGGAAAGGUAUCAGUGAACUUGUUGUCCCUUAAAUUCAAAAGAUUCAAGGAACUACAAUUAGCCAAAGACCGCGACAAUAAUCCUUCCAAUUUAUUGUCAUUGAGGAGAAGAAUUUCCAAGUUAUUAUCUCUAAAAGAAUCAGGCAUUUUGCCAUGAAAAUUAUUCAUCUCCAAAUUCAUUACCAUGAGAGAAGAGCUGAGAUUUCCAAAACAUUCUGGAAUAGUUCCGCUCAAGUUAUUUCUAGACAACUCAAGAAUCAAAAGUGAACUCCAAUUGCAAAUCAAAAGAGGGAUAUUUCCGGUUAAUUUAUUAUUUGAAACGUAGAAUGCAAUCAAAGAUUGUGGUGGAUUUGGACUUUGAUUAUUCAAGCAAGUUGAUAGAAUUGGACCUUGAAGCAAGUUGGAUCGAAGGUCAAGAACGUCAAGAUUUUUUCCUGGAAAUUGCUCUAAAGUGGUCAAAAAGUUGUAAGAAAGGUUCAAAGAAUUCAAAUUGUCCCACCCUUCUGCUUCCCAUUUGGAAAUUCCACCAUGAAUCUUGUUAUUGGAAAGAUCUAAAUCCACCAAAUUUGAUGUUCGAAAGAAACUUGGGAACGGUCUUAUGUUACAAGAAGAGAAUGACACAGAAGCAAGCUUAGGGAAGGAAUAGUUAACAUCAUUUUCGCUUGCACUUAAUGAUAGUAAACCAUUAUUUGAAAGAUCAAGAGAGAAAAGAUUUUUGAGUUUUGAAAACAUAUUUGACUUGACGACACCACUCAAGUUGUUUGAUGAAAGAUAAAGACGUUCAAGGUUCACAAGAUCAAAAAAAGAACUAGGUAUUGGUCCAUGAAUGUCAUUAGAACUCAAAUCUAUAUAUUGGACCGAAUUAGGCUUCCGAAUUUGGUCAAUUUGACCGGUAAGUUUGUUAUAGCUAAGAUCUAAAGUUUGCAAAGAUGGUAAAGUAAACAACCAAGAUGGUACUCCACCACUUACAAGGUUACUAGAUAACCAAAAAACUUCUAGCAAUUGAAGCUCACUAACAUGAUUUGGUAGGGAACCUUCUAAUCGAUUAAAUGACAAAUCUAGAUAGGUAAGUUGUGUGAGGUUGAACAUGGAUGCUGGAAGUUGACCACUACAAUUACAGGAAUCAAAUGACAAAAAAGUCAAUUUAUUAAGAUUUCCAAAAACAUCUGGAAUCUGUCCUCCAAAAUCAUUUUGAGAAAAAUCUAGGAAGAUGAGUUGAGUGAGAUUUCCAAAUGAUGCAGGAAUUGAUCCUUUAAAACGGCAAGAGGAAAGGUCUAACAACUGAAGGGCAUUACUCAAGUUUGACUUAGGGAGAUAACCUGUGAGAUUGUAAUUGUUACUUAAAUCUAUAUGCUGGAGGUAUGGAAGGCGAAAAACUUCAAUUGGAAAUUCUCCAUGCAGUUGACACUCUUUGACACUCAAACGUUCUAGAGAUGAAGUCAAGUUCAGAAACGAAGGAAUUGCAACAUCAGACAUAUCUACAGAGUCAAGGAUAAGAUUUCUUAAUUCAAUGAAGUUUCGUGCAAGCAUUUCAAAACCUUGAUUAUCAAAUCUCAAGUUGUGAUCACCACCACUCCAAGAAAGAUCAAGUGAAACCAACUUUGAUAGGAGACUGAUUUCAUAUGGGAUUAAGUCAGAGAAUGAAUUAAAAGAGAGAUUAAGAUGGGCCAAACUCACAAACUGAUUAAAUAACUUCGAUGAGAUCGAGCCAUUGAAAUCGUUGUAAGCAAGGUUGAGCCGUUGGAGUUCUUGAAGGUGGAAGAGAUUGCUGUUUGCAGGAAGAGUGCCGUUAAGGCAGCUUUCACUGAGGUCGAUGCCGAUGACAUGACCCGUCACCUUGUGGCAACUGACUCCAUCCCAUGAACAACAAUCCGUGCUUUCGUUCCAAGAAUUUAUCUUGGGGUAAGAAGAAAACGUCUGACAAUCACCCAAAGAAAUGGUGUUUUUGAAUUCGAGCAAGGCAGCUCUCUGCUCUGGGAGGCAUAAAUGAGCUGAAGGAAGAAAAGAGGAAGGGGAACUCAAUGAACAAUGGACCUGGAAAUGGAAGAGCGCUAAAAGCAGGCAAUGGUACAACAUCCUAAUUACCUUUCCCAUAUUUUGUCGAGGAAAAGGAAAUUAGGAAUCAAGGGUCGUGGAAAAGGGGCAAGUGAGGGAGGUGAACUUAAAAAUGAGUUGUGGUUGAAGCUGAGGGACACGAGAAUUGAAGUAGUACUGGAGAAGUGGGGACAUGAAAUUAAAGUUUUUGUGCCGUGUUCGAAUGAAAAGCAUGAAGGCCGCUGAAUCCCAUCCCCUUAGAGACGUUGGUAGGAUUUGCAUAUUUUUCUUAAAUUCUCAAUUGAUGUCUAUUUUUAUUUUAGACCCAAAUAUUUCAUGAUGAGAAUCUAAGUGGAGUAGCGACACAAAACAGUUGGUCUUAGAAUUGCAACUCAUUACAACCAGUGUUAUUGUUUUUGUCAGGUUGAUUUUGGAUAUUCAAGUUUCAUUCUAUUCAUGACAUGCUAAUGUCACUUGGAUAAUGUUCAAGCAAGAACAUGAGUGCAAGGAAUGUCAUUAUGCAAGAUUUAUCAAUUAAUUGAAGUGACUUUUUCUUUCUGUAAAUAUAUAAAAAAAAAUUAUUGAGUCUUAAAAAAAAGAAGCAACUCUCUCCAAUCUUUUUUUUUUAUUCUUUUUUAGUUUGAAAAAAAAGAAACCAUAUCUUUAAACCUAACUUUUUAAAUAUGGAAAUAUAUGCAAUUUUUGGCAAUAUAUACACUAUUUUCUUAUUUUGAAAAUCUGUUAAAGUGGCCCUUCAGACAAACAGAUGAUAAUUGAAGUAAACAUUUAAUUUUUAUUCCUUUUUAUUAGCAGAAAAUUAAAGUAAACUUCAUAGUUUAGUUAUAUAACUUUUUAAAAAAUUAAAAAUAAAAAAUCAGAUAAUUUAAUUGAAAUUUUCCGUAAAAGGCCCCCAUUUGUUGGAGUUUUUCAGUUUUACGCCUAAAAUUAAUCCAAAAUUUUAUGUUCAAUUUUCAUAGCAUAAAAACGCAGCCUCAAAAUCAUUUUCUUUUGUAGUAUUUAACUCACAUGAGGUGAUAAAAUAAAUUAAAAAUUCAUUGAAUAAUUCAAAAUUGAAUCUAUCAAAUUGGGUCAAGCCAGUGGGCCACCCGACCCAUGGAUAGGUCUAGUACAGUGUUUGUAGAAAGGAAAAACGUGAAUGCUAUCGACUGUUGUUGUUCCUAUUUGAAGGCACAUUCAAAUUCAAUCCCUUUCAUACAGUUGUUUCUCAAUAGAUUGGACAUAGUCUUCACUCAACAAAGCUAAUUAAUUGUUAUACGAACCCUUAGUUCACGUUAAUCCCUUUUCUUACAUAUGAAAAUAUAGAUAUAUAUGUAAUUUUUGAAUAAUUAAUUCAAUAAUAAGGAUCAAAUUUCUACUUCAACCCUUUCAUCCUUGUUCUUUCCGUGCAUAAUAAAAAAUUAUUAAAUAGACAGCAUAUUUUCUCAUAUUUUCAUACGAGACAACAUCCUAACUACCCUUCCCAUAUUUUCUCGAGAAAAAGAAGGUUACGUAACAAGGGUCGUCGAAAAGGGAGGUGAAGUUGAAAAUGGGUUGUGGCUGAGGCCGCAGGACAUAUAAAUAGAAGUACUGGAGAAGUGGAGACAUCCUUUUUUCCAGUCAAUCAACAAGUUUUUCCAAAAUCAUUUAAGUUGUUUCCCAUCAAUGCGUUUAAAGUCAAGUCUUCUUAGCUUAAAAAUUUAUUAAUUGGGUUGAGAAAUUUCAACAGCAAUAGUGUUAGAGCCUGGAAUCAAAAGUAAAUUAAUGGUAUAAAAAAAAGAAGUGUUGGUGGCGUGUUAGAAUGAAAAGCAUGAAUUGAAGGUGCAUAUAUUCUUGAAUUCUUAUUGUAUGUCUACCUUUAUUUUAUUGUUUACAGGAAAGUCUUAUUGGGAUAAGCUAAUUAGACCCAAAUGUCCCACAAUUAUCAUCCAGAGAAAUGGAGUUUCUGAAUUCGAGCAAGGCAGCACUCUGUUCUGGGAGGCAUAAUAAAUGAGUUGAAUGAAGAAAAGAGGAAGGGAAACUCAAUGAACAAUGGACCUGGAAAUGGAAGAGCGCUAAGCUGAGGGACAUGAAAAGUGAACUAGUAGAGCAUCUCUUUUCCAAGUAAACCACCAGGUCUUUCCAAAAUCUUUUUAAGUUGUUUUCCAUUAAUGCAUUUCUAGACAACUUAAAACAUUGUUCACUAUGCUGAGAAUUUUCAACAGAAAAAGUGUUUGCCUAAAAUCAGAAUGGAAAGCGCUGGUGGCGUGUUAGAAUGGAAAGCGUGAAGCCCGCUGACCCUAUCCCAUCCCAUCUGAGGCGUCAGUAGGAUUUGCAUAUUUUCUUGAUUUCUCACUGUAUGCCUCCUUCUAUUUUGUUUUUUAUAGGAAAACCUUACUGGGAAAAAGCUGAUUAGAACCAAAUUUCAUUAUCGGAAUCUAAGUGGAGUAGAGACACAAAAACUAUUCAUCUUAGAAUUUGCAAUUCAUUACAACCAGUUCUAUUAUUUUUAUUUUUAUUUUUAUUUUUAGUGUUUAACUCACCCGACGUAAUAAUAAAACAAAAAUUUAUUGAAUAAAGAAAUUCUUUAUGUAGAUUACAGCGAAUUCAGGCCACCAUCAAAGCAACUUUAAGAAAUUACAAAUAUAUUCGGAUCAUUACCAGAAACAUACCUUUUUAAAAAAAAAAAAAAACCAAAUAUUAAAGCAAGUUUAUAAGCAUGUUUUUAUCAUCCUUCAAUUACUUUUUCAUGUUAAAAGCACCUACUAAAAGUUAGAGUAAUGUUAUUUUUCCUUGUAUUUUUGUUUUUACUAACAUGAUUAAAAAAUUAAAAUUUUAUUAAAUAAUUUAAAAAUAAGAUUUUAUAGACUGACAGAACAUGGGGCGACACAACAGAUCAGUAAAGGGUAGAACGGCACAGUGAAUCACCAGAAUGAUCAGGUCAGCUAAUUCUCACGUUGCGAAUUAUAGAAAAAUCAUUCUGUUUGAAGAACUUAAGUACUCUGCUGCAGUUCCAUUUUUUGAACUAUUAUGGAUGGCUGGAGUCUAUUCCCAAGUAAAACUUUUGCACUGUGGAUUCUGUGUUGCUGAAGGUUAGAGCCAGAUGUCACGUAGGGAUAGAAAUAUUGAUACUGGUGGUUUUUUGGUAGUGCCAGACAGUUAGGUAUUAAGAGUUGACAGAGCUUUUGUAAGGGGUGAACAGGGUGGUGCAGAGGAAACAUAACUAUGCAAAACCAGCUAUACCUAGAGCUGAACUGUUGUUCCCUCAAAUAUCAAUACAUAUUGAACUUAAAAAAAAAAAUGCAAGCUUAUCCAUACAGUGUGACUGCAUACACUUUAGACAUUAAUCAAAUGCUCAAGUACAAUGUUUAGGAUUUAAAUUUAAGUCUUGCAAAUUAAAACAUUUUCAAUACAAAUUCUAAAUUCAGAAAAAAAAAAAGACCUUCAAAACAUGCCUUUUCCAAGCCUCAAAACCUACAGAUAAAAGCUACUGCUCACAUAUUUAAAAAUGAUCAAAGCUGAACAGGAAAAGCAAAUUUUCCACUAAGAACACCAAGAAUCAUAUUACCCAUUCAGAUACUCAGUGAACACCUGAAUUCAGAUACUCGACAAACUUUAUCGACUUAUUUGAGACAAAAUUUAAGUUUAAUGAUUAAAACAGGAAUUAUGUGGAAGUUCAGUGACCAUCCGUGCAACUUAGUCUAUUUAUUCUCUGAAAUUUAACUGUUCCAAUGUUGCUGCCGUCCAAAAAUUGGAUAUUGGCAGCAGCCGACAUAUCCCUUGGUAGCCGUGCAACCAAAGCAUGGCUGGCCUCCUUUUGGGCACCAACCUGGACUCAAAAAAUGUAAUGCAUUUGUUUAUGUAAUAUGAAUAUUCCCUCAUAUGGCCAGUUGGGUUACGUACGAUACAAAAUCGGGGAUUCUUAGCUGCCAAAAAAAGGAUAAUAAUCCAAACCCAUAGCCAGCUUUUACUGUGUAACUCUUUUACUUUACAGUUUGGUUUCAAUUUAGUUGAUUGCCAUAAUCACAGAAUCAUUGAAAUAGGAUUCUUCAGUCGGGGAAAAUGUGGGGUGUCCUAGCUCAUAAGAUCGAAUCAAGUCCUUUCUUAAUAAAUAUAGUUUAUGUGUGUUUCAAACAAUCAUAUCUGUUGGUUUUUUCCAACAAACAUGACUUUUAUUUUAAUUUUAUUUUUUAACAGACAUGAUUUUUUAAAUAUAAUUUUUUUAAUAGAUAUUUUAUUUAAAACUGUUCCAAUAGAAAGAAAAUGAAGAUGGUGACAGAAGAUAAAAAGGGGGAAUUCAAAAAGGAAAUUAAACAAGAUGGCAAAGUACCAUGUUAGAAAGGAACGGCAUGAAGCGUGUUGACUGUUGUAUGCAUACAUGUUAAAAUCGUACCAUAUAGACUUGUCUGCAUAGACCCUUAACCUGAGCUAAUUAAGGGUCUUUGUACAGCUUUUGGGAGUGAAGAGUGAAGACUACGCCCACUCUUUACUAUCCUUGAAUGACGCAUGAUUGAGGGUUCAAUGGGCUCCCUUAAAUCCUGAGUGUAAAAAGAAAAAAUGUAUUUAAGUAUUUAAUUUAAUGAUAGAUAUAUAAACAGUAAACAGAGUAAAGAGAGAAAUGAACAGAACCUAGUGGUGUAAAUAAGAAAUUACUGCAUCAAACUAAAAUGAAAGGCCAAGUAUAACACUGUUUGUAUAGGAGUAGAAAAUGUCAACCUGAGCCCGACCCAUCAGAAGCGACUUAGAAUAAGGUUGAUGCUAAUACACCCAAUACAAAAAUAACUUCUUUUGAAUGAUCAACAUAUACUUUCUUUUAUAAAGUGUAAAAUAUAUAAAUACAACAUUUUCUUAAUAAAAAAAAGUGCAAUUAUUUAUUUUUUUGAUAAUGGAUGUUGAUGUAGAACAUUCUUUUCAAUUUAAUUCAUAAUUACAUUUUGAUGGAUUAUUUGAAAAUAUAAAAUAGAUUGAGAAAACAAAAAGACUCGAUAUGGUUUGAAUUCUACCUCAACAGUUAUAUUGAAAUGAUUGUGACUCGACUUUUAAUUAUAUUUUGAAGAAAACAAGUUGUUGAAUCAAAGAGAGAUAAGUUAAGCCUCACACUUUGUUUGUUUUGAUAUUAUUGUAUAAGUAGAUUUCUUUAAAUGAAGUAAAUAUUUUUUUCAUUAUUUUUUGUAUAUGAAAAUAAGGUCAAGUAUAUGAUUUUUUUUUUAUUUUGAUUUAUUUAUUUGACAAAUAUUGAUUCAUGAAUUAGGUAUGAAAAGUUUUUCUGUUGUGUUAUAAAAUUUUUAAAGUUACAAAUUAAUCCUUAAAAAGUGAGAUAAUUGACAUCAAAACUAAUUGUAUGACCCUAUUAACGAAUUAUAAUAAUUUUUUUUGUUUUGAAAAGUAACGAGUUAUAGUAGUUAGUGUCUGAUCUCACUAAUGAGUUACAACAGUUAGCAUAUCAUUUCACCAAUAGGUUAUAAUAAUUGGCAUAAGGCUCAAUUAACUGAUUAUAAUAGUUAACAUACAACUCUACUAACAGGUGAUAAUAAAUAGUAAGAUCAUGAAAAUAAUGAUAUGAUCCUUAUCAAAGGUUAUAAUAGUGAUCAUAAUCAAAGAUGCAAAAACUUUAUGAGUUUUAAAAAUUAAAUUUAUGAUUUACUUGUUAGAAUAUUAAAAUCAUGAUUUUUUUUAAUCAAUAAUUUACAAACUUAAAAAAUUAUUCGUUUUAGAUAAUAGGAUUCUUUAAUUGUUUUAAAAACAUGAUUAAUUGAAAUAUUUUAAAUAAUUCAUAUAAUAUAUUGAAAUCAUGUUUGAUGUGGUAUAUAUAUGUGGCUAUACUUGCUGAGUUGUUCUUCAUCAUUCUGUCAGUGAUUGCUGCACCAACACAUGACCCAUACUUAUUAACAUUCCAUAACUGGUAAGGUAAUCUCCCAUAAGAGUUUCCUACAACCUUUGAAUCUUUCUUUGGUUUCCAAUCCCAAAAACGAGAAUUUGGUUCUUAACACCACCUUUGAAACAUACUUAGUGAUGGAGCCAAGAUUUCAUGUUUGGAGGGGUAACGGCUCAGAAAUGUCAACAUUUUGUGAAACAGUCCUUUUCUUAAAAGAAGAUUCAAUUUUCUUAUUACUCAUGACAAUUUAUUUUCAUAAUUCAAAAAUCUUUAAAAUUAUUCAAAAGAAUCAAUCUUAAUAAUUUACUUAAAAUAAUUAACUACUAUAAUCAUAAAUAAUUUAAUAAUGACAAUAAUCGUAUUCCUUGAUAAACUUUAACAACAAACAAAAAUUAAAAAAUAUAAUAACAAAAAUCUUAAUGGGAAGUAAUACCCUAAAAAAUAUUAAGUGCUAUCAAUAAACAAUUCAAUGGGAAGCAAUUCCCUAAAAUUAAUCACAAAAAUUAAAUACAAUAUCAGUAAACAAUUUAACGAAGAAGCAAUCCCCAAAUAAAAAACUUAUUUGUUCACAAAAAUCUAAAUAAAAAAAAUAAUUUGUAAAAAAGCAAUCAAGCAAUGCUUAAAUAAAUAAGUAAUAACUAACCUUACGUACUUAAUUAAAUCUUUGCUUUGUUGUUUUCAGUAAAAAAUGGUUAAGAUGGUAAAUCCUAAAUCAAAAUUAAUAAACAAAAACUAUAAAAUAAAAAAAAGUUUAAAGUUGAAAAUAUUAAAAAUAAAAUAACAUUAAAUAAACCAAAUUUACCAAUUAUCAUGACAUGAUAUUUAAGUUAUUGACUAGAGGUUUUAUGCACAGAGAAUGCUCAAGGAAAAAAGUGUUAGAAAAAAAUGACUUUUUGUUUCUAUUUGGUAAGAAAAAAGGAGAAUAAGAGGUGAUGGUUGUAAGGUUUCGGGAAGUGAAAUUUGGGCAUAAUUCUAUUGAAAAAUAGGUUUUUUUUUUUAGUCCUAAGUCCUGCUGACUAAUUGUUGUGGGGCAUCUCACCAAAUAAAAAAUUAUUAUAAGGACAAAAUUAUAAAAUUUCAAAAAAAAUAUGUUAGAAAAAUUUUAAAAUUUUUGUAGAGACAAAAUUAAAAAAUUUCAAAAAAAUAAAAGUAUAAAAAUUUUAUACUUGUUGGGGGCCCACUAGCCCCCCCUCCCUUCCGCCUUGAGCAUACUCUACAUUACCAGAAUGGAGUCAUCUAAGUUAGUCAAACAUGUCCAAAAUAUACACAAAUCUAAUGCUUUGUUUCUGCAUAAGAUAACAAGGCAAGGUUCUUGCCAUUUUCUAAAAUAACUAUGACACAUUUAAGCAAAGACUCACCUGAGAUGACAACACAGAACUUUCCUCUGAAGAUAUAUCUUGUGUCACAUCUUUCUUAACUUUACAAUACAUCCUGAAUAUACCAUCUAAAAUCCAAUAUUAAACAAAUGAGUUCACAUACAACCUAAUAACUUUGGAUUCAACUCAUGUUAACAUAACAAGACUUUAUUCGACUCAUCAGUUAAAAAAACACAUACAACCUACAAGUUUAUUGAAAAAUCUACAAACAUACCAAUUAUGUUCAUUUCACUUCGCACUUUCUACAAUUAUAUCAUCCUUUGUAGUUAAAACUUUUAAGGCAAACGAUUAAUUUACGUGAAGUUGAAAUAUUAAAUUGAGGGUACAAGUAAAAAACUAAACACAUAAUUAAAUCCAGCAUUCUAUAAAUUGAAAUUUAUCAAGCUACAAUUUUUAUUGUCGCUCCUCUCCUUGUUUUUGGAAACAAGUACACAAAAAAAAAGCAAUAAUUUUUGAAGAAUUAAAAAUAAAAAUGUAACUUAUUUAGAUAAGGAAAUGCAUAAUUAUACUUUUAUAAGAAGUAAUUAUCUUUAUAAUUAACAUUAUAUUCCAGUCAAUGUUCAUAAAAUCAAUUACAUAGUUUUGCUUUAAAGCAACCUUCGAAGCAAAUAGCAAAAACAACCAAACCAAGCUCUAAAAAGAUAAAAACUUAAAAGAAAAAUUACCUAUCGAUGAAUCAAACCACGGAGUAGAGUAAACCAAGAUAAACCUUCGGGAGGUCCCAACUGCAAUCAAUUUAAUCUCAUCUUCGCCGGUGAUGCAGUCGACAUCCGUCAAGUAAAGCUGGCUCUGCUUCGACAUUGGCAACUGAGAUAACGGAUUGGAAUAGGAAAGGAAAGAAUUUUGUAUAGGAAAGGUAAGCAGGUGCCUUUGUGGGGCCCAUGUGAAGAGUUGUGAAGAAAAUUCAGAAAAUUAAUUACAAAAUUAAAAUUAAAGCAUUGGAACAUUUUUAAUUAAAGUUUUGCAAAUUAAAACAUUUUCAAUACAAAUCCUAAGUUCAUCAGAAGAAAAAAAAAAACUACUUCAAAACUUGUCUUUUCCACAUAAAACUUCAGAUAAAUGCUGCCAAAUAUGAAAAGCAAAUUAUCCACUAAGAACACCCUGAAUUGUUCAAACCACUGUCAUGGAAAAGCCAGAUACUAGAGAAGGAGGGUCCAUUGGAUUCGGUUCGAACACCACCCUAGCAAGUAGAAAAAAACAAAGGAAAAAUCAAUUGUAGAUUACACAAGCAAUGAGAAAAAUUCCAUUGAACUCGAAGAUACUUUCCUGAAAAUUGCUCCAAAGUGGUCAAAAAGUUGUAAGGAAGGUGCAACUCGAGCAAGCUUUCCCACCCUUCUGCUUCUCAUUUGGAAAUUCCACCACAAAUCAUGUUAUUGGAAAGAUCUAAAAUUUCCAAAUGAUGUUCGAAAGAAAUUUGGGAAUUGUCUUAUGCUACACGAAGAGAAUGACACAGUAGCAAGCCGGGUAAAGGAAUAGUUAACAUCAUUGCCGCUUGUGCUUAAUGAUAGUAAACAAUUAUUUGCAGAACAUCAAAACAUUAAAGUUCUUAUUUAAACAAAACAUUAUUUAAUUAAUAAUGUUCUUUCUUAAAUAAUUAUUUAAACAAUUAUUUGUAAACAAAACAUUAAAGUUCUUUCUUAAAUAAUUAAUACUCUCUCUAUCCACUUAAAUAUUUAAUUGCACAUCAGAACACGUUAAGAUGAACCCUUUUGGUGUAAGCCCAUAGUAGAACAGCAAAACUAAGCAUGUGGCAAGGAUGACAAUAAAAAUUAUAAAAAGGCUUACUAAAUACAAUAAUCAGAGAAACAUGCAAGCAGAGGUUACAUGCUUAACAAUGAGACUGUUGCCACAAAUCUUGUGAUAGUACCAAAGGAAAAAUGAGAACUAAAGAUCAGUUAAAUGAUCUCAGCAACAGCAAACACUCCUGACCAAUGUAAAUCAGCUUCAAUCACCUAAAAAUUUGAUUCUAAGAAAAUAUUUCUUUUAGAAUAAUUAUAAGUAUACAUGAAUUUUGAAACAAGCACAUAUUUUUAGAGAUUCACACUACAUAAUUUAAGUACCAUGGAGAAGAUAACAGCAGAACUAACAGCAGAACCAAAUGAGGAAUAAUAUACAAGUUUAACAAACUUCACCUCGAGCAAAUGACUGAGGCUUCUCUUCUGACUUCCUCUUUGGCGUUUGUUCAGUCCGCCAUAUCAUUUUAGAAAAAGAAGCAAUUGUGGAAAAUGUUGCAGGCACAACUUUUGACAAAAUAGCUCCCAUCAAGGAACAGUUCCUAUCUUCUGAAAGUCUUCAACAUAAUUAAACCAAAGUUUAUCAAUAAAGCAAAAAAGUGAAACUACAAAUGAAAGAAUCCCUUCUUGUAAUGAAAGAUAAAUCAUAUGAUCUUUCAAAAUGCGAAGAAACUAACCUGAAAGCUGAGAUCACUGCAUCAUCUCCAAUGGUGACUACACAAUAGUAACGUUGACUUGACUGCGCAACAAUAAAAGCAGCUGAAUUCAAAUACCAGAAUAACUUCAGAAAGCUUCCAUAAUUCAUUGGCAAAAUUAACAAAAGCAUAAAUAAAAUGUACUAUAAGGAGCAAAAUAUUGAACCAGUAAAACCAUUUUUUCAAACGCUCAUUUUGAAGAUCAAAUGGCCAUUAAUUAAGAAUUGAAAAAUAAAUUAUUCAACUACUAGCAUGAGCUAGUAAAGAUAAAGCAACAUUAGAAAUCACUUGGAGUUCCAUGAAAAGGGGUGGCAUUAUGCCAGUGAUUGCUGCAUCAACACAUGUCCCACACCUAUUAACAUUCCAUAACUGGUAAGGUAAUCUCCCAUAAGAGUUUCGUAUAUCCUCUGAAUCUUUCUUUGGAUUCUGAUCCCAAAAACAAGAAUGUGUUUCUUGAAACCACCUUUGAAGCAUACUCUACAUUACCAGAAGGGAGUCAUCUAAGUUAAUAAAUCGAAUGCUUUGCAUCUGCAUCAGAUAAACAGGCAAGGUUCUUGCCAUGUUCCUGAAUAAUUAUUACACAUUUAAGCAGGGAUUCACCUGAAUAUCAGAUCCAUCAAAAUGAGCAAUUACACCAGGUAUGACAACACAGACCUCCUCUGAAGAUAUAUCUUGUGUCAGAUCUUUCUUGGUUCCACGGACUCUUAACUUUACGAUGCGUCCUGGAUAUACCAUCUAAAAUCAAAUAUUAAACAAAUGAGUUCACCAUUCCAACAAUGAUAUAUCUCUAACUGAUCUCAACCGAAUAGCUUUAGAUCUAAUUGAUGUUAACACAAGACUUCAUCCCACUCAUCAGUUAAAAAACACAUAUAACCUAUAAGUUUACAUGAAAAUCUACAAAACACACCAUUUAUGUUCAUGUCACUUUUCUACAAAUGAAUCAAGUUAAAAUGUUAAAUUGAACGUAAAAUUAAAAAACUAAACACAUAAAUAAAUCCAGCAUUCAAUAAAUUGAGUGUAAAUUAUUUUUAUUGUGCUUCUACUGCUUGCUUCUUGAAGCAAAACGCAAAAAAGCAAUCAUUUUUGAAGAAUUAAAAAUGAAAAUGUAAUUAUUUAGAUAUCUGAAACGCAUAAAUAUACUUUUAUAUGAAGUAAUUAACAUUAUGUUCAUUUAAUCAAUUACAUAAUUGUGCUUUAAAGCAACCUUUCAAGCAAAUAGCAAUAACAACCAAACCAAGCUCAAAAAAGACAGAAACGAAAAACAAUAAUUACCUGUCUAUGAAUCAAAUCUGCUCGCAAAGUGUACACCAAGAUGAACCCUCAGGAGGUCCCAACUGCAAUCACUUUAAUCUCAUAGAAAACCAGCCACUCUAUGGCCGUGAUGUGCUCGGCCUCGAUAGGUGAUAGAUCGGGUCGCAUAUUGACACGAAGCUCAUCCGGGUCGGACCAUCCGAGGGUGAGAAUAAGAGAUCGGUUAGCGAUGGCGAGAGAAUGGGCGUCCACAGCACAUAAAAGAGUGGUGCUGGCGUCAUGCUAGCCAUCCUUCCUUGCCAACGCCGAACUCAGACAAGUCUUCGCCGGCGAUGCACCGAGAUCCGCCUAGGGCAACUGAGAUUACAGAUUGGAAUUUGGACAGGAAAGAAUUUUGUAUAGGACAGUAAAGCAGAAGACUUACUGUGGAGUCCACGUGUAGAGUUGUGAAGAUAAUUAAGAAAAUUAAAUAAAAAAAUUAAAAUUAAAAGUAAAGCAUUUUUAACUAAAGUCUUUUAAAUUACAACAUUUUUCGAUACAAACUUCAAACAAAAGUAGCUGCUCACAAAUUUAAAAAUGAUAAAAUGCUGCUCCUCACGAAGAACACCCAGAAGCUGCUGUUGCAUUAGAUUCAGUUCGAAAGCCACCUUGACAAGUAGAAAAAUGAAAAGGAAAAAUCUGGAUGUAGUGCUAGUUUCUUCUUCUGCUGCUGCGUCUGCGAAUCCAAUUUGUAACAUUGUUUUGCCAAUCUCUCUCAACCAUUCUGACAAACCACCAUGGUCUUCCUGUUGUGAAUACAAUGUAUCCCAUGCUCAAUCCUAACACCACUCCACAUCCAUAGCCCAUCAUUACAACUUUCCAAAUAAAGGCUAUUUCAGAACCUUCAUCUUCGUUAAGCAUUGCUACCGGUGGUUUUGGUUCCUCAUCAUUGCCGCAUUGCUUUGAUAGUGGGAAGCCACACAAUCCCAAGUUACCACUAUAAGAAUCAUUCUCAAAAGUAUCAAAUUGCUUCCCAUUGGGAAUUGGUCCCACAAGAUCAUUUUGUGAAAGAUUUAACACUUCAAGGAAUGUCAGAUUCGUCAAUUGGGAAGGAAUUCUGCCACCAAGCUUGUUUGACGAGAGAUCUAACGAUUCAAGUGCUACCAUAUUUCCGAAAGAUGGUGGGAUAGGACCAGUCAAGUUGUUGUUAGACAAGUUGAGCGUUUGGAGAGAAAUAAGUUCUCCGAGUUCCUCAGGAAUUUGUCCACAAAAUAAAUUGUUCGAAAAGUCUAUGGAUGUAAAAAUAGUUAGGGUUUCCACCAACUCCAUCUCCAAUUUUUUUGUUGUUACAUUCACAGAAGCUUUCUCAAUAUCAACCAUAGAAGAUGCGCAGUCGCGAUUAUAUGGCUGUCCAGGAGUACACGACAGUCUCUUUUGAGGUACAUGAUCUUUCAUUGCUCUCAAAUUUUGGAAGAAUUUUGUUGGUAAGGGGCCGGUGAGCUCAUUAUGAGAGAGAUCAAUUAUUUGCAAUGCCGAGAAGUUAGAUGAAGCUAUGGAAUUGGGCAUGGGACCAUACAAUCUAUUCUUUCGCAAAAUAAGAACUUGUAGGUCAGGAAGUGAAGCUAACCAAUGGGGAAAGGUAUCAUCGAACUUGUUGUUCCUUAAAUUCAAAAUUUUCAAGGAACUACAGUUAGCCAAAGAUCGCGGCAGUAAUCCCUUCAAUUGGUUGUCAUUAAGGAAAAGAUUUGUCAACGAAUUACUUGUAAAAGAAUCAGGGACUUUGCCAUAAAAGUUAUUCAUCUCCAAGUUCAUGAACUGGAGAAAAAAGCUGAAAUUUCCUAGACAAUUUGGAAUGGUUCCAGUCAAGUAAUUUCUAGACAAGUCGAGAAACACAAGCGAACUUUGAUUGCAAAUCAAAGAAUUUGAAAGAAUUGGCCCUUGAAGCAAGUUUGACCGAAGGUCAAGAACUUCAAGAUUCAUUCCUGGAAAUUGCUCCAAAUUGGUCAAAGAGUUGUUAGAAAGGUACAACUCGAGCAAGCUUUCCCACCCUUCUGCUUCCCAUUUGGAAAUUCCACCAUAAAUCUUGUUAUUGGAAAGAUCUAAAAUAUUCAAAUUUGAUGUUCGAAAGAAACUUGGGAACUGUCUUAUGCUACAAGAAGAAAAUGACACUUUAACAAGUUGAGGGAAGGAAUAGUUAACAUCAUUGCCGCUUGUGCUUAAUGAUAGUAAACUAUUAUUUGAAAGAUGAAGAUCCGUAAGAUUUUUGAGUUUUGCAAGCAUAUUUGACUUGAUGACACCACUCAACUUGUUUGAGGAAAGAUCAAGCGUUUCAAGGCUCACAAGAUCAAAAAAAGAAUUCGAUAUUGAUCCAUGAAUGCCAUUAGAACUCAAAUCAAUAUAUUCAAGAGAAUUAGGCUUCUGAAUUUGGUCAAUUGGACCGGUGAGCUUGUUAUGGCUGAGAUCUAACCUUCCCAAAGAUGGCAAAGUAAACAGCCAAGAUGGUACUCCACCACUUAUAAGGUUAUUGGAUAUGCUAAUAUCUCCAAGCAAUUGAAGCUCACUAACAUGAUUUGGCAGGGAACCUUCUAAUCGAUUAUAUGACAAAUCUAGAUGGGUAAGAUGUGUGAGGUUGAACAUAGUUGAUGGAAGUUGACCACUAAAAUUACAGGAAUCAAAUGACAAAAAAGUCAAUUUAUUAAGAUUUCCAAAAGCAUCAGGAAUCUGUCCUCCAAAAUCAUUUCUUGUAAAAUCUAGGAAGAUGAUUUGAGUGAGAUUUCCAAAUGAUGCGGGAAUUGACCCUCUAAAACUGCAAAAGGAAAGGUCCAACAACUUAAGGGCAUUACUCAAGUUUGUCUUAGGGAGAUAACCUGUGAGAUUUUGAUUCCAACCUAAAUCUAUGUGCUGGAGGUAUGGAAGGCUAAAAACUUCACUUGAAAGUUCUCCAUCUAGCUGACAAUAAUUAAGACUCAAAUGUUCCAGAGAUGAAGUCAAGUUCAUAAAGGAAGGAAGUGCAACAUCAGACAUAUCUACAAAGUCAAGGAUAAGGUUUCUUAAUUCAGUUAAGUUGCGUGCAAGCAUGUCAAAACCUUGACUAUCAAAUCUCAAGCUGGGAUAACCAUUCCUUGAAAGAUCGAGUGAAACCAAUUUUGACAGGAGACUGAUUUCAUAUGGGAUUAAGUCAGAGAAUGAAUUACAGGAGAGAUUAAGAUGGGUCAAACUCACUAAUUGAUUAAAUAACUCUGAUGAGAUAGAGCCAUUGAAAUAGUUGUGAGCAAGGUUGAGUCGUUGAAGUCCUUGAAGGUGGAAGAGGCUGCUGAUUUCAAGAAGAGAGCCAUGAAGGUUGUUGGCACUGAGGUCGAGCCAUUGAAGUCUUUGAAGGUGGAAGAGGCUGUUGUUUGCAGGGAGAGUACCGUUAAGGCAGCUGGCACUGAGGUCGAUUCCAAUGACAUGACCCGUCACCAUGUGGCAACUGACUCCAUCCCAUGAACAACAAUCCGUGCUUUCAUUCCAAGAAUUUGUUGUAGGGUAAGAAGAAGGUACCCAACAAUCAUCUAGAGAAAUGGUGUUUUUGAAUUCGAGCAAGGCAGCUCUCUGUUCUGGGAGGCACGAAUAAGCUGAAUGAAAAAAAGAGGAAGAGGAAGUCAAUGAACAAUGGACCUGGAAAUGCAAGAACGCUAAAAGCAGGAAAAGGAUUCGAUACAACAUCCUAACUACCUUUCCCAUAUUUUCUCGAGAAAAAGGAAGUUAUGAAACAAGGGUAGUCGAAAAAGGGCAAGCUAGGGAGGUGAAACUGAAAAUGAGUUGGGGCUGAGGUCGAGGGACAUUAUAAAUGAAGUACCUGAGAAGUGGAGACAUCCCUUUUCAAGUCCACCAACAAGUCUUUGCAAAAUCUCUUAAAUUGUCAAAAUUAAAUUAAUGGAAAAAAAAAGGAAAAGUGUAUGUGCUGUGUUAGAAUGAAAAGCAUUAAGGCCACUGUAUCCAAUCCCAUUUGAGACGUUAGUAGGAUUUGCAUAUUUUUCUUGAUUUCUAAUUUGAUGUCUACUUUUAUUUUAGGCUUAUUGGGAUAUGCUUAUUAGAUCCAAAUCUCAGUAGAGACACAAAACUAAUUCAUAGAAUUGCAACUCAUUACUGUUUAACUCACUUGAUGUGAUAAUAGAAAUAAAAAAUUAUUAAAUAAAAAAAUUCUUUAUUAUAGAUUACAACUAAUUCAAGUCUUCGUCAAAGUAAUUUUAAGAAAUUAUAAAGAUUUUCACAUUUUGGGAUCAUCAUCAGAAAUUAAAGAUAGCUUUUUUUUUUUAUUUUUUUUCAAAAAAAAGAGAGAUAGGUCAAAAGUAAGAAUUCAUGUCAAAAGUAAGCCGUUUGUGAUGGUAUGACACUUAACAAUGUUAAAGGAAAAACUUCAAGAUGAUAGAAGGAGAAGAAUCAGGAAAUUGCUAGAAAAGUGUCUAAGCAUGUUUUUCCCAUCAUUCCAUUGCAUUUUCAAGUUAAACGCACCUACUAAAAGUUAGAGUAGCAUUGUUUUUUCUUAUAUUUUUGUUUUUACGUAUUUAUUCACCUGAUAAAUAAUUAAAUAAUUUAAAAAUAAAAUUUAUCAAUUUAUGGUAAAUCAAUUUAUUCAUAAAUAUAAUGUUUAAAAUUGAAUCAAUUUACGAACUCAACAGUCAAAAAGAUUGUCUUUGUUUAUAUUUUCAUGCUUUACACACAGUCGUCUUCGGCAACUUUCCCAGCAAUUAUUGAUUACUUCAAGUAUGGGAUAUCCUUUUGCUUUUUGUUCUUUAUUAAUUUCUUUGAUAAUUAUAAGUGUCUUUUUGCUUUUCUUUGGUCUUAAUUAAUUAAUUUACUUGGAAUUCCCAUUACAUGCUUUAGCUUUUCUUUGAUCUUUCAUUAAUAUAUUUACCAUGACUCUUCUUCUGUUAUGACUUGUCUUUUUUAGGUGUUGGGUGUUAAAAUAAUGAAGGGACCUCCAUUACUAUUAUAAGUGAUUAUAUUGGUGCAUUUCAUGUAUAUAUAGUUUUAUGUGCUUGAGAAAGUAAUUUUAGAAAAAAAAAAGUAAGAAUAAUGAGAAUAAAAAUCAAUAAUUUUUUUUCUUUUUUCUCUCAAGAGUUUUUUUUUUUCGAAAAGUGAAUUUAUUAAUAUUAAAACUAUUAUACCAUCUGAAUCCUGUAUAGAAUUGCUAAAGACUUCUGUUGGCAUAUAAUUCUAGCUCGUGCAUCAUCAAGACCCAUGGGAUCUCGUCAUGAAAAUCCUUACAAUUGAUAAUAUUAUAGCAGCAUAUAUGAAACCAUGGAGGACCAAUUAAGAAUUAAUGGAAAAGUGAUGACAGCACUAAAUAAUUUUAUCAUUCUAUGAUAAGGUUACUUUUAUCAAAUUUAAAGUUACUUUUAAAAAGAAAUGUAAAAUGGACAAGAUAGGUAAGCAUCAACCAUUUUGUUUAGUUCACAUCACAGAAAAGCCAAUUUUUUUUUUUCUGGGGAUGUGCAAUGGAACUGUUCCUUUCGAGAACAAGGUAUGAACUACUUACUGUUCCAUAGCUGGUAUUCUGUUUUUUUUCUUCUGGCUGUUCCAAAAAGGUACCUAUUGCUUGAAAUUACUGUCGAAGCAUACUUUAGAAUAUCAAUUGAGGGAAAAAUUGGUCAGAACUUCAUUUUGCAAUGCUUUCCUAUUGCUCCUGCAUGCAUUAGAUCAUAGUUAACACCAUCUUGAUUUGUGUCCCUUUCCAGCUACAAUAUUAAAUAGUUUUUUUUUUAGCUACAAUAUUAAAUAGUUUAUUUUCAAAUGAGAUAAAUAUUAUUAUAUUUAUAAUAAAAAUAUUUUUAAUCAAAGUUAUUCGAUAUAAUUAAAUUUGCAAUAUCUCAUUUUACAUUUGAUGUAAAUGUGAUUGUUAAAAUUUAUAUAACGAUCGGAGUAAAUUACUACUAAUAACUGAAGCUUGAGCUUUUCAUGUGAUUUAGACCUAAAAAGUUACCGAAUCAAUGCUUAGACUUAGAUUAUUAUAAAUAGUAUCAAAGCAUGUGUCAACUUGAUAUGGAUUUUCACAUUACGCUGUGAAAUCUUGAUCUUGUGGAAUGAGCAUUGAUUGUGAUUAUAAUGUGUGCCACAUUUACUGUGAAUGUAAUUCGUAAUUGUUAAGACUUUCAAGUCAAUCAUUAUUAACAACUUAAACUUACCCUUUUGAAAGUCACGUGGGUUAAACCUAAAAUCUACUAAUAUUUUGAAAGUCACAUGGUUUAGACUUAAAAAUUUACUGGACCCACAUUUGAGUUGGAUUUGAAAACUAAUAACAACUUGAGUUUGAGUUUUUAAAGAUUACAUGAUUUAAACAUGAAAAAUUAGUAAAUCCACAUCUUGUGUAAAGAUGAUUGUUAAGACUUAUAUAAGGAUUCAAAUAAACCACUAUUGACAACUUGAGCUUGCCUGAAAAGUUACUGAACUAGUGCUUAUUCAUCCAUUAGAACAAAGUUAAAUCUUAAAAUUAUCAUUCAUUGACAAAAAACCAAGUCAUAUUUCUUUAUCAAAUUAAGCUAUUUUUUUUUUCCAAUUUAUUGUCUGUGUGAAAAUAAAAGGACCCAGGAUUAGUACCAUCACUCUUUCCACAACUUACAUUUCAUGGCACCUUAAUUUGCAGUCACAGAGGAAACGAACAGAGUUGGCAAGGGACCAGUGAGCUCAUUAUGAGAGAGAUCAAGUACUCGCAAUGUGGAGAAGUUUGAUGAAGCUAUGGAAUUGGGCAUGGGACUAUGCAAGCUAUUAUUUCGUAGAAGAAGAACUUGCAGCAUUGGAAGUGAAGCUAACCAAUAGGGAAAGGUAUCAUUGAGCUUGUUGUUCCUUAAAUUCAAAAGUACCAAGAUGCUACAAUUAGCCAAAGAUAGCGGUAGUAAUCCUUCCAAUUGAUUGUCAUUGAGGAGCAGAUAACUCAACCUAUUAUCUGUAAAAAGAUCAGGGAUUUUGCCAUAAAACUUAUUCAUCUCCAAAUUCAUAUACCGGAGAUAGCUGAAAUGUCCAAGACAUUCUGGAAUCGCUCCAUCCAAGUUAUUUCUUGACAAAUCAAGUCUUGUGAGCAAACUCCAAUUACAAAUCAAAGGAAAGAUAUUUCCAGUCAAGUUAUUUUUUGAAAUUAAGAAUUCCGUAAAAGACGGUGGUGGAUUUGGAUUUUGAAGAUUCAACCAAAUUGACAGAAUUGGGCCUCGAAGCAAGUUGGACUGAAGGUCAAGAACUUGAAGGUUCUUUCCAGGAAAUUGCUCCAAAGUGGUCAGAAAGUUGUAAGAAAGGUUCAAUUUGAUCAAUCGUUCCCACCCUUCUGCUUCCCAUUUGGAAAUUCCACCACGAAUCUUGUUAUUGGAAAGAUCUAAAUCCUUCAAGUUUGAUGUUCGAAAGAAACUUGGGAACUGUCUUAUGUUACAAGAAGAGAAUGACACUUUAACAAGCUGAGGGAAGGAGUAGUUCUCACCAUCGCCGCUUGAGCUUAACGAUAGUAAAAUAUUAUUUGAAAGAUCCAGGUACAUAAGAUUUUUGAGUUUUGCAAGCAUGUUUGACUUGAUGACACCAAUCAAGUUGUUUGAUGAAAGAUCAAGCUCUUCAAGGUUCAUAAGAUCAAAAAAAGAACUGGGUAUUGGACCAUGAAUGUCGUUAAAACUCAAAUCGAUAUAAUGGACAGAAUUAGGGGUCUGAAUUUGGUCAAUUGGACCGAUGAGUUUGUUAUAGCUGAGACGUAAAUCUUGCAAAGAUGGCAAAGUAAACGGCCAAGAUGGUACUCCACCACUUAAGAGGUUAUUAGAUAACCACACUUCUUCUAGCAAUAGAAGCUCACUAACAUGAUUUGGCAGGGGACCUUCUAAUCGAUUAUAUGAUAAAUCUAGUUUGGUAAGUUGUGUGAGGUUGAACAUAGUUGUUGGAAGUUGACCACUAAAACUAGAGGAAGAAAAUAACAAAAAAGUCAAUUUAUUAAGGUUUCGAAAAGCAUCUGGAAUUUGUCCUCCAAAAUCAUUAUAAGAAAAAUCUAGGAAGAUGAGUUGAGUGAGAUUGCACAAUGAUGCAGGAAUUGGCCCUUUAAAACGGCAAGAGGUAAGGUCCAACAACUUAAGGCCACUACUCAAGUUUGUCUUUGGGAGAUAACCUGUGACAUUUUGAUUCGAACCUAAAUCUAUGUGCUGGAGGUAUGGAAGGCAAAAUACUUCACUUGGAAAUUCCCCUUGUAGUUGACAGUCUCUGAGACUCAAACGUUCCAGAGAUGAAGUCAAGUUCAGAAAGGAAGGAAGUGCAACAUCAGACAUAUCUACAAAGUUAAGGGUAAGGUUUCUUAAAUUGGUUAAGUUUUGUGCAAGCAUGUUGAAACCUUGGCUAUCAAAUCUCAAGCUGGAAGAAUAAGCAUUCGUGGAAAGAUCGAGUGAAACCAAUUUUGAUAUGAGACUAAUUUCAUAGGGGAUUAAGCCAGAGAAUGAAUUAGAAGAGAGAUUAAGAUGAGUCAAACUCACUAACUGAUUAAAUAACUUCGAUGAGAUAGAGCCAUUGAAAUUGUUGUGAGCAAGGUUGAGUCAUUGGAGUCCUUGAAGGUGGAAGAGGCUGCUGUUUUCAAGAAGAGAGCCAUCAAGUUUGUUGAAAUUGAGGUCGAGUCGUUGGAGUCCUUGAAGGUGGAAGAGACUACUGUUAUCAUGGAGAGUGCCAUAAAGGCAGCUGGUACUGAGGUUGAUGCCAAUGACAUGACCAGUCACCACGUGGCAACUGACUCCAUCCCAUGAACAGCAAUCCAUGCUUUCAUUCCAAGAAUUUGUCCUUGGGUAAUCAUCACAAUAAUCAUCCAGAGAAAUGGUGUUUUUGAAUUCGAGUAAGGCAGCUCUCUGUUCUGGGAGGCAUAAAUGAGCUGAAUCAAGAAAAGAGGAAGGGGUACUCAAUGAACAAUAGACCUGAAAAUGCAAGAGCCCUAAAAGUAGGCAAAGGAUUAGGAGCAACACCUAAAUACCCUUCCCAUAUUUUCUCGAGAAAAAAGGAAAGAAUGAAACAAGGGUUGUCGAAAAGGGGCAAGUGAGGGAGGUGAACUUAAAAAUGAGUUGUGGUUGAGGCUGAGGGACAUGAGAAGUGAACUGCUGGAGAUGUGGGGACAUGAAAGUGUUAGAAUGAAAAGCAUGAUUUUAUCCCAUUAGAGACUUUAGUAGGAUUUGCAUUUUUUUCUUGCAGUCUCAUUCGGUAUGUUUAUUUUAGAGUAAUUGGGAUAUGCUAAUUAGACCCAAAUUUCAUAUUGGGAUAGGCUUAGAAUUGCAACUCAUUACAGCCAGCGUCAUUGUUUUUGUCAGCGUGAUUUUCGAUCUUCAAGUUUCAUUUUGUUCAGAAAAUUAAUCCAAAACUUUCUGUUCAAUUCUCCUAGAAGAGAAUGCAGCCUCAAAAUUGAAAAAAUAAAUAUAUGAAGUUUUUGUUGUAGAUUGCAACAAAGUAAGGUCAUCAGCAAAGCAAGUUUAAGAAAUUGGAAUGACUUUUACAAUUAAAAGUAAGAAAUUAAGCUCAAAAGUAAAAAAUUCACGUCACAUGAAGCAUGUCGACUGUUGUGGUUCUUAUUUGAGGGCAUACAUUCAAAGUCAACCCUCUCAGACAGUCUUCACUCUACAAACUUAAAUUAAUUGUUACAUGGACCCUUACUUCAUAUUAAUCCCUUUUCUUGCCUAUGAAAAAAAAUAUAUAAUUUUUAAAUAUUUAACUCAAUAAUAAAUAUAUAAAACGUAAAUAUAUAUAUAUAUAUAUAUAUAUAUAUAUAUAUAAUAAUUUAUANUCAACAAACUUAAAUUAAUUGUUACAUGGACCCUUACUUCAUGUUAAUCCCUUUUUUUACCUAUGAAAAAAAUAUAUAUAAUUUUUAAAUAUUUAACUCAAUAAUAAAUAUAUAAAACGUAAAUAUAUAUAUAUAUAUAUAUAUAUAUAUAUAUAUAUAUUUAUAGAUUUAAUGCAUUAUGAUGCAACAUGUAACUAAAAAUUAUUAUGAAUUCAUGCAUGCUCACAUGACAACUUUUGAUUACUUAUUACAGCAAGCUGAUACAUGUGAUCAGCACAACCUAUCCAAUAAUUUUGGAUGCUUAUUGUUGUAUGACUCAUGGUAAUGUAAUUAUUAAGCAUUGAAACUAAGAGGAAGCAAUGAAAAGGGAAAUAGUGACAGAAGAUGAAGAGGGCCAAUUCAUGAAGAAAUAUCAAACGAGAUGGGCAAAGUGCCGUGUUAGAAAUGAAAGGCAUGAAGAGUGUUGACUUUGUCUGCAUACAUGUUAAAAUCGUACCAUAAAUUCUUUGUCUGCAUUGGCCCUUAACAACUUGAGCAAAGAGUCAUUGAAGAACUUUCGAGAGUGAAGAGUGAAGACUGCGCCCACUCUUUUGAGAAAAAAACUAUCAUUGAAUGACUUUUAAUAGGUCAUUCAAUGUGUGCCCUUCAAUGUAUUUAAGUAUUUAAUUUAAUAAGAGAAAUGGUGUAAGCGUGACGUUACUGCAUCAAAUUGAAAAUGGAAGGCCAAGUAUAACACUGUUUGUACGGGAGUAGAAAAUGUCAACCCAGCCCCACCCAUCAAAAGUGAGUUAGAAUAGGGUUGAUGAUAAUACACCCAAUACAACAUAUAUAAAUAUAACAUUUUCUUAAUAUAAUACAAGCACAAUUAUUUAUUUUUGGAUAAUGGAUGUUGACGUAGAAUAUAAUUUUGAAUUUAAUUCAUAUUUGGAUUUAGGUGGAUUAUUUGAAAAUUAAAAUAAGAUAAAUUGAGAAGCCAUUAAGACUCAAUAUGAUUUGAAUUAUACCUCAACAGUUAUGUCAAAAUGAUUGUGAUUAGUUUUUUCAUUGUUUUUGAGAGAAAGAAAGUUGCUGUUGAAGCCAAGGGAAGUAGAUAGAAUCUCACACAUUUUACUUGUGCGUUUUUGUUUUGAAAGGGUGUACACUUGACUUGUUUGGAGACUAUUUUAUAUGUAUGUUUCAUUAAGUGAAUUAAAUGUUUUGUUCCAUUAUUUUUUGUAUAUGAAAAUAGAGUUAAGCAUAUGAUUGUUUUUUUAUUUUGAUUUAUUCAUGUGAUCAAAUAUUGAUUCAUAAUGAGAUAUGAAAUAUUUUGUUAUGUUGUAAAGUUUUAAGAGCUACAUUAAUUCUUGAGAAGUACGAUAAUCAACACUAGAACUAAUUCUACGAUCUUGAUAAUGAGUUAAAAUAAUUAGCAUAUGACCCAAUAACAGAAUAUAAUAAGCUAGCAAACAAUCCCACUAGUGGGUUAUAAUAGUUAACAUAUGACAUAGAACAUGAUUUUAAAUUAAAUUCAUAUUUGAAUUUUGAUGGAUUAUUUGAAAAAUAAAACGAAAUAAAUUGAGAAGCCAUUAAGACUGCGAGUGCAUACACUUUAUAUAUUACUUAAUUACUCAAGUGCAACGAUUAGGAUUUAAAUUCAAGUCUUGCAAAUUGCAACGUUUAGAUUCUCAUAUUACCCAUUCAGAUACUCAAUGAACACCCGAAUUCUCCAAACCACUGCCAUGGGAAAUCAUUGAGCCAGAUGCUAGAGAAGCAGGGUCCAUCGGAUUCGGUUCAAAAGCCACCUUGACAAUUAGAAAAAAAAAAAACAAAGGAAAAAUCAAUCGUAGAUUACAAAAGCAAUGAGAACUUCGCUGUAAUUCUACUUUGGCAAAAAAACUCACCUAUGCAUGAUCUGGAUGUAGUGCUAGUUUCUUCCUCCCCUGUUUUUGCGAAUCCACUUUGUAACAGUGUUUUGCCAAUCUCUCUCAACCAUUCUGACAAACCACCAUGGUCUUCCUGUUGUGAAUACAAUGUAUCCCAUGCUCAAUCCUAACACCACUCCACAUCCAUAGCCCAUCAUUACAACUUUCCAAAUAAAGGCCAAUUCAGAACCUUCAUCUUCCUCCAGCAUUGGUACCGGUGGUUUCGGUUCCUCCUCAUUGCCGCAUUUCUUCGACAACGGGAAGCCACACAAUCCCAAGUUACCGCUAUAAGAAUCAUUCUCAAAAGUAUCAAAUUGCUUCCCCUUUGGAAUUGGUCCAACAAGAUCAUUUUGUGAAAGAUUUAACACUUCAAGGAAUGUCAGAUUCGUCAAUUGAGAAGGAAUUCUGCCAUCAAGCCUGUUUGACGAGAGAUCUAACGAUUCAAGUGCUAUCAUAUUUCCAAUAGAUGGUGAGAUAGGACCAGUCAAGUUGUUGUUAGACAAAUUGAGUCCUUGAAGCGAAAUAAGUUCUCCGAGUUCUUCAGGAAUUUGUCCACAGAAUAGAUUAUUCGAAAAGUCCAUAAAUGUGUAAAUGGCAAAGGUUUUCACCAACUCAAUCUCCAAUCUUUUCGUUGUUACAUUUACUGAGUAAUAGUUAUUAAAUAAGAUAACAACAUCUCUAGUUUCGUAUCUCACGAAUCGCCAAGGUCUCUCUUCAGGUAUAUCUUUCAUUGCUCUUAAAUUUUGGAAGAAUUUUGCUGGCAAGGGACCGGUGAGCUCAUUAUGAGACAGAUCAAUUAUUUGCAAUGCAGAGAAGUUAGAUGAAGCUAAGGAAUUGGGCAUGGGACCAUGCAAUCUAUUAUUUCGCAAAAGAAGAACUUGCAGAUUUGGAAGUGAAGCUAACCAAUGGGGAAAGGUAUCAGUGAACUUGUUGUUCCUUAAAUUCAAAAGUUUCAAGGAACUACAAUCAGCCAAAGACCGCGACAAUAAUCCUUCCAAUUUAUUGUCAUUGAGGAGAAGAACUCGCAAGCUACUACCUCCAAAAGAAUCAGGCAUUUUGCCUUGAAAAUUAUUCAUCUCCAAAUUCAGUACCAUGAGAGAAGGGCUGAGAUUUCCAAAACAUUCUGGAAUGGUUCCGCUCAAGUUAUUUCUAGACAAGUCAAGAAUGAAAAGUGAACUCCAAUUGCAAAUCAAAAGAGGGAUGUUUCCGGUUAAUUUAUUCUUUGAAACGUAGAAUGCCAUCAAGUUGUUUGGACUUUGAUUUUUCAAGCAAGUUGAUAGAAUUGGCCCUUGGAGCAAGUUUGACCGAAGGUCAAGAGCUAUAAGAUUCAUUCCUGGAAAUUGCUCCAAAUUGGUCAAAGCGUUGUUAGAAAGGUCCAACUCGAGCAAGCUUUCCCACCCUUCUGCUUCCCAUUUGGAAAUUCCACCACAAAUCUUGUUAUUGGAAAGAUCUAAUCUCUCCAAAUUUGAUGUUCGGAAGAAACUUGGGAAUUGUGUUAUGCUACAAGAAGAAAAUGACACACUAACAAGCUGAGGGAAGGAAUAGUUAACAUCAUUUUCACUUGCGCUUAAUGAUAGUAAACUAUUUUUUGAAAGAUCAAGAUGCGUAAGAUUUUUGAGUUUUGCAAGCAUAUUUGACUUGAUGACACCACUCAAGUUGUUUGAGGAAAGAUCAAGCGUUUCAAGGCUCACAAGAUCAAAAAAAGAAUUCGGUAUUGAUCCAUGAAUGUCAUUGGAACUCAAAUAAAUAUAUUCCAGAGAAUUAGGCUUCUGAAUUUGGUCAAUUGGACCGGUGAGUUUGUUAUAGCUGAGAUCUAACCCUUUCAAAGAUGGCAAAGUAAACAGCCAAGAUGGUACUCCACCACUUAUAAGGUUAUUAGAUAACCAAAAUCUUUCUAGCAAUUGAAGCCCACUAACAUGACUUGGCAGGGGACCUUCUAAUCGAUUAUUUGACAAAUCUAGUAGGUUAAGUUGUGUGAGGUUGAACAUAGUUGUUGGAAGUUGACCACUAAAUUUGCAGGAAUCAAAUUUCAAAGUAGUUAAUUUGUUAAGGUUUCCAAAAGCAUCUGGAAUCUGUCCUCCAAAAUCAUUUCCAGAAAAAUCUAGGAGGAUGAUUUGAGUGAGAUUUCCAAUUGAUGCAGGAAUUGACCCCCUAAAACUGCAUAAGGAAAGGUCCAACAACUUAAGGCCACUACUCAAGUUUGUCUUAGGGAAAUCACCACUGAGAUUUUCAUUAUUCAAACUUAAAUCUAUGUGCUGGAGGUAUGGAAGGCGAAAAAUUUCACUUGGAAAUUCCCCAUGCAGUUCACAAUCACUAAGAAUCAAACGUUCCAGAGAUGAAGUCAAGUUCAAAAAGGAAGGAAGUGCAACAUCAGACAUAUCUACAAAGUCAAGGAUAAGGUUUCUUAAUUCAGUUAAGUUGCAUGCAAGCAUGUCAAACCCUUGACUAUCAAAUCUCAACUUGUGAAAACCAUUAUUGGAAAGAUCGAGUGAAACCAAUUUUGACAGGAGACUGAUUUCAUAUGGGAUUAAGUCAGAGAAUGAAUUAUGGGAGAGAUUAAGAUGGGUCAAACUCACUAAUUGAUUAAAUAACUCUGAUGAGAUAGAGCCAUUGAAAUCGUUAAAAGCAAGGUUGAGUUGUUGGAGUCCUUGAAGGUGGAAGAGGCUGCUGUUUGCAGGGAGAGUACCGUUAAGGCAGCUGGCACUGAGGUCGAUGGCAAUGACCUGACCCGUCACCAUGUGGCAACUGACUCCAUCCCAUGAACAACAAUCCGUGCUUUCAUUCCAAGAAUUUGUCGUAGGGUAAGAAGAAGCUAGCCAACAAUCAUCCAGAGAAAUGGUGUUUUUGAAUUCGAGCAAGGCAGCUCUUUGUUCUGGGAGGCAUAAAUGAGCUGAAUCAAGAAAAGAGGAAGGGGAACUCAAUGAACAAUGGACGUGGAAAUGCAAGAGUGCUAAAAGCAGGCAAAGGAUUCGAAAAAACAUCUUAACUACCUUUCCCAUAUUUUCUAGAGAAAAAGGAAGUUAUGAAACAAGGGUAGUCGAAAAAGGGCAAGCUAGGGAGGUGAAACUGAAAAUGAGUUGGGGUUGAGGUCGAGGGACAUUUUAAAUGAAGUACCUGAGAAGUGGAGACAUCUCCUUUUCAAGUCAACCAACAAGUCUUUGCAAAAUCUCUUAAAUUGUCAAAAUUAAAUUAAAAGGAAAAAAAAGAAAAAUUGUAUGUGCCGUGUUAGAAUGAAAAGCAUUAAGGCCACUGUGUCCAAUCCCACCUGAGACGUUAAUAGGAUUUGCAUAUUUUUCUUGAUUUCUCAUUUGAUGUAUACUUUUAUUUUAUGCUCUUUGGGAUAUGCUUAUUAGAUUCAAAUCUCAGUAGAGACACAAAACUAAUUCAUCUUAGAAUUGCAACUCAUUCCUGUAUAACUCACUUGAUGUGAUAAUAAAUAAAAAAUUAUUAAAUAAAGGAAUUCUUUAUUGUAGAUUACAGCUAAUUCAUGUCUUUGUCAAAGAAAUUAUAAAAAUUUUCACAUUUUGGGAUCAUCAUCAGAAGUUAAAGAUAACUUUUUCUUUUCAUUUUUUUUCCAAAAAAAAGAGAGAUAGGUCAAAAGUAAGAAUUCAUGUCAAAAAGCAAGCCGUGUGUGAGGGUAUGGCACUAAACAAUGUUAAAGAAAAAGCUUCAAGAUGAUAGGAGAGGAAUCAGGAAAUUGCUGGAAAAGUGUCUAAGCAUGUUUUUCCCAUCCUUCCAUUGCAUUUUCAAGUUAAAAGCAUCUACUAAAAGUUAAAGUAGCAUUAUAUUUCCUUAUAUUUUUGGUUUUACGUAUUUAACUCACCUGAUAAAAAAUUAAAUAAUUUAAAAUAAAAUUUAUCAAUUUAUGAUAAGUCAAUUUAUUCAUAAAUACAAUGUUCAAAAUUGAAUGAAUUUACGAUACUUCGACCAAUGAUAUAAAACAAACAAAAAGUAAGAAUUAUACAAAAACAAAAUUAAAUAUUAUUUUGAAAACAAUCCAAAAAAUCGUAACGUGAACUUAUUAUUUUUAUAUACAUCGUCAAUGAAAUUUUGAAACUCUAAAGUUAAAGUUAGAAAGUUGCCAUGUAUCACAUUAAGUAUAUUAAUUUAAUUAAUGAAUUAAUAUAAUAAAUAAAAACAACAUAUGAAAAUAUUCUUAACUUUUUUUUUGUUAAAUUUAAGAACUCAACAGAGAGAUAAUAUAUGGUCAAAAACAUAGUCUUUGUUUACAUUUUCAUGCUUUAUACACAGUUAGUCUUCGGCAACUUUCCCAGCAAUUAUUGAUUACUUCAAGUAUGGGAUACCCUUUGCUUUUUGUUCUUUAUUAAUUUCUUUGAUAAUUAUAUGUAUCCUUUUGCUUUUCUUUGGUCUUAAUUAAUGAAUUUACUUGGAAUUCCCAUUACAUGCUUUAGCUUUUGUUUCAUCUUUAAUUAAUAUAUUUACCAUGACUCUUCAUCUGUUAUGACUUCUCUUUUUUUGGUGUUGGGUGUUUAAUUAAUAUACAGUUUUAUGUGUUUGAGAUAGUAAUUUUAGAAAAAACAAAAAAAACAUGAUAAUAAUGAGAAUAAAAAUAAAUAAUUUAUUUUUUCUUUUAUCUCUCAAGAGCUUUUUUUUUUUUCGAAAAGUGAUUUUAUUAGCAUUAAAACUAAUAUACUAUCUGAAGUCUCUAUAGAAUUGCUAAAGACUUCUGUUGGCAUCGAAUUCUAAGUCGCGCAUCAUCAAUAACUACGGGAUUUCCUCAAGAAAAUCCUUACAAUUGAUAAUAUUAUAGCAGCGCAUAUAAAACCAUGGAGGACAAAUUAGGAAUUAAUGGAAAAGUGAUGGCAGCACUAAAGCCAUAACUGGUAUUCUAUUUUUUUUCUUCUAGCUGUUCCAACAAGGUACUUUAUUUUUAAUAAUUCAAAAUUUAAUUAUUGGUUAUCUAAUUUAUCUUUAAAUAAAUCAAAGUAAUUUAGAGGUAAUAUUCAUAUUUUUGACCAAUCAAAAUUUAAGUAUUGAUCAUUUAAUUUAUCUCUAAUAAUUAUACUAAUUUAGAGAUAAAAAUCAAAUUGAAUUAUUUAAUUUAUCUCUAAACAAAUUAAGAUAAUUUAGAGAUAAUACAUAACUUCGGCCAAUUAAAAUUCAAAGACUCAAAGUACGGCCAAUCAAAAGACUUUCAAUGAGUCAUCAUAAUUUAUCUCUAAAUAAAUUAAAAUAAUUUAGAGAUAAUUUAAAGAAACUACAUUCUCAUCAAAGUCUCCCACCUAGCAUUAUAACUAGGAGCUCCUCCAAGCCAUUUUGAUUCAUUUAGAAGCAUUUGAAGAUCCGGAGGCAUUCGAAGAUUGAGUGCAUUUCGGAGAUCGAGAAGAGUAGAAGAUUUUUGUAGUGAAGAUCAAGUAGCAGCAAAGUUCGUGAUCAAGAUCAAGCGGCAACAAAUUUCGUGAUCAAGCAGUAGCGAAGUUCGUGAUCAAGAUAUCAAGUGAAGUUUGUAAUCAAGAUUAAGUAGUGAAGACCCUUGAAGCAAAGAUAUCAAGUGUUCGUGAUCAAAAUUAAGUCGUUAAGACCCUUGAAGCAAAGAUCAAACGAAACUCAUGAUCAAAAUCAAGUCAUCAAGUGAAGGUCAUGAUCCAGAUUAAGUCAUUAAGACCUUUGAAACGAAGAUCAAGUGAAGUUCGUGAUCAAGGUAUCAAGUGUUUGUGAGAUUAAGUUGUUAAGACCCUUGAAGUGAAGAUCAAGUGAAAUUCGUGAUCAAGAUCAAGUCAUCAAGCGAAGUUCGUGAUUAAGAUAUCAAGUUCUCGUGAUCAAGAUCAAGUCAUCAAUUGUCAUGACUCGGUACUUUCUUCGAACCCGUGACAACUGCUGCGAUGUCCCGAUAGACAAACCUUACCCGGAAUGUCAAUAGAAACCUCGCAAGGCUCUAGCAUCAGUUUUUCACCUCCCCUGUGAGCAACAGUUACUAAAUAUUAUGUUUUAAAGGAAUAUAGACGAUUUUCAAAUCAAAGACAAUCAAAAAGUAAUUUCUACAGCACAGGGGUAUUUUGAUCAUUUUACCUAAAAAUUUCGAAAUCUGCUAAAAAUAUAGUAUAUUAAUGAAAAAUAUACAUUUCAUAUAUAUAUAAAAUAUAUCUAGGUGUCUAAAUCAUCUUUUUAAAGUGAAUUUAUAACUAAUAGAACUAAAUAAAAAUAUUAGAUAAAAUAUUCUAUUUUCAUAUAAAACAAUAUUUAUAAAAUUCUACGUAAACAAUUACUGUAGCGUAGUAACAAAAUAAAUUCAUAUACAUAAUAACACAUAGCACCAGGGUAUACAAAAAUAUUUUACAAUGCCAUAUGAGCCCCUAAAAUAACAAAAAUAAAUAGGACUGUAGACCUACGAUUUCUAAGAGUGAAAAACCAAAAGCAAACCCUCGACAAAAUCGACUGUUUACAAACUGCUCUGAAUCUGAAAUGGGUGAAAAGAAGAGGGUGAGUUUUUAUAAACCCAGUGAGUAAGCAAAGUUCAUCUAUAACAUCUAAAGCCGAGUAAAUGGAGACAAUUAAAACAUCUCUUCAUAAUAUAAUUCAUAACAUUAAAACUCAUUUCAACCAUAUAAAACAAUUACAUUUCAUCAAAAAUAAUCAGCAAGGCUUAUGACUCUCUUAAAAAUUGGCUCGUGCCAAAACUCGUACUCGAUGACACCUUGAGCCAGGCAUCCAACUGAGUUCGCCAAGGCUGUUAAAAUAACAUAUACACAUAAAACAUGUUUUUAUGUUUAGAAACAUAGCCGUUCCUUGGCUUUGGUUGAGUUUCACCCUCACGUGAUGGUUCGGGGUGAAGUGAACUGUAAACUACCUUAGAAGAUACCCUCCGCGCCUCUCAUACCAAGGUAAAAUAUAACGAGAUUUAUCGUGCCCCUCUAAUAGGUAGGUCCAUGAAAACCCGUCUACUGUAGUAAGCUAAUCACUUACCCCACCAAAUCAAUAAAAAUUUCGGCAGUAUGACAUGGCUAAUAUGAUAUUACCUAGCCUGUCAAGGUAAAACCAAACAGUUCAUAUAUUCCACACAAACACAAAUCCAGCCAUUCAUACCGUCACAUUGUCAUAAGCCAUUAAUUCAAACCAUAUAUCAAACACGAGUAUAUAGUCUCCACUUACUCAAUUUCCAAAACUAGUAUUCAAUUUCAAACCAAGUUAUAAAUCUCUUUUCGUUUAACCAACACUUCAAUUUUAAAACAUAAUAAUUUACCAUUUAAACUCAUUAUUCUUUAAAACAUAAAAACGAGUAGAAACAACUUUAGAUAGUUAAGAUGAUCGUCUGUUUACUCACUAUAAUGGGAGUACUCCUACUCCUGGUCCUCGAGUACGAUAUCCUUACUCUUACUAGAGGGCUCACCACCUAUACAUAAUGCACAACAAGUAAUUCAAUACACUUGUACCAAACUGUUAUAAGAUUAUUUCAGGCUCUUUAUGAAUGCAUGUAAUUGAAUGAGAAGUGUUCGAAUAAUCACUUAAAUAUGGUGUUCUACGUAGGUUCAAUUGUUGUUGGAUUGAAAUGGUAUUCGACCUAACUCCCACUAUACACUGUUUAAUUAGCCAAAAUGUCCAAUUCAACUCCAAAUAGAUUCAUUGCACUUUCGGUGCUCCAAUAAGUCUGUAUACCUCAUUAGAAAUCAAUUCUAAGUCCAUUUACUAUAAAUUUCACAUUAUCGUUCAAGUCGUUUACUAAAAGAACUAUACUUUUCAAUAACUGUUUUCGAUAUCCAACAUCACGAAUCAUCAAAUACGAGUUAGAUAACAUGAAAUAUGACAAAAUUCAUCUUCAAAAUAUUUUCUAUAGAAUUCGGCCAAUUAGGGUUUGAUGAAGAGCAUGUUAUUUUCUUACUUAUUUUUCAUACCGAAUAUCACAAAACACUAAAACGCCUAGAUAACAUGAGAUCUAGCAAAACCCAUUCUCAAAACCUUNUCCUUAGGGUUUUUCUAUUAUUUCCCCCUUUGUUCUUUGGCUUGAACCGCAAUGAGAGAGUGAAUGGGAGAGUUUAUGUUGAGUUUAUAAAGGAAAUUAUAAAAUAAUAAAAACUUGACACAUGGCAACAUAUAAUUGGUUCACAUUUAAAACUUAACUAAUAAGGCUUUUCCUUUCCACCACAUAUAAUCCCAUAAUUAUCCAAAGUAUAAAAUGAUAAUAGGUGAAAUUCAUGGGCUUGACAAGUGUCAUGGUGGUGUAAAAUUUCAAAAAUUCCAAUUACGUCAUUGUGGACACUUAAAAUGAUCGUUUUGCCCUUAUGCUCAGAAAUUGAAAUUUUUCACUUCUCAAAUUCAAAUUAUGUUCCAACUAGUCAAAAUUGGUUAAAUAUCUUGUCCAACAUUCCAAUUUUUGCCCUUGGGUGGCAAAAUGACCAUUUUGCCCUUACGUUAUAAAAAUUCUCGAUUGGACUCCAAAUCAAUCCUCGAACUCCAAAUCACUAUAUUAAGACAUUUUAAGGUUCAAUAAUUCUCAAAUACAUCCUAAAUCUCUAUUUGGACUAGUUCGAGGCUUUAAUCAACUUAAUUGUACCACUAGGUACGAUACUGACUUUUAACAAUUUUUCGAGGCAUCUAAGUAUGCAGACAUGCUAUCAAGUACAUGAAUGACAUGACAAGUAUAUUAUAGAGCUGGACUUGACAUCAAUAACCCCGAAGCAAAGAUAUCAAGUGUUCGAUAAAGUUGUUAAGACCCUUGAAGCGAACAUUAAGCGAAGUUCAUGAUCAAGAUAUCAAGUGUUUGUGAUCAAGAUCAAGUCAUCAAGGCCCUUGAAUUGAAAAUCAAGCGAAGUUCAUGAUCAAGAUUAUGUCUGAGUCCGUGACUCUCAAAGACAAAGUGGAGAAAUUAAUUAGAGGAAUUUUCAGAGAUUAUAACUCGCAUCAUCAAAUAUUUGUAUUUGUCUCCUAAUUUUCAAGUCAAGAAAUUUUGAUGAGCAAUUUUUGUGUACAAAUAGAAAGGAGAGGAACUAGGAAAUUGCUGGAAAACUUUAUAAGCAUGUUUAUCUUAUCCUUCCAUUGCAUUUUCAAGUUAAAAAGCACCUACUAAAAGUAAAGAGUAACAUUAUUUUUCCUUAUUCUUUUUUUUUACUAUUUAACUCAUCUGAUAAAAAAUUAAAUUAUUUAAAAAUAAGAUUUAUAAAAUUAUGAUAAAUCAAAUAAUUCAUAAAUAUAAUAUUCAACAUUGAAUCAAUUUAUGAUACUUCGAUCCAAGGUAUAAAAAAAAACAAAAAAAAAGAAUAAUACAAAAACAAAAUUGAAUAUUGUUUUGAAAACAAUCCAAAAAAUUGUAACGUGAACUUUGAAACAAAAAACAAGAAUAAAAUUGAUCAUGUAAGUGACAAUUCAACUAUAGAAACUAUUAAGUCAAAAGGAAGAUGAAAAACAAAUCAUUGCUCCUUACCUCUCUUAUAAUUAUCAGUAUUUAUUUUCAUGUGUGUUAUAUAUAAAAUUGUUUAAAUUUCAUGAUGUGGAAGAUGAGAUUUUUUUUCUUAAUUGGCAUAUAAACACUGAAUUUUAAUAAUCUUGUAAUACAAUCUAAUGAAAAAAAACUAGAAAAUAUGAGAUUCUUUUUGGUUUUUUACAAAGAAAUUAUGAUAUUUUUGUUGGUCAUAUAUUCCAAAAUGAAUUAUUAACAGCAAAAACAAAAAGGUAUAUUGAAAGAAUGAAAUUUGAAAAGCCAAAAAAUAUAACAAAAGGAAGCAUUAUAGGUUUAAUAUAUUUGUUAUCCUUAAUAAAGCCUUAAGAAUAAUAAGAUAAAGAAGAGAAGGUAGAUUUAAAUAUAAUAUAUAAACAUAUGAAAAUAUUCUAACUUUUUUUGUUAAAUUUAAGAACUCAACAGGGGAUAAUAUCUAGUCCAAAAAAGAUAGACUUUGUUUACAUUGUCAUGCUCUAUACACAGUUAGUCUUCGGCAACUUUCCUAGCAAUUACUGAUUACUUCAAAUGUGGGAUAUCCUUUUGCUUUUCUUUGGUCUUAAUUAAUUAAUUUACUUGGAAUUCCCAUUACAUGUUUUAGCUUUUGUUUGGUCUUAAUUAAUAUAUUUACCAUGACUCUUCAGCUGAUAUGACUUCUCUUUUUUAGGUGUUGGGUGUUAAAACAAUGAAGGAACCUCCUUCCCACUAAUUGGGUCCUAAUAAUUCAAGCUUUUUUACUAUCGCAAAUAAUUAUUAAUAAAUUAAUAUAAUAAAUAAAACAAUAUAUGAAAAUAUUCUAACUUUUUUUAUUAAAUUUAAGAACUCAACAGGGGGAUAAUAUUUAGUCAAAAAGAUAGUCUUUGUUUACAUUUUCAUGCUUUAUAUACAGUUAGUCUUCGGCAACAUUCCCAGCAAUAACUGAUUACUUCAAGUAUUGGAUAUCCUUUUGCUUUUUAUUUCUUUUAUUCCUUUGAUAAUGAUAUGUAUGCUUUUGCUUUUCUUUGGUCUUAAUUAAUUAAUUUACUUCGAAUUCCCAUUCUAUGCUUUAGCUUUUGUUUGGUCUUAAUUAAUAUAUUUACCACGACUCUUCAGCUGAUGACUUAUCUUAAUAAUGAAGGGACCUCCUUUGCCACUAAUUGGGUCCCUAAUAAUUCAAGCUUUUUUACUAUAUAUCACUAAUAAUUAUUUUAAGGAUUAAUUUUUCUAAUAAUUUAAUGGUUAUGAAUAAACCAAGACCAAGACCAAGGCAUGAUUUAUGACUUGAAAUUUCUUAAGCGUGACUACUUGUAUGGCUAGUUUCUUCGUCUUCCAUUACUAUAUUAUAGGUGAUUAUCUAGGUGCAUUACAUGUAUAGUUUUAUGUGUUUGAGAAAGUAAUUCUAGAAAAAAAAAGGAUUAAAUGUUUAAUUUGGGAUCAAAAUUUUUGGGUUUUUAUCAAUUUAAGGUCAAAUAUUUCCAUUGUAAUAAUUAUGGACCAAGCGUUUUUAGAUCCUUACAAUUAAAGAUUAAGGUGAGAAGUGUCUGGCACAUGUAAGACUUACGUAUGACGUGGACGUUGACUUGGAUUUUUACCUCUAAGGUAAUCUACAAUGGGUGCUAAUGGUGACGUCGAAGACUCGUUUGUCCAUGGGAACAACAAGCGAACCUUCAAGGUUCUCGUACCGUAUGAAAUCCAUCUGCAACAUAAAACAUUAACAUGCAUGUAUAAGUUACACGUCAUGAACACCAAACCCGCAGAAGCAAUUUACGAAAAACAUUAGAGUUGUUACACUCCAUGCUCAUUUUGUCUUCAAAUGUUACAUGCCUGGUUAACAACUUUUGACCCAAAUAGGCAUGACUUGUAACUACUCUUCCCAUUGACACAAAAAAGGUAUGAUCAAACAUCAAAGCCCAUAUGACAUUCAAACAACAAAACUCACUUAAAAACACAACAAAAAAUUCAACAAUUUAUCAAUCAAAAAAUUCAAACAACAAAACCCACUCAACAAUGUUAGCAGGAUUUGCAUAUUUUUUAUGAUUUCUUAUUUGCUGUCUACUUUUAUUUUAGGCUUAUUGGGAUAUGCUUAUUAGAUCCAAAUCUCAGUAGAGACACAAAACUAAUUCAUUUUAGAAUUGCAACUCAUUACUAUUUAACUCACUUGAUGCAAUAAUAAAAAUAAAAAGUUAUUGAAUAAAGGAAUUCUUUGUUGUAGAUUACAGCCAAUUCAGGCCUUCGUCAAAGUAACUUUAAGAAAUUAUAAGAUUUUUACAUUUUGAAAUCAUCAUCAGAAAUUAAAGAUAACUUUUUAUUUUUAUUUUUUUCUAAAAAAAAAGAGAGAUAGGCUAAAAGUAAGAAUUCAUGUCAAACAGCAAGCUGUGUGUGAGGGUAUGGCCCUAAACAAUGUUAAAGGAAAAGCUUCAAGAUGAUAGAAGGAGAGGAAUCAGGAAAUUGCAGGAAAAGUGUCUAAGCAUGUUUUUCCCAUCCUUCCAUUGCAUUUUCAAGUUAAAAGCUUCUACUAAAAGUUAGAGUAGCAUUAUUUUUCCUUAUAUUUUUGGGUUUACGUAUUUAACUCACUUGAUAAAAAAUUAAAUAAUUUAAAAUAAAAUUUAUAAAUUUAUGAUAAGUCAAUUUAUUCGUAAAUAAAAUGUUCAAAUUGAAUGAAUUUACGAUACUUCGAUCGAUGCUAUAAAACAAAUGAAAAAUAAGUAUUAUACAAAAACAAAAUUGAAUAUUAUUUUGAAAACAAUCCAAAUAAUCGUAACAUGAACUUUUAAAUAAAAGAGUAAUAAAAUUGAUCAUUUAAGUGACAAUUCAAUUAUGACUACUAUCAAGUCAAAAGGAGGAUGAAAAACAAUUUAUUGCUUCUUAGAUCUCUUAUAAUUAUUAGUAUUUUUUAUUACAUGUGUUAUACAUAAAAUUCUUUAAAUUUCAUGAUGUAGGAUAUUAGAUUUUUUUUCUUAAUUGGCAUAUAAACACUGAACUUUAAUAAUCUUGAAAUACAAUCUAAUGAAAAAAAAUUAGAAAACAUGAGAGUCUUUUUGGCUUUUUUACAAAGAAAUUAUGAUAUUUUUGUUGGUCAUAUAUUCUCAAAAGAAUUAUUAACAGCAAAAUAUAUAUAUAUAUAUAUAUAUAUAUAUAUAUAUAUAUUGAAAGAAUGAAAUUUGAAAAGCCAAAUUAAAAAUAUAACAAAAGGAAGCAUUAUAGGCUCAAUAUAUUUGUUAUCUUUAAUAAAGGCUUAAGGGUAAUAAAAUAAAGAAGAGAAGGUAGAUUUAAAAAUUAUUUUUAAGUAUCAUAUUUAAGUAUAUUAAUUUAAUUAAUAAAUUAAUAUAAUAAAUAAAACAACAAACGAAAAUAUUCUAACUUGUUUUAUUAAAUUUAAGAAAUCAACAGGGGAUAAUAUAUAGUCAAAAAGAUUGUCUUUGUUUAUGUUUUCAUGCUUUAUACACAGUUAGUCUUCGGCAACUUUCCCAGCAAUUAUUGGUUACUUCAAGUAUGGGAUAUCCUUUUGCUUUUUGUUCUUUAUUAAUUUCUUUGAUAAUUAUAAGUAUCCUUUUGCUUUUCUUUGGUCUUAAUUAAUUAAUUUACUUGGAAUUCCCAUUACGUGCUUUAGCUUUUGUUUGAUCUUUAAUUAAUAUAUUUACCAUGACUCUUCAUCUGUUAUGACUUCUCUUUUUAAGGUGUUGGGUGUUAAAAUAAUGACCAUUACUAUUAUAAGUGAUUAUAGGUGCAUUACAUGUAUAUAUAGUUUUAUGUGUUUGAGAAAGUAAUUUUAGCAAAAAAAACAUAAUAAUAAUAAGAAUAAAAAUAAAUAUUUUCUUUUUUCUUUUUUCUCUCAAGAGCAUUUUUUAAAAAAAAAGUGAUUUUAUAAGCGUUAAAACUAAUAUACCAUCCGAAGUCUCUAUAGAAUUGCUAAAGAUUUCUGUUGGCAUAUAAUUCUAACUCAUGCAUUAUCAAGACUUAUGGGAUCUCCUCAUGAAAAUCCUUACAAUUGAUAAUAUUAUAGCAGCAUAUAUAAAACCAUGGAGGACCAAUUAGGAAUUAAUGGAAAAGUGAUGACAGCAAUAAAUAAUUUUAUCAUCCUAUGAUAAGGUUGCUAUAUGUAUCUUUUAUCAAAUCUAAAAUUACUUUUAAAAGGAAAUGUAAAAUGGGCAAAGUAAUGUCUUGUCAUAUAGGAAAGCAUCAACCAUGUUGUCUAGUUCACACCUCAGAAAAGCCAAUUUUUUUUUUUGUUUUUGGGUGCAACUGCAACUGUUCCUUUCAAAGAACAAGAUAUGAACUACUUAUUGUUCCAUUACUGGUAUUCUAUUUUUUUACUUCCAGCUGCUCCAAAAAGGUACUUAUUGCUUGAAAUUACUGUCGAAGCAUACUUUAGAAUACCAGUUGAGUGAAAAAUUAGUCAGAACUUCAUUUUGCAAUGCUUUGCAAUUGCUCCUGCAUCAUAUCAUAGAUAACACCAUCUUGAUUGGUGUCUCGAUCCAGCUACAAUAUUAAGUAGCUUAUUUUCAAAUGAGAUAAAUAGUACUAUAUUUAUAAUAAAAAUAUUUUUAAUCAAAAUUAUUUGAUAUAAUUAAAUUUAUUAUACCUCAUUUUAUAUUUAUUGUAAAUGUCAUUGUUAAGAUUUAUAUAACGAUCCAAGUUAAUUACUACUAACUUAAGCUUGAACUUUUGAAAACCACGUGAUUUAGACCUAAAAGUUAUUAGAUUAAUGCUUGGACUUAAAUAAUUACAAAAAGUAUCAAAGCAUGUGUCAACCCGAUAUAGACUUUCACAUUGUGCUGGUGAGAUCUUGAUCCUAUGAAAUGAGUAGACCUGACAAUUCGUGUUAAAGUAUCGUAAACGUGUCAGAUACGAUUAGACACGAAACACGUUAAGGCUAAACAUGAACACGACACAUUUAAUAUUCAUGUCUUAAAUUUAAAACACGUACACAUACAUGUUUAAUACAUGUGUAACAUGACACGACACGAUUAUCACGUUUAUUAAACGUGUCAAUAUAUGACACGACACGAUUAAUAACACGUUGAACACGUUUAACACGAUUAAAUAAAAAUAUUUACAAUUAAAUAUAAUUUUAUUAUUUAAAUUUAAAAUCUAUAAUUAUAAAAAUAAUUAUAAUAAACAAAAAUAAUAAUAACAUCAAAUAAUCACAAAAAGUUAAAAUUAAGGUUGAACAUGUAUAAUUACAUUAUAUUCUUUAUAAAAUUAAAAAAACUUAUUAAAAUAAUUAUUUAAAAUUAUUUAUAUAAGGUUAAAAUAAUUUUUAACUAUUAAUUUUUAUAAGUUAAUAAAUGUGUCAUGUAUACACGAUUAAAUAUAAUAACACGAUUAAGUAAACGUGUUUAAACGUGUUUUAAACAUAUUUGUCGUGUCUGACACGUUAAAACUAAACUCAAAACCCGUUUAACCCGUGUUUUCUCGUGUCGUGUUGACGUAUCGUGUUCAAAAUUACCAAGUUUAGAAAUGAGCAUUAAUUAUGAUUGUAAUGUAUGUCACAUUUCAUGUGAAUAUGAUUCUUAAUUGUUAAUACUUAUAUAACGAUUUAAGUCAUUCCCUAUCAACAACUUAAAUUUACCCUUUUGAAAGCCAUAUGAAAGCCAUAUGGCUUUACCCUAAAAUCUACUAAUAACUUGAUAUUUAAGUUUUUAAAAACCACAUAAUACAGAUUUAAAAAGUUACUGACCCAUAUCUAAUUUAAAUUUGAAAACUACUAACAACUUGAGUUUGAGAUUUUAAAAAUCACGUGAUUUAAAUAUAAAAAAUUAUUAAAUUCACAUUUGAUGUGAAUAUAAUUGUUAAAACUUAUAUAAUGAUCCAAUCAACCUCAAUUAACGACUUAACCUUGGCUGAAAAGUUGCUGAACUAGGGCUUAUACAUCCAUUAGAACAAAGUUAAAUCUAAAAAUUAUCAUUCAUCGACCAAAAAACCAAGUCAUGUUUCUUUAUCAAAUUAAGCUGUUUUUUUUUAAAAAAAAAUUUACUGUCUGUGUGAAAAUAAAAGGAGGCAUUAUUAGUACCAUCAUUCUUUCUACAACUUACAUAUCAUGGCACCUUAAUUUGCAGUCACAGAGGAAACGGAUAUGGAGGCCAAGAAUUGAAAUAUCUAACAACAAUGAACUUUCUAUGUAAAAUUAUAUUUAAUUAAGAAAGCGAUUCAACACUGACAAUUGACCAGAGUCUCCGUUUAACAAAAAAACUUCCAGAGGAAUAUAAGGAGAGUCCAAUGAUGAUCCAAACCGGUAAGUUGGCUGCGAUAAUCUGCAACCUUUAGCACACUGGAUGGUUAGGAGACGUGGUCCGGUUCUCAUCUGCCAGACCUGUGCAUGAUGUGGUCAAGUAAACAUUGACUGGAAUAUAACGCUAAACGUUUGCUCUACUAAAUGAAGUUCUAAGAGCAAAGCCAAAAAUCUGUCAAAUGUAUCUCUGAUAGAGGAAAAAUUAGUUACAUUGAACCCACUCAUGAAAGGAUCAACGAAGAUGUUUUCUUUAUGGAGUGAACAUAGUUUACAGUAAUCUGUCAACCCGUUUGCACAAUUAUUUCCACACAAUUAGAGUAAUACAUCAAUUCAUUUCCACAAUUAUUUCACUAUAAUUCCAUACUAUUCAAUCCCAACUAUCUAUAGUGUAAGGGUCCAAUUGUAUGUAGCCCUACGCACCCCAUAAGCCUGUAUGGCUAGAUGAUAUCGACCCACUGCUAAAUGGUAAUGCAUUGUUAUCAUUGUGAUGAUAAAUGCUACUGACUAUUCCUGCUCUUACCAUCAUGGCCAUAAUAUAAAAAUAGAUUUUCAAAAUCCUAACAACAAGCACAACAAUAAAGAAAUAAUAAGAAACACUUUAAAGAAACAUGAACACACCUCAACAAUUCCUUUUCGAGGUGCAUGAAUGGCUAAACAGAGGCAGUAGUCACUCUUUCCUGGUUCAUAGUAAGAGGAACCUGACCCUAUAGCCUCCUUAUUGACUAACAUUUCCAUGAAGAAACAGCUUGCAUCACGAUAUCCCUGAAGAGUGUAUUAGGAAAACUGCUUACUGAGAAGGAAAGAGGAGCUGUUGCUUUUCAAGAAAUUGAAAACCAUAGAUGCAGAAAAAACCUUCCAUAGUCGCACUACUACAAGUGCCUGAGUAUCUAAGAGCAAUAUACGACCAAGUGAAUCUGUAAUAGCAGCCAAAGUGCCACUGGGUGAUAAGGUGAGCUUUUCACCUUUUCUUGGGUGAUCCUUCAAACAUGUCAAAGGAGAAGCUGGCAAAAGAUCAUGACAUCAAUAACAUACUCAACAGGUUUUGGAAAAGCCUUAAUAAAGAGAACUAAGAAAGUGGCUUAGGUUUGUAUGCUAACUAAGCAUGUUAACAUUCAGAACACAUCAAAAGACACAAUGGACUUGUAACAUUCUUUGUCUCAGAAUAUGAUAGAAACAGAAAACUUCUUUCUUAAAUAACUAAGACUCUCUCUAUCCACUUAACUAUUAAUUGCACAUCAGAACACGAUAAGAUGAGCUCUUUUGGUGCAAGCCCAUAGUUGAACAGAAAAUAUAAGCAUGUGGCAAGGAUGACAAUAAAAAAUUAUAAAAAGGCUUACUAAAUACAAUAAUCAGAGAAACAAGCAAGCAGAGGUUACAUGCUUAAUAAUGAGAUUGUUGCCACAAAUCUUGUGAUAGUACCAAAUGAAAAAUGAGAACUAAAGAUCAGUUAAAUGAUCUCAGCUACAGCAAACACUCCAAACCAAUGUAAAUCAGCUUCAAUCACCUAAAAAUUUGAAUCUAAGAAAAUAUUUCUUUUAGAAUAAUUAUAAGUAUACAUGAAUUUUGAAACAAGCACAUAUUUUUAGAGAUUUACACUACAUAAUUUAAGUACCACGGAGAAGAUAAUAGCAGAACCAAAUGAGGAAUAAUAUACAAGUUUAACAAACUUCACCUUGAGCAAACGAUUGAGGCUUCUCUUCUGACUUCCUCUUUGGCGUUUGUUCACUCCGCCAUAUCAUUUUAGAAAAAGAAGCAAUUGUGGAAAAUGUUGCAGGCACAACUUUAGACAAAAUAGCUCCUACCAAGGAACGGUUCCUAUCUUCGGAAAGUCUUCAACAUAAUUAAACAAAAGUUUACCAAUAAAGCACCAAAAGAAAAGAAAAAGAGAAACUACCCAUGAAAGAAUCGCUUCUUGUAAUGAAAGAGAAAUCAUACUAUAUUUCAAAAUGCGAAGAAACUAACCUGAAAGCUGAGAUCACAGCAUCAUCUCCAAUGGUGACUGCACAAUGGUAACGUUGAUUGGACUGCCCAACAAUAAAAGCAGCUGAAUUCAAACACCAGAAUAACUUCAGAAAGCUUCCGUAAUUCAUUGGCGAAACAAACAAAAUCAUAAAUAAAAUGUACUAUAACGAGCAAAAUAUUGAACCAGUAAAACCAGUUUUUUAUAUUCACAUUUUGAAGAUCAAAUGGCCAUUAAUUAAGAAUUGAAAAAUAAAUUAUUCAGCUGUUAGCAUGAGCUAAUACGAUUAAGCAACAUUAAAAAUCACCUGGAGUUCCAUAAGAGGGGGUGGCAUUAUGCCUGUGAUUGCUGCAUCAACACAUGUCCCAUACUUAUUAACAUUCCAUAACUGGUAAGGUAAUCUCCCAUAAGAGUUUCCUAUAUCCUCUGAAUCUUUCUUUGGUUUCUGAUCCCAAAAACGAGAAUGUGUUUCUUGAAACCACCUUUG